rnacentral:lncRNA from 1 species
UUUUUUAUUUUUUUUUUUGUUGGUUUUUAAGGUAGGAGGAAAGAACAUGAUAAGAAUGUGGCCAUCACCGAAGGUGGGCAGUGGACAUGUUUCAUGUUUGAAUGUUGAAUUCUUUUGUAGUAGUUGGUUGUGUUUUAUAUGCAUGUUUUAGUGUCAUUCAUUCCUUUCUAGAGUUUCUAAUUGAAUUUUUGGCUUUUUCUUCUUUGCCAUUUUCUUCCAUCCUUUGACCGUCUUGGAUAGUUCUGCUGAAUGGAAGCCUGUCUUCCCAGCUUGGCUGCUUGAUUUACUGCAAGCAGAUUGUAGGGGCAGUUGCCCCAAUAUUUGUAAUCUGGUCUGAUAUAAAUCAAAGUGUUGCCGUUUUGAUAAAAAAAAAAAGAAAAAAAGAGUACAGUUGAAGAGGGAGAGAGGCAAAGUAAACAACGUGUAAUGAAUGAGUACAAUUUGCUUUUGAUUCUCCUUCUGGACCUAGCUAGAAGUACUCCUAAUCCGAGAACUCUAAUUAGGACUUUUGUUCAAAAAUUUUUGGAAAAUUGAUAGUAAAUUGCUUCCCUCCUCCUCCACCUAGGAGUGUAAACGAGUCGAGUCGAGUUGAAUUUUAAUCUAAUCGAAUCGAGUCUCAAAUUAAUUUUACGAAACUCGAACUCGAACUCGAGUUCGAUGAGUUCAAAAUGUUAAGUUCGAGCUUAAAAAAAUAAAAAAAUAUUUAAUUUUUAAAAAUAAAAAAUUUAUUUUAUUUUUAAAAUGAAUAAAAUAAUAUUUUUUAAUAAAUAAUAAAAUAUUAGAGAUAUAUAUAUACAUAUGUAAUUUUACUAUUAAAAAAAUAAAAAAUAUAUAUAAUCAAACUCGCGAGCCACUCGCGAGCUAACUAGCUUGGUAAUUUUGAGUUCGAGUUCAAGUUCGAGCUCGAGUUCAACUUGAUUAACUUGAACUCGACUCGAGCUCGUAUUCAAGAAUCUAUGCUUGGCUGGUAAUUAACUAACAAGCCAUAUUUAAAUAAUUGUUAUUACAAAGCAGGAUUAAUUGACUAAUCUGCACAACUACAAGGUCAAACGUAAAUAUUUUAAAUUAAAGCUUAAAAAAUUCUCAAAUGAAAGCUUUAAGGCUGUGAAAGACGGCUAGGUCAGGUUAGGGUGGGAUGAUGGACAUUAGAUAACGACUAAUCAAGGUUUGGAGAGGUCAAUACCUUCAAUUGAUUUAACUAUAAUUAAAGCUUUUUAAAGCCUAUUAUUAUUAGGGAUAAUUUUAGAAACCUCCCUUGAGGUUUCUGACAAUUGCACUCGGCUCCCCUCGGGAUUAAAAAAUUACACUUACCUCCCUUGAUAUAGUAAAAUACAUUUAAUGCUCUCUACUUAGUAGACAAUUUUAAAUUUAAGGCAACAAAUUUACAAAACCUAAAAAAAAAAUCUAUUUUUCUGUCUCUUAUCUAUAUUCUAGUUAAUAUAACUUCUUUUUAUUAUCUUCAAUUUUGUGGAUAUUAGCAUAUUGAAUUACAAAAUAUACAAAGGGGGUAUAUUAUGUGUCAAAAUAGAAGAAAAUGAAGAGAUUUCGCAGUGAUAGAGAAAUAAAUAAUCAAAUUGAUGAUUGAAAUAGGAAAAAGAACUAAAGAUAUGGAAUUUGUCAUAUUUUGUUUAUUAUUAAGGAAAAUUUUUAUAAAAUAUCAAUAAUUACAUAAUGAUUUCUUUCAUUGGAUUAGAAAUUUUUUAUUGUGAUUUUAUUGUGGAGGUAGAAUUUAUUCUCAACUUUUCAGAUAUUAAUAUUUUUAAAGCCAUAGGAGAAUUGUAAUGGUGGUUCUUGGUCAAAUUAGCUUAUAUGGAAAAGAUAUUUAAGCAUUGAUAUUUAAUAUGGGGGUAUAAAAUUGGUUGUCAAUAGGGUUUUGUAUGUUUUUUUAUCGUGGAAAGUAUUGAUAUUAUAUAUGCAAUUUAGGAUCUUUUGGAUAGUUACUUGCUUUUAGAACUUAUGCUUGAAUGGUUGUUAGGGAUUUAAUUUGUUGAUUUAUGCAAAGUAUGGAAAAAAAAUGAUUGAGUAUACUAUAUUUUUCUUUCUCAGUUUUGUGCAAAAGGACAAUUUAGGAUUUUUGAAAGAAAAUAUAAGUUCUUGGACCUACAUUUUUAAAACCUAAGGGGAGCUCUUUAAAAUUGUGAGAAACCUGAGGGGAGGUUUGUCAAAUUAUCCCUUAUUAUUAUGGCCAUUGAAGCCAUUAACACCUUGCAAUGGACCAUGGAUUCGUACUAAGUACUUGUACCUUGUACCCUACCGACCUACAUGGGUCCGACUUGCGGACUGAAAAGCAAUAUCCAUCUUUCGUUUUCUUUUUUUUUUUUUUUUUUGCUUAGAAAUGGUGAUAUUUCUAGUCACAGGUAUCAAAUUUCUAGUUUUCCAGCCCUCUAUAAUGUUUACUAGAAAAUAUUAUGGAUAAAUACUAGACUAGAUGAAAUCAUAGAUGCUAAAGAGUUGACCUAUCUAUUAAGUCUAUCGUAUGCUCCCAGUGUUUCAAUGUUAUUGAAUCUUAAUUUGAUGGCCACAAUAAAAUUAGCCCCUGGAAUUUGACAAGGCGUAUUAUUAAGUAUGAAAUGUAGACCUCUUUCGAGGAUAUGACAGUACAAUUGCAUUCUUGCUUAUCUUCAAACCAAGUGUCUAUUUUUGAAAGGGAAGAAAGGAUAGAUAACCACAAGUAAACGGAGCUUAUCCAGACCUCUUUCAAAGCAAGUGUCUAUGAAAUUUCAAAUUUUCAAGUAUCUUUGAGUGAUAUUCUUGAUACUACAGUCGACUUUCUUUCAAUGGUUUGGCCUCCAUGUUGUGCUGCAUUCAAUUCAUAGGACCCAUUUUUGAGACGAACCUGUACUUGACUUCAAGAAUGGGGUUCUCUGAUUAAGAAUUCGUGAAGGGGGCCAUUUAGCAUAUUCUAAGCAUAUGCGUGUUUGUUCCUUGAUUAACAAAAGAACAAAGACAAGGGGGAAAAAAAAAGGCAAUAGGAGAUGUAGAUAGGCGAGGCUUCGUAUAUGAUACCUUAUGGUAGGUGGUAGGUGAAGUCAAGUUUGUUAAACCUAAACCAGGGUGAUAUAUUAGACAUUGUGGUAGCUUAUGUUCUUUAUUUAUUCUAACCUUAAAUAUGAAUAUGUUUGUCUCUAUUGUAGCAGAAAUAAAGAAACAAAAAAAGCUCUCCAAUAUGAUUGUCCUAUUGUAGAUUAAAUAUUAAUUUGUCAUUUUAGCAUACCAAAAUGUUGAUGCAGCCCUAUUUUUUUUUUUUUUUUUUCAAGGUAGGAGGAAAGAACAUGAUAAGAAUGUGGCCAUCAUCGAAGGUGGGCAGUGGACAUGUUUCAUGUUUGAAUGUUGAAUUCUUUUGUAGUAGUUGGUUGUGUUUUACAUGCAUGUUUUAGUGUCAUUCAUUCCUUUCUAGAGUUUCUAAUUGAAUUUUUGGCUUUUUCUUCUCUGCCAUUUUCUUCCAUCCUUUGACUGGCUUGUCCCAAUAAUUUUUUCAGAAGUGAAUACAGUGGAAGAGGGAGAGAGGCAAAGUAAACAACGUGUAAUGAAUGUGUACAAUUUGCUUUUGAUUCUCCUUGUGGACCUAGCUAGAAGUACUCCAAAUCCGAGAACUCCAAUUAGGACUUUUGUUCAAAUAUUUUUAGAAAAUUGAUAGUAAAUCACUUCCCCCCCUCCACCUAGGGGUGUAAAGGAGUCGAGUCGAGUCGAGUUUUAGCCUAAUCGAAUCGAGUCUCAUAUUAAUUUUAUGAAACUCGAACUCGAGUUCGAACUCGAUGAGUUCAAAAUGUUAAGCUUGAGCUUGAGCUCGAAUUUAAAAAAAUAAAAAAAUAAUUAUUUUAUUUUUUAAAUGAAUAAAAUAAUAUUUUUUAACAAAUAAUAAAAUAUGAGAUAUAUAUAUAUGUAAUUUUACUAUUAAUAUAUAUAUAUAUAUAUAUAUAUAUAUAUAUAUAUAUAUAUAUAUAUAUAUAUAUAUAUAUCAAACUCGCGAGCGGCUCGCGAGCUAACAAGCUUGGUAAUUUUGAGUUCGAAUUCGAGCUCGAGUUCGACUUGAUUAAUUCGAACUCGACUCGAGCUCGUAUUCGAGCCUCUCACGAUCGGCUCACAAGUGAUUCGAUUCGUUUACAGUCCUACCUCCACCCACCCCUUCUCAUAUUCAACUGUGUGUGGUACAAGAUUCAAAACCCUGAAUUUGAUAGCAAAAAAAAUUCUAAAAACUCUCCCUAAUCACUGGAUUGAUAUCUAAAGUCUUUUUUUUUUUUUUAAUCAAAACGGCAUCAAUUUAUUAAUUGGACUCCAACAGUUACGUAACAGAUGGGCAACUGCCCUUACAAUCAGCAUGAGCAAGCUCAAGCAACCAGCCUGGGAAGCUAACCUUCCAUUCGGCAGAACAUUCCAAUUGUAAUGCUUUCUUAGCUAAAGAAUGACUAACAAAGUUGUUUGCCCUUCUAGUAUAAGCAAAACAACAUUCAUCAAAAUUUAGUAUGAGUUUCUUCAAGUGAGCUAUCACUGUGCACCUAAUAACCUCUUCAUUUACACUAUUAAGUUCUCUAACUACCUGCAAACAAUCUGAUUCGAACUCUACUCGUCUCUAUCCAUUCUGGUUUGCCACCAACAUGGCAAACCUGAGUGCAAGCGCCUCCUCUAACUUUGCAUGCGUACAUAAUGGCCUUGGCACUGCCCAAGCUCCCAUCACCUUUCCUUGCCAAUUCCUCGCAAUGAUCCCCCAUCCUGCCUUAUCCGCUUCUGGACGCAAAGCUGCAUCUGAGUUCACUUUAAUCCAACCUUCCUUUGGUCUCCCCCAGCCAGAUGUUCCUUCGCUCUCCGUCACGCCGCCACCUACUCUCUCCAUCUCCGCCUGCUGAAUGUCAUGGAAUUCUCUCCACUCCAUUACAGCUUUAUGGACUGCUAGUAUUGGAUCUCUUCUUUUGUUAUUAAACUGCACCCCAUUUCUUGACUUCCAAAUUUGCCACAACAAAUUCACCGUAAGCUCAACACGUUCCAUCCCUCUCUCCUGUUUCGCUGCAUCUUUCAACUUCUCCCACCAUAACCAGAAUUUGCUCCUAAAGCUUUCCAGACCAUCCCAACUUAAAGGAGCAGCCUCCCAGAUAGCCUUGGCAGUGCUGCAAAAGAAAAACAUAAGCUCCAUUGUUUCUGGACUUUCCCCACAGCACCGGCACAAGUAGUUUCCACUGGAGCAUCUGUCUCUAAUUAGUACGUUUACAGGCAAAAUUUCAGUCAAACAUUUCCAAAUGAAAUGUUUUAACUUCUGCUGCACCCUCAUCGCCCAGAGAAACUUCCAACUAUGAGCUGAGUAGUUUUUGCUGCAACUGGCCAUUUCCUUUUUCCCCCUCUCGUCCUCCCUUCUCGUCCUACACUUUGCUAGCUUGUAGCCCGACUUUGCUGUAUAUACCCCUGUGGUCGACAGUGCCCAGUAGAUUUUAUCUUUCCCAGGUCGCACACUAAGGGGAAUUCGAAGCACUUUCUUUGCAUCCUCUCCAUUAAAGAUCCUAUUAACCAGCUCCAUGUCCCACCUCCCAUCUUGUAUAAGCUCACUAACCCUCUGAACCUGAACACCUUCUCCCUCCCUAGCUUUUACCCUUCCAUCCCCCACAUAUGGCAACCACCUAUCUGCCCAUAUAUCAAUAGUCCUCCCAUUUCUCACCAGCUUCCUCAUCCCUUCCUCUAACAGCCCCUUUGCUUUCAGCAAACUUUUCCAGCACCAUGAAUCUGCAUUAGAGCUUUCAGUAGUCCAAAUCGAAGACCCUUUGAAGUAUCUCACUUUUAGUAUCUUGCUUACUAACAGAUUUGGCUUUGUCAAGAUUCUCCAAAGCUGCUUUGCUAACAAAGCUAGAUUAAAUUCAUGCAAAUCCCUAUAGCCCAAUCUCUCUUCCGUCUUUACUUCUGUCAAUCUUCCCUACCGCAACUAGUGUAUUUUUUGCUCUUGUUCCUUUUGACCCCACCAGAAAUUAGCCAUCUCUGAGCAAAUCUCAUCACAUAGGCCCUUUGGCAACAGACAACAAGACAUCACAUACAUUGGUAAGGCCAUUAUAACUGAUUUCCGCAAGACCUCUUUCCCAGCUUGAUCAAUAAUCUCUCCUUCCAUCCCUUUAGUCGCACUAUUAUUUUUUGUCUUAUAAAAUCAAACACUUGUUUCUUAGACCUUCCAAUAACAAGGGGCAGUCCCAAAUGCCUACCUUGCAUUGCCUGUUUCAUAUCUUGUAGUUCGCCCAUCACUUCCGUCCUUUGCCACUCAGCCACAUUCCUACCAAAAAACAGUGAUGACUUCUCAACAUUGAUCACCUAGCCUGAUGCUCGUUGGUACACCUCCAAUAUUCUCUUCAGUUCUCCUGCCUCCCUUCCUUUGGCUUGACAGAAAAUUAGUGAGUCGUCUGCAAAAAACAAAUGAGACAACCUAGGAGCCCCUCUAGCUAUCCUCAUCCCAGUUAGUUUCCCAGAGUCAUUCGACUGCUUAAUCGAAGAAGUAAACCCUUCAGCGCGGAUUAAAAACAAAUAUGGGGAAAGGGGAUCCCCUUGUCUCAACCCCCUAGUGGGCCUAAUAAAACCAGUUUUCUCACCAUUAAAAUUGACAGCAUAUGUAACAGUAGUCACACACUCCAUGAUCCACUGGAUCAAUGUAGCGCAGAAAUCCAUUUUCCCCGUUACUUUAGCUAGAAAGAUCCAUUCAACUCUAUCAUAUGCCUUUGACAUAUCUAGUUUGAUUGCCAUAUAGCCAUUUCGACCAACCCUCUUGUUUUUUAAGGAAGUGGACACUUUCGUGGGCAAUCAAGACAUUAUCUAAAAUCUGUCUCCCAGGAACAAAAGCAGAUUAGGAGUGACAUAUACAAUGGCGCAAAACACUCUUAAAUAUGUUUACAAUUACUUUAGAGAUGACCUUAUAAAUGACAUUACAAAGAUUAAUAGGUCUAAAAUCAGUGAUUGUGGAAGGGGAAUCAGUUUUGGGUACAAGGCUAAUAAGAGUCUCAUUUAUUGAUUUAAGAAGAUAGCUAGAGUGAAAGAAACUUUGAACAUCAUGAACUACAUCAGUCUUAACAAUGGGCCAGAAUUUUUGAAAAAAAAAGUGAGGACAUACCAUCUGGUCCAGGGGACUUGUUCGGAUGCAUUGAGAAGACUGCCUAACCAAUUUCCUGUUCUGUUACUUUCCUGAUCAGCUUAAUAUUCAUCUAUUCUGUUAUGGCCAGAGGGAUGCCUUGCAGGAUUUCCGUGAACUCCAGUGGACUCUCUGUUGUAAAAAUCUGUUGAAAGUAAUCUAAGAUCUCCUGCUUGGUUUCCUCCUCAUUCCUACACCAUUUCUCACCCCUAUCCCUCAGAACACUAAUCUUGUUCAUUUUCCUUCUCCCCAUCACUCUUGCAUGGAAAAAACUAGUAUUCUUAUCUCCUUCCUUCAACCAGCUCACCCUUGCUUUCUGGCUCCAGUACAGCUCCUCCCUCCUGUAGGCAUCAACUAACUCCCUUUUCAGACGAGCCAGCUUAAUCUUAUAGCCACUCGGUUUACCUUCCUUCAUCUUCCUAAUCUCCUCCCUCACCUGUUCUAUGUGUUUCCUAGCAUUGCAACAACUCCCCUUACUCCAUCUAAGCAGAUUCAUUCUGACAUUUUUAAUUUUGCACUUCACUCUGAUGCUUGCUCCUCUUGCCACAUCUCCCCAAUUACCUUACCUAUAUCCUCAUUCAACAUCCAUCUCCUAUCAAACACAAACAUUCUCUUCCACCUCCUCCCCCCUGGUUGUGUAUCUAAUACCAGCAUACAGUGAUCAGAGGCUUCGAUUUCCACACGCAAACACGUUGCCUUGGCAAACUUCUCUCCCCAGUUUUGAGUUCCCAAAAUCCUUUCUAUCCUCUCUUUUACCUCUCCCCAUUUCCCCAAUUAUUACACCAUGUCCAUGGGACUCCAUCAUAUCCAAUAUCAGUCAGAGCAUUACUAUUGAUGAAAGAGUUAAAAGCCUGGAAACUGACCUCAGCUCUUGGUUUACCCUUCCCAUUUCUCCAUAUUUGAAGUAAUGUCAUUCAGGUCCUUCAUAAUAGCCCAAUAUUUACCCCAUAGUGAGCUUCACCUCCUUACAAUCUCCUACUGUGCCUUUCUCACACCUGCAUCUGAGCUCGAAUAAGCACAGAUGCACCACCAGUCUAUCCUAGUUUACUAUCCUCUAUCAAUAGUUCAAUGGUAAAGCUGGUAAACAAUACCUUCUUUACGUUCAGCUUCUUCUUCCAUAUUGCUGCCAGGCCCCCAGCUCUACUAACCGGAUCAACUACAAAAACACUAUCAAACCUCAGCCAUUGCUUCAUAUUAUUCAAAUAGCUUGUUUUCUUUUUUGUUUCAGACAAAAAAACUAACACAGGAGAGUGAAGUCUAGUGACCUCUCUCAGCUGGGGAACUGUCAAGGGGCUCUCCACAUCUCGGCAGUUCCACACCACAGCCUUUAUUCAGACCUUGGAGCCCCAUUUAGGGUGGGCUCCACUCCCUCAGCUAACACCAUCCAGUCACCACCUCCCUCUAUAAUCCUGCUUCUCUUCCAGUUUUCACCCCUAUCAUGCUCUUCUCCCUCCCUCCCACAUAUUGUCUCCAACUUCCUUUUCCCCUUCCUAGUUCCUGUUUCUUCCGUAUUAACCUCGGUUAAAGGUUGCCUCCUACUCACCUCCAGCACCAACCUUUUAUAUGUCUUAUUACUCCCCUGACUUCCUUUUGGUCUGCCCCUUGGCCUCCCUGCCUUCCUUACCCUCUUCUCUCCCUCAGAAAUUAAACUGUUUCCUUCACAUUCGACUUUCCUGUCACCCUCUAAACCUGUUUAGUCCUCUCCUGCACUCCAUCAAUCCACAUCAGGUCAUACAUUUCUUCCUUACCGCCUUCCUUAUUCCCCGUUCCUCCUGCUCCCUCAAAGUUCCACCUAUCUCACUCCCUCUUUCCCCAACUGUCACCCCUUUGCCAUCCAUCCCUCUCUCCAUCCCCUCCAGCUUCCCUUUUCUCUGCUUAGUCUCCUUACUUUCCGCCCUUAUCUCUUCCACUUCACCCCUUCCUCCCUCACUCAACCCCUCUGGCCGCACUUUCCCCAGGCCAUCCCCAGUCAGCACUCCAUCCUUCCCCUUGUGAAACUCGUCCGUGUAUGUUAACAAUAACUUAUGUCCACCACUCCUGUCUUUCCUCCUGCUAUUGGAGUGGAACCUCACCUCCUCCCCGCCUCCAGAAUCACCCCCAUUCCUACUUCUCCUACUAGGACUCCUAGGGUAGCUGGCUCGCAACCAAUUCCCAUAUUGAGAGUCCAUGCCUGAGCUCAUACCCCUCCUACUACAAUUUCUUUCAUAAUGUCCUAUCCUUCCAUACCCAAAACAGAAGUCAGGGCAUUUUUCAUAUUUAAACUCAAUCCACCUCCUCGCCCCAGAGCUAUUAACCAUCACACCCCUAGGCAGCGCUGCAGUAAGAUCAACCUCAACCAGCAAUGUCAGAUGCUUACCGUCCUUUCCCCCACUCUGCGGUACUAACACCUCACUCACCUUUGGAAAAAUACUCCCAAUCUUCCUCCCUGCCUCCUUGGUAACCCAAUGCAGAGGUAAAUUCCAGAUAUCAGAGUUUUACUUAGAAUUUCUUCGUCCUCCUCCAUACCAGCUUUUCACGGCACUAGGAUGAGUGGCUGGCCAUCAUAGAUCCAUGGCCGCUUAGACAUUACUAUCUCAAUAACCGUCUCUUUUUCGAAAAUAAAUUGGAACAAAUUCCCACCAAUUUCUACCACCCUCAGAUUCCUCACCCGUGACCACAUGCUGUUUGCAAAGCUCUUAAUUCCCCCAAUAUGUGCCUGGUUUUCCCCCCAAACCUUCCCAACUAAACUUCGCUUGCAUUCCAGCACCCCCUGCUACCUCUUUCUCCUCCAAAUUCACACCUCCACUCUUUUUCGCUGAUAAUUUGAACCUUCGCAUCACUUCCUCAAUGUUUUCCAUAAUCCUCCCCUUACCUUUUCCGCUAAAACAGAUCACGAUCAGUCAAGCACAGAUCAGGUAUUAGUCCGAGCCCUAACGAUGCUUCCCGAUUAGUCCCCCAGUCCAGAUGCUCCACUGCAAUCAGAAUCAGACCGCGAUUAGAAGCAAAAAUAAAAGAAAACAGAACGCUACAAACCUAUGGUUCGAUUGAGAACGUCCACUCCCAGACCGCAAAGGCUAGAAGAAACAGUAAUGGCUAUCAGUAGUAGAUGUCCGCACUAUGCCAGAGAUGGAGUACCGAUAUCGGUAAGUUUCCUCCUAUAGAAGGAUUUUAUGGUUAGCGCCAGAAUUGGCAGUUCAAUUUUGGAUAUUUUGGGAAAGAAAAAACACCCACAAAAGGGGAUUUUCUCUCUCUAGAACAGAGAGAAGCCCUCUCUCAUGAUGAGAGACUACUCCAUACAAAUAUGAUGCGAAGUCAGUAGACUUCUUUCUAUUUUUUUUCUCUCUCUCUCUCUCUCCCUCUUUAACAAAGUUUAUGCAGUCUAAAGAGGCCAAAUGCAGACCUAAAAGACCAGGAUGGUCAAUGGGCUAUGAGAUGCUCGUGUACUGGACUGAAUGAAGAAGGUUUACGGUUGAGCUGACACAGAUUAGGCUUAUAUUCCAGGGGAUUGAUUAUAGGGCCCAUUGCUUCCUCAUUAAUUUUAUUCCAUUCGAAUUGCAUCGUGAAAUACUUGUUGUUAACAUAAAUGACUCAUUUUAAUUGGCAGUGGAUAUUAAUUAGGUAUUGGACUCUCAAUUAUAGGAGAAUAUCUUAAAUACUCUUCUUCUUACUUGAGCAAAAAAUGUAUAGGACUAACGCAACUUUUAAUUGCUUUUUAGCAUAUUCCACUGCAUUGGCUAUAUGUUCCUCAAACCAUUGAUCACAAAUGCUAAAAAUUUCAACAUUAACACUUCAACUUCGCCCUUAAGCAAUGCUCAUGGAAUAGUCCUUAGAUUAGACAACCUACAUAAUUAAACAUGGGUCUUAUUACUUUUUUUCCCCUAACAAGAAAGAGGUGAAAUUGAAGAAAUAGGGAGAGAAAAAGGGAAUUUGAAUCCAAAAACGAAUCUUCAGUAGCUCUCAUAAUUUACUGAAAGUUGAUACACAUAUACUAGUAUGAAUAACAAAUGAGGCCAAGCAUAAGGUGUAAAAUUUGAAGGGCGUGCACUAUUGCAUUCUUUUAAUUUAAGUGAGGGAACUAUUCCCUCUAGCUCCCGACAUAAUUGAGUUCUCUUCUAAGUAGGCUGGAGUAGAAAUAGUAAAAGAGUUGAUGAUUGAAAAAAAAAGAAGAGAAUAACAAACUAAUGGAAUAAUAUUCUUGUAUAUUUACUUGUUUUAUUUAUUGAAAAAAUGUUAAGUAUCAAUGUCACACAAAACAUAAGAUGGAACUCCAUUUUCGAUUUCAUCCAUGGUGGAAAGCUAAUUCAUCUGUGCAUGGUAGGAAGAGUGAAGCAAAGUUGGCCAAGACAUCAUUGUGGAGCCGGGCAGGAUGCAGCUAUUAAAUGAACUACUAGAUACCGGGUAGAAGGGGUUGAUUAUGGGUCCCAUUGUAUUUCUUGGAGAAAUAAAAUGCAAGUCUCUCAACAACUUAUGGGCACUUGUUUGCACCCAAAACUUGGCAUCAAUUGGGGAGUAGCUCCCCAAAUUGGUCAAUUGCAAUAAUCCUUGGAGAUAUGUGGAAAUGAAGCCAUGUGCACUCCAAUCUUAAACUAUAAAUGCUUACUUGAUAAAAGAGUUAUGACUAUUUAAAUUUAAUUAUCAGUUGACGUAGAUGAGUAAUUAUAUGCAAAAAUAAUUAAAAGGAAUUAAUUUUAUAUACAUUUUAUUUUUUACAAAAAUACAUUUAUUAUAAAUUUAUUGAAGAAUCUUGGUUUAUAAGGUUAUAGUAAUUUGGUAAUUGCAAUACUUAGGGUAGUUAUAUUGGCAAAACGUGAUUAAGUAAUUAGAGCAAAAAUUAAAAGUUUUUCCUAAGGAUAAAAUUGAACGUUUAGAAAAUGACAUUAAAAAACUUAUACUAACUGCGACUCCUCUAACUUUUUAUAUUGCAUAGAUAGUGGCUUUUUAACUAGAAUCAAAAUUAUAGAUGAACAAUUAGAAACAUGAUUAGCAUAGUAUUACAAAAAAACCAGAAUUGGGACAUAAUUGACGUGAUAUAUUUUAAUUUAAAUUUAAAAAUUAGAUAAGUAAUUUUAUACGCAACAUGGUGACUUUCAAAUCGAUAUCAAAUUUGUAGAUGAGUAAUUAUAAAUAUAAUUAGCGUAGUAUACGAAGAAACUAGAAUUGAGAUUAUAGAUAAAAUAAUCAUAAACAUAAAUCACAUAAUACAAAAGUUUCAGAGAUCGAACGUUUGAACUAUUGAAAUAACUAGAUAGUUACCAACUUAAGUUCUAACUCCGCAACUAGUUGUACUGGACAUGACAGACUAUAAAUCACAAAUUUGAUUAGUAAAAUAGUGUCAAAAUUUGAGAAUUUUUAAAUAUUAACAUUAUCUAAUGAUAAGGAUAACCAAUUAUAGUAAAAAUCAAAAUUUACUCUUAAAAGUAAGUGCUAAAUUAAAAGAUUUUGUUGUGAUAUGGAUUAUCUAAUGAUAGCAAAUCCAUUGAAAUGAGCAAGCAACGAUAUCUAGACAAAUGUCAAUUACAAUCUCGUGUUCAAAUUAAUUUACAUAUCCAAACAAAUGUAUUUGAGGAUAAAGUAAAGAGGUGAGACCCAACACAUUAUUUAAAACACAAACACUGUUUAGAGUAGUUACAGUAGUUAUAUUGGCAAAACGUGAUUAAGUAGUCAGAUCAAAAAUUAAUUUUUCUUUAAGGAUAAAAUAGAAAUUUUGAAAAAUGACAUAAAAAAGUUUACACUAACUGCGAUCUCUCUAACUUUAUAUGUUGAAUAGAUAGUAGUUUUUUAAUUAGAAUCAAAAUUAUAGAUGAUUUAUUAGAAACAUAAUUAACACAGUACUUCAAGAAACCAGAAUCGUGACAUAAUUGACCUAGUAGAUUUUAAUUUAAAUUUAGAAAUUAGAUAAGUAAUCUUAUAUGUAACAUGGUGACUUUCAAAUUAAUAUCGAAUUUGUAGAUGAGUAAUCAUAAACUUAAUUAACAUAAUACUUCAAGAAACUAGAAUUGAGAUUGUAGAUAAAAUAAUCAUAAAUUUUAGAAGAAAAUACUCUCUUCUUUGAAUAAUAAAAAAUUUAGAGUGGCAAGUAUUAAUCUCUUUUUCCUUGGUAAUCUUAUUAAUAUUGAAAAAUAUAUAUGAGGAGGAGGAGGAGGAGGAGAGAGAGAGAGAGAGAGAGAGAGAGAGAGAGAUUUUUCAAAAAAUAAAAAUACGAAAGAAUUAAAUAUUUUUAUUAUUUUAAAAUUAUUUUACUUUUGUGUUUAUCACUCAAUUCCAACCCUAAUACUAACAACUUUAAAGUAAUACAAUAAUGUUAGAAUCUUCUUUAUUUUCUUUCUUUGCAAAAUCUAAUUUUCUAUUUUCUUCUUUCCUAUCUCUUUUUCUUUUCGUACUAUUAAUAAGUGUGAAAAAAUAAAUUUGAAAAAAAUCCUUUUAGUUUUAUGUUUUGGGAUCUUUUAAAGUGAAAAAAAUGAAUAAUAACCAUUCCAAUUUUUUUUAUUUUUAAUUAUAUAUAAAAAGGUAAAUACAUUUAAAAUUUUUUUACUAUACUAGGUAGAUUAAAAAUGAGGUAAAAUGUUUAGAAAAUAAUAUUAGGAAUUAAAGCGAUUGUAUCACUAUAAUUUAAAGAAAUAAAGUGACAAUAACAAUGUAGUAAUGCUAUAGAAUAAAAGAGUAUUUUUAUUCAAAAUUUAUUGACAUGUUGAGUUGAAUUAUUUAUGGGGGUUAAGUGACUAAAAGAUCAUGUUAUGGGAUAACUUGAUAGUAGUGAUAUAGUUUAGGGGGGGUAAAGUGAUAAUAACCCUUUUAAUUGCUUGCAUACGCUUAUAAAUAUCAUGUACACUAGUAUUAUAUUAACUUAAAAAAAUACUUGAACAUAUUGAAAGAGUGAAGAAAAUUUAGAAGAAAAAGAAGUAGGAAAAAGGGCAAAAAUGUAAAAGGUAUACCUAUAUUCUUUUAUUUACUACCAAACAUUUCGUGGGUUCAACAAAAAUUCAUUUUCAUUAGCUAAUAAUAGUGAGAGUGAAUAAUGAACUUUUAGUAAAUAAUUAGUUUCAGUAACUUGGUUCAGCAAUAAAGUUGGCUAUCAUAAGAGAAAUUGAAGGAAUUUUUCACAAUCAUAUACACAGAAAUUAAAUAUUAUUUAAAUUAGAAAAUGAUGGCAUCGGAUUUAUGUUUUGAGAAAAGCAAUUCGGCAUUGAAUGUCUUUUUGUCUCUCGGUUGUUUAUGUUCUCCUAAUUGAGCAUUUACCUAGAUGAUGAUUAAUUUAUCAACCCAAUCAAAUGUACAGACAUAUAUGCAAUUUAGUCCUUUAGAAAGUCCUUCAAAAAAAAAGUCAUUUACAAAGUCCCACAUUACUCUGCUACGUAAUUCACCUCUCUGUUUUGAAACUCGGAUCGGACCGGCCGGUCAAACCGAGAACCGACCAGGUAAUCGGUCCGAAUCAUAUUAAAAAAUAGGAAAUUUAAAACCCGGUCAAAACCGGUCAAAAAUCGGGUUUGAUCGGUAAAAAAUCGGUUUUUCCGGUUUAACAGUAAUUUUUUUUUAAAAAAAUUCAAACUUUUUAAUAUUAUGUUUUGACCCCCUAAAUUGUUAAAACUUAUUGAUAUACAUCAAAUAUUUGAUACUUUAUAAAUAUUGUCCUAAAAUUUGAUGUUAUUUUUCAAUUAAAUUCAUAAUUUUAAUUCUAAACUUGUUAAUAUUUAUUAAAUAAUAUAAAUUGCUACUUGAUUGUUCUAAUUUCUUUGUAUUUUCUUGUUAAAUAUAUUUGAAACAUCAAAUAUAUAUGAAUAUACCUUUAUUAAUAUCAAUAUAUUAUUAGAUAUUAUAUAUAUAAUAUUUUAAUUUUUAAAUAAUUUUUAUUUAUGACGUCAUCCGGUUCGAUCCUAUCGACCCCGAUCGAAUCCAUUGACUCACUAUCCGAUCCGGUUCUGAAAACAUAGAUUCACCUAUGAAAUGAUUGCCUACCGGUUGCCUAAGCUUAUGUGGACUCGUAAGCUUUGCACAAUGGUCCCAGGCAGACUUGUUGUGAUUGUAGUGGUUCUGCCCAGGGCAGGAAGAAAUUCCCACUUUGCAGUUUGCACACUAGAAGCAACCCUCCAUUUUCCACCUUUUUUUUUUUCUGUAAAUUCAGUUUUACUUGGAAUUUGUGAGUUGUGAUUCUGAGUGGAGUGGUUGUCCUCGAUUUUCUAAGUUUGUGAGGAGGAUAUUCUUUUAACUUUUCCUAUAUUUACAAAAGAGUUGACUAUUCAAGUUAGAAACCUUUCUUUACCUCUUUUUUCUGCUCUUUCCUCAAAGUACUGAAGAACAUGAAUUCUUGUGGUCUACUGAGAAUUAAGGUUUGCAAAGGCAUCAACCUCGCUGUUCGUGACACUGUUAGCCAUAGCAGUGACCCUUAUGUCGUCGUCAGCCAUGCUGGCCAGGCCUGUCAUCUUCCCUAUUACUUUUUCUACUGGCUAUUCUUGUUUUUUUUGGCUCUCUAAUCAUAUCAUGUAUUGCUUGUAUCUUAUAUGAUUGAUAUGGCCUUUUAAUUUGUGGGUUUUUUCUGUGAUCAUUCAAAUCAUAUUGGGUUUUUUCUUUAUUUCCAAAGAUUGCAAUUUUGGUGGUUUAUCUCGUCGAAAUCGGCAUCGGUUGCAAGUUGAAGUAGUAGAAUUAGAAGGCCAUGUUAAUUAGAAUUAACCAACCAGAUUGAUUUUCUAAUUAAAAUAUUAGUUGAAGAAGAAUAGGAAAAAGAUAAAGAAAUUAGGUCUAAAUACGAAGACAUAUAGAAAUUCCAAGAUUCUUUUUUUUUUUAAUUUUUUGAAACUGAAUAUAAGAUUGAUGCUGGAGGAUACCUGCAACUGAGGAAAAGGAUAAGCCAAGAAUGAGAAGCAUAGCUGAAUAAGGGGGAUUGUGAACUGAGCUAGUGGCAUUUAUGCCAGAAAGUUAAGUUUACCAGUUCAUGGUGGAAGUGCUGUUUGGCCUAUUUGUAGUUAGGCUAUCAUGGUUUUGUCAGCUAAAUGCUCAAAAAUGUUGAUUGAAUUUCAAGAUACUGAAACUGAAAGUUCAAUUUCAAUGUUUCUUUUCGUUCUUGCAUUAUACUUUAGUUUAGCGGCUGCUUAAUUUGUUUCUUUCUUAUUUAAUAGAGCAAACUUUUGGUUGUUCAUAACAUUUUCAAAUAUGGCAUUGCAAAUGCUUUGCUUUGUUAUUUGAUAAGCUUCCCAUUUCUGGACAGCUAAAAACGUAAUUGGUUGAUUACAAAGGGAGAGAUGCAUGCUGUUGGAAUAUGCUUCAAGUUAUAUGUAAAGUUAAAUUACUAUGCAUGGUUCAAACGUCAAAAACACCUGUUCACUUAGUUUUAGCGCUGCUAGUACCAAAUUGACUUGGCAAGUGAACUCGCUGCAUAGAGAUGGUGUUUCAAUUUUCCUUCACCGUUCACCACCAACAAAAUACUGGCCAGCUAUUUUAAGAAUUUGUAGAUGUUGGAUAGUCUUAAUGAACGUGCUUACAAUGUGCUUAUUCUGCUGAAUAAUUUGGUGAUUGAGGAAUUUGAUCUGUUAUCCCCCUGAUGGCUGCAAGACAAGUUUAGUAGUGAUUACUGAAUUUUCUUCAAUCAUUUAGAUCGUAGGAUCGUGUACUGCUUCUCAUGACGUAAAGUUUAUUGCAGACUGUGAAGACAAGUGUGGUGAAUAAAAACUGCUCCCCUGUUUGGAAUGAAAGUCUGACUCUUAGUUUGAAGGAUCCUAAUGUCCCAUUUGUUCUGGUAAGUCACAUUUUUCUUUUCCUUUCUUAUUGAGUGUCUGCAAUGAACAUCCGUGACUUGAAUGGAUCUAGGUCGGCAGUCUUGCCAAACUGAUAGUAUAAAGCAAUGAGUUCAAGUUUAUGUUCUCUCUGCAUUGUGCUUAAUCAAAAGUGUGUGUUCCUUUGUACAUCUGUCUUGCCUUCUGGAGGACCAAAAUAUGGUGAUCGUCAUGUAUGACUUCCACUGAUUAACAAUGGAUUUUGUGUAUUUCAGAGAGUAUUUGAUAAAGACACGUUUACAGGAGAUGAUCCAAUGGGAGAUGCAGAAUUCAACGUGAAACCGUUUCUCGAGUGUUUGAAAAUGGGUUUGCAAGACCUCCCAGAUGGGACUAAAGUUGACAGAGUUCAACCGAGCCACGACAAUUGCCUUGCAGAUGAGAGCUGCAUUGUUUGGAACCAGGGUAAAAUGUUCCAAAAGAUGAUACUUAGGUUGAGAAACGUGGAAUGUGGUGAAGUAGAAAUACAACUUGAAUGGCUUGAUUAUCCUGGAUUUAGAGGCUAAAAGCAAGACUGAUUCCUUCGCUGUUGUGUGCUUGUGAUUCGAGGGCUGAUGAUGAAGGCAUACAAUCUAAGUUCUUGCUGUAUAUUUAUGGCUGUUCCUCAUGUAAUGUUUGAGAGCUAAGGCAUGACCCUCACAGGAAACUAUGUCGGCCUCUUGUAUGGCUAUUGUUCAGGUUACUGCUUUGCUGGUGUUGCUAUAACAAAUAUAACCUUUUCUGUUUCUUUACUUGGGAGGGGGAAUGAAGGAAGCAGAAAAGGAUAACGGGAAUAAGAGAAUAUUGAAUCCUUGCUUCAAGACGAUCGAGAUGAAUAAGGCCCUUAACUAUUCUAACUGAAUAUAACAUAUUUCUCAGCAAGAAAUUUGAGAAUUUUUUUUUUUUUUUUUUAAAAUUUACAAUCAAGAACUGAAUUCGCCCUGGCUGAUGUUAUUUUCUCUUUCGACAAUUAACAGCAGAAAUUGAUUAGAUGCCAUUUUUCUCUUUCAACAUUUACCCCUGAUUUCCUUUUUUUCUUUAGCUGUGAUAUUAUUUGCUUGACGUUGACAAGAAUUGGUUUUUUUUUUUUAAUUUUAUUUUGAGCUUGAUCAAAUUGAAGGGAAAAAAAAUUAAUCUGGCGUUAUUCCCAUGUUCUCCUCGUCAAGCAAUAAGGAACUUGGCAUAUUCUUGAACAACCUUCACUACCUUUUUUGAGUCAAUCAGUCAUAAGAUCUUGUAUCUCUAAACUUCAUUUGGAUAAAUUACUUCAGAAAAGCUACACAAAAACUGUUCUUGAUUUAGAAUAUGUCAGAGACUUUUUUUCUCUCAUAAAUAAAAUAUCUCAAAGACUUGAAUAAUCUAAUUUUCAUUUAGUUACUUGAAAUUCUUGGGACCAACAGAUGUGUUCCCUAAUUCUAGUUAUAUACAGAUCUCAUUUUCAAAUUCCAGGAAAUAAUGCUCAGUAAUCCAGUCCUCGAUCCGAAUUUCGAAUUUGACUUGGCAUUCCGGUUAAUCCCUACAGAAAAGGGAACCCCCCCCAAUUGGAUUAUUAGGUGUCGUGGAAUAUACGAUUUUUGUGUUCGAUAGAAGUAUCAAUCGCUGAAGAAGAUAUGCAAGAAAAAAAUCUCAGGGCAUUUGGAAGUUUGUUCUCAGAUAUUUCAUCCUUUGCAGGAGAUACAUAUGCAAACUGUAAGGUUAUGGUUUAUUCACCAAUAAAUCUUAUCUUCCUAACUUUCAACCCUUGUCCAAAUAUCAUCACCAUUACACGCUUUGAAAAUAAACUAAGGGCGCCAAGUUUGAAGCAAAUAAUAACAAUGGCUUCUUCCACUUCAACACAAUCACAAUCCCUACAAGGUCUAAUUUCCAAAACAAGCUUUCCAUCACUUCCAAUAAAUAAACCAAUAUUGCACAAUACAAAUUUCAAGAUUUCAUUCCCAUUUCCCUCUAGACAAUCUUUACUACGCGUCGAAUCUUCCAGCACUGUAAAGUCCAAUGAAGUUGUGGUGGAUGAAGAAAUGGAUAAAAUUAGAAGACUGCAAAAUGGCUCGGACGUUCGUGGGGUGGCUCUAGAAGGCGAAAAGGGGAGGACGGUCGACCUAACGCCUCCCGCCGUGGAGGCGAUCGCAGAGAGUUUUGGUGAAUGGGUUGUGGAGAGAUUGGAGGAGGAGAAAACAAAUGGAAGUGUGGAAAAUGUUAGGGUGUCACUUGGACGUGACCCUAGAAUUUCAGGUGCAUCCUUAAGUGCUGCUGUUUUUGCUGGUCUUGCUCGUGCUGGUUGUCUGGCUUUUGAUAUGGGGCUUGCAACUACACCGGCUUGCUUCAUGAGUACAUUGUUGCCUCCAUUUAUGUAUGAUGCUUCCAUCAUGGUAUGGAAAAACAGCUCCGUGUUUUUGAGCUUGUUAUGCAUACAUAUAAAAAUUGCAUAGACUGAUUUCUUCAAUGAUUUUGCACUAAAACUAUUGUUAAACAUAGAUAUCAAGUCUUGAAGCUUUUAAGGAAAAUAAUAAAAUUUGUAGAAAAUGCCUUUUGAGACCGUGUAGGAGAAGUUUGUGAAGACAAAACUUUUUAAAGCUAACUAUUGUUUCCUUUUGCUUUCUAAGUGAUGCUAUGGCUAUGAUUUCCUGAAACAUGAUUUCAAGAAACCAGAUGGUAAUCUUGCUCUUCAACUUUGGUAAAGUCGAACUUCAAAAGACACUUGAUUUUCACAUAUACUUUUCUUUCAUCUGAAAUAAGUUAAAAGCAAAAUUAAAAUCCCGCUGGGAAACUAUAGUCUUUAAAAAUAGUUCAAGGCUUUAAGCAAAUGAGAGAAAAUGGGAAAAUACUACUACUAGGCUUUGGAUGUUUCUUUUAGUCUGUAUUAGUAUGCUAAUAUGUGGAAGAAUUGAGAACUAUAACAUGAUGCAGAUGACAGCCUCUCAUUUGCCGUACACCCGGAAUGGUCUGAAAUUUUUCACCAAGAAUGGAGGCCUGACAUCGCCGGAUGUGGAGGAAAUAUGCUACAGAGCCGCCCGGAAAUAUGCUAAUAGACUUGCAAAAGUGUCAACUGCUCUCCGGAAUCCACCAAAACGAGUGGAUUUCAUGAGCACUUAUGCAAAACACCUCAGAGAUAUCAUCAAGGAAAGAGUUAAUCAUCCCUUGCAUUAUGACACUCCUCUCCAAGGAUUUCAGGUUGGAAAUUUUAGCACAAUCUUUAUUUAGUUUGUGACUGAAAAAUUCUCCUGCACGAGUUGUUUUUCCCUUGUCCUCUUUCAUUCAUGUGCAAUGGUGGUUCCACUUACCUCAUCUAUGUUGGAAUCAAUUGUUAUACUAGCAAGUGAACAUUGGCCAUAAAAAUUGCAUGAUUGUCUGUGUUGUUAGGGUGAAUAUUAACCUUUGUUUGAUUUAUUUAUUUAUCUUUCCAUCCUUUUCUACACCCUUCUUAUUUUUAACUGUCAGACACAAGAUUUGAAUCCUGAAUCUGACAGUAACGAAGACUCCAAGAACUCUUUCUUGUCUCUAGACCCUAGUGGUUAGGAUGAAUAUUGUCUCUAGACCCUAGUGGUUAGGAUGAAUAUUAACCUAAAAUACGUGAUUGAAAUAUACGAAUUUUAUCUGAUUAAUUUUUUUAAAAGUAAUUUUGCGUUCGUCUGAUUUAGUAAAAUGAACUACUACCUACCAAUAUUUUGAUUAAAGAACUUACUACGAUAUAAUAACGAAACUUUGGGCUCAGCCUAAUACUUUUGUCCAAAUAAAAUAACUGCAACCAGAGUGUCGGCCCACGCUCUUCCGGACCCCAACAGUCAAUACGCUUGCAACACAGGCUGGCCAGAAAUAGCAAAUGAAACGUAAGGCCCAUUCUAAAACAAAAUGAAAAUUUGUUCUUAAAAAGAAAAUGAAAGAAGGAAAGAUAUAUGGGUACCUUCAAUUUACUUACUCUAUACGGUGUUUUUUUGGGUAAAUUACAGAGUCUUUUUUAUUUAUUUUUCUUCUUAUUUGGGAUGCAUAUGGAGGAAAUCUGAUGAAAUUAAUGCAGAUAAUUGUGAAUGCUGGAAAUGGAUCGGGAGGGUUCUUUACAUACGAUGUCUUAGACAGGCUAGGAGCAGAAACAUUCGGUUCUCUACACCUCAAUCCAGAUGGAAUGUUCCCUAACCACAUUCCUAACCCUGAGGACAAAACUGCCAUGGCCUUAACAAGGGCUGCAGUUCUUGAAAACAAAGCUGAUCUUGGCAUAGUUUUCGACACCGAUGUUGAUCGAAGCGGCGUCGUUGACAGCUCUGGGAACCCCAUAAAUGGUGACAAACUCAUAGCACUGAUGUCUGCCAUUGUCCUGAAAGAGCAUCCUGGAACUACAAUUGUGACUGAUGCACGAACAAGCAUGGCCCUGACUAGAUUCAUCACUGACAGAGGAGGUCAGCAUUGCCUGUAUCGAGUUGGAUAUAGAAAUGUGAUUGAUAAAGGAGUUCAGCUUAAUAAGGAUGGGAUGGAGACUCAUCUGAUGAUGGAAAUUACUGGCCAUGGUGCUCUCAAAGAAAACCAUUUCCUUGAUGAUGGUUAGUGUAUUUCUUCUACGGAAAAUAUCAAGAUUGCAGACACUGUAACUUUCAAACUUAAAAGACAUAUAUUAAUAGUUUUCUAACAUAUCUCAUGUAACUCAGUCUCUCAAUCUGAUUCUAACUUUAUCCCUAAAUUUAAAAUAAACAUUCUCCCGAUUUCUUAAAAUUACUGGGGUUUACAUUGUCUUUUUGAAUUUGAAAAUCACAAUGUCUGUAAUGCAACUAUUGUCCUUGUUCUAUAUAUAAACCUGAAUCUUAAAUUUUGGCAUGGAUUCUUGAUAUGCACUUUACAUUGAGUAAAUCAAGCGAUGUGGUUGAAUUUUGCAGGUGCUUAUAUGGUUGUGAAGGUCAUCAUUGAGAUGGUAAGAAUGAAGCUUGAGGGCUCAGGUGAUGGAAUAGGUAGUCUUAUUAAAGAUCUUGAAGGGCCCCUGGAAUCAGCAGAGCUUAGGAUGAAUGUCAUUUCUGAGCCAAGGUUUGCAAAAGCCAAAGCCAUUGAGGCCAUUGAAACAUUCAGAAACUACGUUGAGGUACAUAUCUAUUACUUUGUGCUAAAAAAGAACAAGGAAAAUAGCAAGAACCAUAUCUGGUCAAAUCUUUAGUAUACUUUAUGCUAAAAGAAUGGUAAAUUAUUUGCAGGAAGGUCAGUUGCCAGGCUGGGAUUUAGACUCUUGUGGAGAGUGUUGGGUAAGUGAUGGCUGCCUUGUGGACACCAACGACACUCCAGCAGCUGUUGAUGCUCACAUGUACAGGUGCCAAAAGUUUUCAAACUAAUGCUCUGCCUCCUUUUUUUCUUUGGGGCUCCUUAAUCAAUCUCUCCUUUUCCUCUGACAAAUUUCCGCACAAAAAUUACAGCCCCUUCCCUUAAAUCCGUAUGAUGUAAAAGAAUUGGUCACCUAAUUUGAAAAACAUAAAACUUUUUCAAUGGUCAGGUAGAUCUUUAGGUUGCAUCAUUGUCUUUUAAAUCUUAGGUUAUGGAUGCACCAUUGCUUUUGGCGAGAAUGGCUCAAGCUGCUCCUAAUCUAUUUAUCAUAAAAUGUUAACACCUUGACAAACUCUACAUAAUUGUAGUCCCUUUAUUGCUAAAUACAAAUUUGCUCAAACUCCAGGGCCAAAGUUUCUGACAAGGACAAUGCAGAACUUGGAUGGGUACAUCUUAGACAGAGCAUUCACAAUCCAAAUAUAGCUGUGAAUUUGCAAUCCAACGUACCAGGAGGUUGCCAAUUGAUGUCAAGAGACCUCAGGGACAAGUAAUUUCCAUUACUUCAUUAACACUAUUGAUUUCUUGGCUUCAUAUUAGUACUCUCGAAAUUUUGAUUCAUUCAGCCAAUUUAUCUAUGCUUUGAUUCGGAAUUUCAGGUUUCUUUUGGCAAGUGGGAUGGAUAGAAUUCUCGAUAUCAGUCAGAUUGACAAGUAUGCCAGAAGCGGAAGCGUUUGAUGAUAUGCAAAGCCUUGUGGAAAAAUCAAGCAUAGAUGUAUAGUAGAUAGUAUGCAUAUAGAAGCAUAGAUGUAUAGUAUAUAGUAUACAUAUAGAAUAUUAGACCCGUGAAUUGUACCUACUUGUACAGUACGAACCCUUUUAUUGUAACAUUCAUAUACUUUUGAUCACUCAUUCAGUAACCAUACCAAUUAUUGUAAACAUUGACAAUUUGAGAUGGAAAACUCAACUUGGCCAUGCCAAGGGUAAUUCAUGCAUAUUUUCCUUCUCUUUUUGUGGCUUUUGACGGUUGUGGUAGCUAAGGUUAUGCUUCUUAUCAUAAGCCAUUGGCAAAUGUUGAUCCAUCCUUCUUGGUAUCACAACGAUUUGUGCAUAAAAGAGACAAAUGAAUUUUUACACGAUAGAUCAUAAAAAUGCUAAAAUGAAAAUUAUUUUAGACACAUAUGGCAUGUAUUCUUGACUGGUUUUACAUUGAAAUUCCUGAUCAAGAAGCUUAUGAAGCUUGAAAAUGAUCUUGGUUCUUGAGGAAGUAAGCAUCAAUUAUGUUACUAACUUCACUUGCAAAGUCAAACAUGUGAUCAGGAGCAGGGACAUCUAAAUUCUGCUUCUCAUACUCGUAUGUCCAAUUAAGAAAAUUCUUUGCACCUUUUGAAGUUGCUUGGAAAGUUAUUAGCAAGCUCUUAUAAUCCUUCAGAAGAUCACCCUCAAGAAUUCUGUAAGUCAUUGACCUGUUAUCUUCAUCAACAGUUUCAAUGGUCUCCUUUACCGGAAUUAGUUUGCCAUCUUCAAUUAAUACACAUGAUUACAACAUGAACCAAAUUAGGAAUGAAAAUCAACAAAAAAAAAAAAAAACAUUGCAUAUUUAUACAAGGUCUACGCUCUUUAAUAUAAGAAGUCCAUGCAGGCCUUACCAAUCAAGUAAUUUACCAAAAGUUUGCAUCCUACUUCUCCCCAGUUUCCUUCAAGUAAUUCGAUGCUAGGAAGUUUGUCAGGGCAGAUGCUUGGCAGAUAUUGUUUCUUGCUGCCAUAAAUUUCGAAGAAAAGUAUUCCAGGAGAUGAGAUCUCCUGCUCGAACACUAGCUUGCCCCUAAGACUCAUUCUUGUCUGGACAAUUUGAAGAAUAAAGUUCCCUUUGAUCUUUAUAAACUUGUAAAAUGUAGUUAUUUUAUUUCUGAGCAGAAAGUUUAAAAUCAUAUUUUGGGAUUGAGAUCUAUGAUUGAUUGCUUUUCCACGAGGCAGUCAUGAUCUGAAUGGUUGAUCCCUUGAUUAAAAACAAAAAAACAAAAAUACGCUUGAUCACCUAACCUCCUAAUUGGUGUUUUUUCUAGCCUCCCACUCUGAUUUCCUUUUUCAAGAAUAGGACAUCACAACUCCUAAUUGGUAUAUUUUACUCUCCACUCUGUUUAUCUUUUUCCAAGAAAAGGACGUGCGCCAACAAAAUAAGCUGAUUUAUCAUGACAAGAUUUUGUUACACAACUUUCUUUAGAACAGCAAAGCAAAGGGUAUCACAGAUGCUUUUGCUAGAGAAAUUGUCAGCAGAGGUGGAUGAUUACAAUCAAUGCUAUCACAGAUGUUAGUUCCAUGACUAUGAAGUUUUUGUGUUAAUGACAAUGUACAAAUUAACAUCAAAUUGAAUAUGGUUUUUGUCAGCUCAUUAAUAUCUAGUUUUAAUUUGUGUUAUUCACAAAAAGAGAAAAAUUAUUGCAUAUCUCUAUCUCCAAACGAAAAAUUCUACAAAGUAAACCUGAUAAUGCAAUGGACACAAACUUAAAAAGCAAGUAACAUGUUUGAUCUGUUUUCAACAAUGGGCUAGAGGUUACAAUGGAGGUUUAGCUGGUAGGCGUCCCUUUGCCAUUUACUAAAACCAUUGGUGGCUACUAGCUAGCCACUUUUUAAAAUCUUAGGGACCUGGUGCAAAGCACAUAAAAUUCGAUUCUUAUUUGAAGGUGAAGGACCUGGUGCAAAGCACAUAAUUUUUGGUCUAUUAAGCCUGCCUUCGUUACAAUUUGAUCAAACAACAUAAGAUGAAAGCUAUAAUAUGGCUUUAUCGACCAGAUCAUAAUUACUAAAAACACAAAAUUAACAUUAUGCUUUUGUUAUUCAUCUCCAGGAUAACGUGCAUCAACUGUGCUGGUAAUUUCGCUAGCAAAACCCUUCAAUGCAUCAGGAGGUGGAACAUCAGCAUUCAUCUUCUCAUAUAUGUAUGUCCACUUCAAGAAAUUCUUUCCAUGUUUUGGAAAGUGAUUUUCAAGGUUUUGUACAUCUUCAUCAGGUCACCCUCAAAUAUAGCAUAAGUAAAUGACUGGUUCUCUUUGUCCACAGCUUCCACCGUCUCCUCUGAAAUCAAUUCUUUCCCUCCUGAAAUAAACCCACAUGAAAAAAGGGUUGAAUGAUUGGUAUAAACCACAAUCCAGCUGACUUCUGUAGGAACUUUAUUUACACAAGAAAGUUGGUGCAUUAACACAUAAUUAAAGAUAGGUUUUUGGCAAGUGUUAAGAAAUUGUUGCAGAUUGCAAUAAUGAAAAUCUUCAACUGAUUUCUAGAUUUUUGCUUCUACUGCUGUUCUAAGGCCUAACCAUGAAUGUGAUGUGAUGGUUGUAAUGGCAUCUAGUAUUUGUAUUAAUUACCAUAAUAAUCUAAUACCAUUUCCGGGGAGAAAAGAAAAAUGAUGGAAAUUUGCUUGUCUGUGAGAAUAAUGAUCUUACCAAUUGAGUAAUGGACAAGAAGAAUACAGCCCACGUUUCCCCAAUCGCCUUCCACUGAUUCAGUGAGAGGAAUCUUGUCUGGGCAGAGUUUUAGCAAGUUCUUAGGUGGAAGUUUAAAUAGGGUUAACUUGGAUACAGUGGAUUUCACACCAAAAAAAAAAAGAAUUCAUGAAUGCCUAAGAACUAUUGUGCCUAAGAAAGGUUUGUCCAAGUAAACUGCGCAGUCAACCCUCCAACAAUUACUGCUCAAAUUGUUGUCGCAAAAUUUCUUUUCUAAUUCAAAUAUACUCAUCCAGUAUAAUCUCAAAUAAAUAAAUAAAUAAAGAAGAGAGAAAGAUUCCUUCUUGUCCAUCCAUUUUAACUCGAAGAACUCUUCCAUCAAGACCAUUAACAGUUCGAAUCUAUUUGCCGAUGAAGGUUUAGUGUAGUGAGUAACCUUGAGAUCUUAAAAUUUACCUCAGGAGAUGAGUCCUCAAGUUGACCUCAGGAGUUACCACCGUGGCUUUUGAGGUUAAUUUGAGAUUAGGUUUAACUACUGAUUCUUAAAAAUUUCUGACAAAAAAGAGUAACAUUGAGAUCUUAAGUUUUAGAGAUUUUAGGUUCCAAUCAAACUGCUCCCUUCAUGCUUCUUAAAUCUUACAAUACUCCUAUUAAAAAAAUUAUAAAAUAAAAGUUCGAUUCUGUUGAUGAUAUGGGCCACCCAAGGACCCAAGCUAAAUUUAAUUAUGGGCUUAGUUUCCCUGUGAAUUGUUUGGAAUAUGAAAGAUAACUGGAGCACGUUUGAACCCGGCCAAAUUAGACAUUUAUAGUGUCCGGAUUGCUGGACAAAAUGGGAAUACGCAUUUCUUAAUGGGCCUCUUCUACAUUCUUGCCCAAGAAGAUAAGCCAAAGAUAUGGAUAAAAGAAAAGGAAUAUUGAAAAUGAAGAUUUACCAAUUUAGUUUUUUUUUUUCGUUUUUAUUCUUUUAGUUUGUUGAAUAGAAAGGCAUAUAGCUUGAGUAAUGAAGUAAAUAAAGUAUAAAAUCUUUAUACUUUUGUUUUUUACAGUUAAAUAGAUCAAUUUUACCCGAAAUAACAAAAGGGAACUAGCUAACAUAUCCAAUAGAUGGCCAAAUUAUAAUUUGGUCAUUUAAGCCUACCUUCCUUACCCUUUGAUCAAACAAACAUACAUUGAAAUCUAGGAUAUGGCUAUACCCUGAUUUAUGAUGAUAAUUAGAGUUGAAUCCAUCUAAACUUAGAAAUUUCUAAGAGCCACAAGCUCGCAUUAUCAUUAGAUAAUUAAUUGAGUAAUUAAGUUAUCAAGCUCGAACCACAUGGCUUCUUUUUUUUUUUUUUUUUUUUUUUAAAUUCAGUUCUAGACAAUGUGCAUCAAUUAAGCUGGUAAUUUCACUAGCAAAGCCUUUCAAUGCAUCAGGAGCAGGAACAUCAGUAUCCCUCUUCUCAUAUAAGCACGUCCACUUCAAGAAACUCUUUUCAUCAUUUGAAGUAACUUGGAGGGUGAUUUUCAAGGUGAUGUACAUUUUCAUAAGAUUCUCCUCGCAUAAAUCGUAAGUGAUCCACUGGUUCUUCUUGUCUACAGCUUCCACAGUUUGCAUUGAAGUCAAAACUUUCCCUCCUGCAAUAUAUAUAUAUAUAUCACAUGAAAAAUGGUUCAUUCAUUAAGUGGUAUAAACGUCAAGCCCUCUGACUCAACCAUAUAUUUGUAGAAUUCUGUUUACACAACAAAAUUUGGAGAAUUAGCACAAAGUUCAUAUGGUUUUUGGCAAGUGUUGAGUAAUUGUUGCAAUAACAAAAACCAUUCAAACUAAUUUCUAUAUUUUUGCUUCUAGUGUUUCUUUUAGGGCCUAGCUGUGUUAAAUGGCAUCUAGUAUUUCUUUUGAUUACCAUAAAAACUUAAUGGAAUUACCGGGUAGAAGAGCAAAAUCACAAAAAAAAAAAUGCUUAUCUGUAAGAAGAAUAUUCUUACCAAUGGAGAAAUGGACAAGAAGAAUACAGCCCACAUUUCCCCAAUAUCCUGCAAGUAAUUCAACGAGACGAAUCCUAUCCGGGCAGAGUUUAGGUAAUUUAUGUAUCUUGCUGCCCAAAAUUUCGAAGAAAACAUUUCCAGGAGAUUUGAUUUCCUGGACAAAUUCUAGCUUACCGCUAAGGCAACACAUUAUUUUUAGUGCCACAAUUUUCCAGUAUACACUUUGCACUUGAUGAAGUUUGGAUAAGUCCUCGUAUACAUACUAGGUCGAAAGUAAACUCAAAUCCUUUUACAGAAGUACGUUACAACAUAAAUUUUAGUUUUAGCGUUUGUUUGCUAAAUCAAUCGUAGUAUUCUCGUGAGCUCAUGCAAUGCCAAGACAAAGAAACGGUAAAAUGGGAUUUGCGUUACUUACUCGAAAUGAAUUUUUUUUUAAAGAAAAAUACAAAGAAAUUAAUGUUAAAAGAUUUACUCCUUUUCAUAUAUUUUUAUCAAAAAGUACAUAGGGAAAGGGAUGGGUUGAGUGAUUCGGGAAAAAGAAUGUAAGUGAGAGGUUUUGGUUUUAAGCUUUCCACUCACGCCGUUAAAACAUAUAAAUUCAAAGUGUAUGUAAUUAGACUAAUUUUGGGAAUUAUUUAUUCUAACACGGUCGACAUUAUUGAUGAAAUAUGGCAUCGGCAGAACCUAAAACUUUGAAAUUCAUCUGUUCCAGAAUUUCAAAUGGUAACAUUUUUCCUUAAAAUUUUGGAAUAUUUAUUUUAGGGAGGUAACAGCAUCCGGUGGAAUUGAAAUAUGAAUUUGUCUAACGGGUGUGCAAUUUGCCCUCGUUGAAAUAUCAGCUUGGCUAACCGGUGUUCAAAUGGCCCUCGCUAAGUGGGACAUUAGGCAUUAAUUUUGAAAAAAUGUAAUUAAUUUGAAAAAGUUUAUAAAUUCAGGGGAUAUAAUAAUGGUGAUUGUGUGAAUUUAUAUGGUAAGUUAGAUGUAAUUUAGGUACGUUAACAAGUAUCCACCUGGAUGGGAACCUUUACAAAAAAUCCAAGGCAUUAUUGUUGUUUUGAGAGAAUGGGAGGGAAAGGAAAGCAAACGGAAAUGGAGGGAUAAAGUUUUUAAAUUUUGGAUUAGUUUUUGAGGAGAGAAAGAAAAGGAUUUGAAGGGAAAGGGAGGGACAAUAAUAGUUUUUUUUUUCCAGCCUGCUUCACAUCCAAAAGUGGACAAAAAUAGAGGAAAAUGACAUCAAAAUUAGUGAAAAUUUACUUGUUUAUAAAUUAAACUUUAAACUAUGGAUAAAAAUGUAAUUGACGAUCGAUAGUGUCCUUUCCUUUCCUCCCAUAAUCCAAACAAUAGAUGGACUCAGAUUUCUUCUACUCCCCUUUCUUUUCUUUUCUUUUCUUUUCCUCUAGAGCCUUCUCCUUUCCUUUUCUUCCCUUUCUUUCAAUCCAAACGGUGCCUAAAAGAAAAUACAAGAUGAUGCGACUAAAAAGUUUAUACCAUUCCUAUCGACUGUCAAUUGCAUCAAAACAUGAACUUUGUCUAUAUAAUGUGCACGCUUUGUCACUGAUUUUUGUCGAGUGCUUAGACCAUGAUUGUUAGUGUUGCUUGCUGGAUAGUUUACUCUCAGUAAAAUACUUCGAGAUUUUAGGCCAUAGCAUAUACUUAUGGCUUAUAAAGUGCAUUACUAUAGACGAAAACUACCCAAUCAGCAACAACGGUAAUAUUGGGUUUAAAUGGUACAAUACACUAGGAUAAUGUGCAUUUUACCGACUUCAUGAAUGUGAAGAACUAAAUAUUAUGUAUUAAUUUUAUUUUAUUUUUUUGGAUAUAGUUGGCUUCAAUUAGCGCUCAAACUCGAGAUCUCACAAGGAGAAAGAGAUACCAUAUAUUUUUUUUUUGGUAUGGUUUCUCUUUAUUACUAGAGUUGGUAUCAAAUGUACUUAGGAGACAGAGAUACCUUAAACGACCUUAAGCGAGGGCUAUGAGCUAUAAAACAAGAAGAGGACGAACUACUAGAAGAAGAAUAUGGGCAUAAUAGAGUUGCAAACAAAUCAAAUUGCCCGCUAGUAAUUUGAGUCAAAAGUUGACUCGAGUAAGAUCAACAUCAAGUUCAAACUAACUAAGUCGAAUUUCAGGUCAAAUUCGAGUUCAAAGAUGCUUAACUUGUUAGCUCGCAAGUUGACUGGAUUUUAUAUAUUUAUAUUUAUAUUUUAAUUGUAAAACUACAAUUUUGCCUGUGCCUUACUAUGGUCUAUUUUUAUUUAUUGUGAAUUUAUACAAUUAUGAAUCAUUUAAAUGCGAAAAUUAACAACAAUUCUACACGUUCAUUCAUACUAACUUAAAAAAAUUGAUGUAUUCUAAAUGUUCAAUUAUUUUAAAGCUUUACUUGCUUUGGCCCUAGAUUCACUUUCCUUAGUUAUGUAGACCACUGGACAUUAAACUUUUUUUCCCCUUUUAUUUUAUGCUAGUUUUCUUUUGUGUGAAAUUUUGAUCACGAAAUAUAACUAGAAGCAUCUGGACCUGUCCAAAUUAAACACAUCUAAUAGUAUGGAUUACUGAAUAAAAAGGAGCUUAUGUAUUUUGCUAAUGAAUUCAAAGGAAUUCAUACGCAGGGAGACAAACCAGUUUGAGAUGGGGAUAAAUUAAAAAAGAAAAAUUGAAAAGGGCGAUAUACCGCCGUUUUAUUAAUUUUUUUUUAAUUUGGUAAGUCCUUUCUUUUUGAAAGGUUAGUUUGGUAAAUCAACUCAAGUAAUGAAGUAACAAAAGUGUAAACUUUACACUCUUUACAGUUAAACAGCUCCAAAAAAAAAAGGUCUGUUUGCUAAAGAAUACAAUCUAGCUCUCUAGGGUAUACUUCUCAUCAGCCAUCAUACUACUUCUGCUACUUUAAUUGCUAUAAGUUCAUGCUGGUAAAUGUAUUUGCACCAAAGUCAUAUCCAAAUAUUUAUUAGCUGAGUUAAAAUGAAAUAUAAAUGGUGCGAUAUUUUGGAGUUAUGAUUCUUUACUUUAGUGGAAUAUAUUAGAAUAGUUGGCCAAAUAAAAGAAAUCAUUUGGGGUUAUAUAUUGAAAUCAGCAAAUUUGCUGAAGAAAAAUAGGUCCUUGCGAGUACGAAGCAACCACAUGUUUCAGAAUCACAAUAAAAUCACAAAUAUUCAUUACUCACAAAUAAUAUUUAUUUAUGUUGUUCAACCUUUACAAACAUUGCUUGUGAAACUAACAAGCAUUAGCUUUAUAAUGACAUAGCACACAUUUAUUCGUGCAUCCAUUUUAGAAGACACCAUAUAUAGCAACUUCAAACACGCUAAAUACUUAGAAGAUAUGUCUCUCUCUCUCUCUCUCUCUCUCUCUCUCUCUCUCUCUCUCUCUCUCUCUCUCUCUCUAUAUAUAUAUAUAUAUAUAUAGAUGGUUCAAGCAUUUUUGAUGUGAUGAGAUUCAAUGUCUUCAACCAUGUGAAGGAAAAAGUUGAGCAAGGUUCCUGGAUGUGGGGUAUCUUCCUUCAGCUUCUCAUAGUCGAGAGUCCAUGUAAUCAAACUUUCUUUGUCACCAAGAACAUCAACAUGGUAUAUGAUAGUGAAGGUCUUGUACAGCUCCAUGAGAUCUCCUUCAAUCAUCUUAAAUACGAUUGAUUUCUUUUCUUCAUUUAUGUCCUGAAUAAUCUCCUUUGCCACCCUAUCUUUCCCGUCUGUAAAAAUGAAAAUUAAAUCGAUUACAGACUCUCCAAUUCCUAGUCAACAUGCUGGUAAUCCAAAAACAAGGUUUGCGGAAUUCUUUCUUUUUGUUUUUUUGCGCAAAAAAGUAUGUUUUGAUUAGGAUAGACUAUACCAUUUACACAACCAGGGAAGUAUUCUCGUUGUGAAACACCAGGUAUAUAGCAAAAGAAAAAAAAUCAGUAGUAUUUAUUAAUUGAAUUCUUUACGAAGAUGGACUUCCUUAAUUAACCUUUGUUGUUUCCACAAUCAGAUUAUUGUCUUUGUAUAAAUACUAAUGAUAAUAUUAAUAAUAAGGUUAACGUAAUAGAUCUAGUCCGUUUUUCAUUAAAACUUUUCCCGAGGCAGAUAUUAAGCUUUUAUCCUUUCUUUUUCUGGCAAAUAAGUUAGAUAACUAGUUGUAUGCCAGUUCAAAGCAGGUAAAAACAGAUGGAGAGAGUUUAAAUCAACUUAGUCCAGAAGCUGACUAACAUGCAACAAAAGCUAAAUGAAUAAAGGAAAAACAAGAAAAACUGCGAGAGAAGAAAGAGCCAAAAUAAGGAACUUGAAUAUUGAUUUCAUACCAUGGGUAUAAUGCCAGCAGAUUUUGGAUCCAACAGUUCCAAGAUCACCACCAAGCAAAGUAAACCCUUGAACUUUCUCAGGAGUUAUGGUGGCAAGAUCAUGUGGUCUUUUGCUUAAGACAUCGUGGAACACAUCUCCUGCAGGGCCAUGGAUGUUAGUUGACCAAUCAUUUUACCUUUGAGCCCCAUUUUUUUUCUGAGAAACUGAGAAGGAAAUGACCAAAUACUGCUGCAGCAAAAAAAUGCAAAGAAAUAUGGUCUACUAGACUAUCCCUUUGCUCCUUAUAUAGUAUAGAACUGAUGGGUGACUUCACCCCCCACCUCCACCCCCACCCUUUCUUUUUUUCAAUUGGGGUCUAUAAACCACGUAAGAGGAACCAAUUAUCUUCGCUAGCAACUAUCUUUUUUUUCCCUAGUUCUGCCAUUGUUACAAAGUUUUUUUUUUUAAUUCAUGAGAUGUUGUAUUGGUAAAUCAGCCCUAAUAAAUGAUACUCAGCAUCUAUUAAAAUGUGAUUAUCCUCAUUGUCUAUUAAUCUAUAAUCAUAUUACAUCUAUAGUUUUGCACUUAGGGUCAACAGACUCGACGCCAUUCAUUUUUUUAAUGCCUACAACUAAGGUUUUCUUGUGGGCAACUUAAAUUUUAUUUUGAUCGAUAUUUCUUAGUCUCAUUUUUGCUUUACGACAAGAACAUUGGAUAAAAUAAGGGCCAUCCUUAACAAAUUAUUUUGGAGAGAUCUACUUCUCGUGUCCAUGGCAAAAAUGACUCUCCAAUAAUGACUCUUAGAAGUUAGUUGACACAAUAAAUGAUAUAAAUUCAUGAGUUUUGGACAGCUGGUAAGUAGACUGUUAAUGUCAAUAAGAGAUCGCAAGUUCGACUCCUGUACGUGACACCUUGAAAAACUCUGGUAAGAUGGUCACCCCCAAAUAAAAGUUGGACUUUAUGGAUGCUCCUUGGACCGAAUCCGGGUUAGACUCACUAAGAGUGGGGAUAUCAGGUGCUCAAAACAAAAUAAAUAAAGGGUAAAAAAUAAAUAAGCCCCCUGUGGUAAACCUAAUAUACAGAAAAACCUCCCAUGGUUUCAAAUUAUAUAACACGACCCCUCUAAAUUGUAAAGAUGACGGAAUCCGUUAAACUUAACGGAAAUAGACAAAAUGACCAAAAUGCCGUGAUAUAAUUAAGCCAAAGACAGCUCAAAAAAAUCAUUUGUUUUAUUCUCUAAAUAGAGAGAAUUGAGGGUUAAGGGGUAGAAUAGGUAUAUUUGAUAAAAAUUAGGUAUAAAUUUUUUUUUAGGUUUCAAUAAGUCAUUUCCGUUAAGUUUAACAGAUUCCGUCACCUUUACAAUUUAGCUCAAAGUAUGAGGUGCCGUAUUGUAUAUUUUGAAACCAUAGGGGGCUUUUCUGUGUAUUAGACUUACCACAGGGGGUUUUUUUGUUUUUUACCCAUAAAUAAAUGAUAUCCUCUUCUUACAUGGUUUUUGGUAGGUGGCAUACUAUUACCAAAUGGGAAAUAAAUGGAUAAGUUAAGGCCUUAUCUGAAUUACAGUUUUCUAAAGAAAAUUUUUGACGUUUUACAUAAACACAUUUAUGAAUCAUAUUUUAAUUUCACAUAUAUCAAAUUGUUGUAGCAUAUUUUUUUUGAGAAAAAAGUUUUGACGGCUCUCCAACUCUUUUUCAAGUUAAGUUUUGGCCCUUCAACAAUUAACAGUAAAGUUUUGGUUCUCGAUCUAAUAAAAGAGUAUAUUUGUGGCCCUUCUGUCAAAUCCAGAUAGUAUAGGGAUGGGCAAAAAAACCUGUUGAACCGAAAAUUCAGCGAACUCGAUGCAAUGCGAUCCGAUUUUUCUUAGCAGGGCAAAUAAGGGUCGGGUACCCGUGAAAAAUGGAUACGGAUACAGAUCAGAAAAAUAAAAACUCGUGGGUACCUGAUCCGCAGGGUAUAUUAUAUAAAUAUUAAAAAAUUAGAAAUCAUUUUAUAAUUUUAUAAUUUUUAAUCCUAAAUGUAAAUGAAGUGCCUCACAGCCUUAUAUUCUAAUAUCAUAUGAUCUGCCUCUCCUCAUAUUGUUUGAACAAAGCAAAUAUUCUCGGUGAAACCUAAAUCAAAUGAACAAAAUGAAGAAAAAUUUGUGAAAAUCUAUCAUAAAAAUUGCUCAUCCCUUUGAUUCUUUUCAUUUUUAGUCUACCUCCAUUGAUCUUUCCUGCAAAUUUUUUAUCAAUUCAAUCAAAGAUUUGUGUUUGGAGUUCUAAUUUUCUAUUAGCUAGAUGAUUAAAACAUUUGUGUCUUUCAUUUAUUUAUUUGAUUUAUUUUAUUGUAAUUAUGUCUCUUAAAUUUGUCUCUUUUAUUUUAGUGCAAGAAAGUUAUUUUUCUUUUUUAUCACCUUUAAUGCCAUAAGGUUUAUUCCAAAGAUGUAAGGAAAUUGGGAAGGAUUUUUCAAACUUGUUACUAAAAAGUGUAAAAUGAUCUCAAUUAAUUAAGCAAUGCAUCACUCAUGAUUUCAAUUUGAAGUUGAAAUUCCAAUGCAUCACUCACUAAGCAAUACAUAGUUGAAAUUUGAAGUUGGCUACAAUGAAUUACUUUCACUCAAUUAUCACACACACACAAAGAGAUAAUCAAGUAUAUGCUGGCUAUUAGAUAAAAAUUAAUUAGUUGGGCUGGCUGCCUUUGAUGACUAUCAAUAGAAGAUACACUAUCAUUGGAUACGCUCCCGCAAGCUGAAGUCAAGUCAGUCACAAUAAAAAAGAAGCCCGUCCCUAAAGUUUUAAUCAAAAUACAUUUCAUCCUUAUAGUUCUAUAGUUUUGAUCAAUUUCAUCCCUAAAAUUUCAUGUGAACAUAUUUUAUCCUCAUAGUUUCAUAAAAUUGACCAAUUGAGGACAAUUGAAUGAUUGUUAACCAAUUUGGACCAAGUAUCAUACAUAACUAGCAUGUCCCAUUGAUAAUUGUAUCAAUACUUAAUUCGAUUAUUGAUUAAAUUAUAUAAAUAACAAUGAGUGUGUUCGGAUAAAAGAUUAUUAUUUUUAAAUAUGUGAUAUAAUAUAUAUGAAAUAAAAAAAUAAAUUAGAUGAUAGACAGACAAUUUGAAAACGUGAAUAUAAUGCGACAAAACAAAAUUUUAGAAACAAAUGGCAAUCUAAACAGUUCUUUCUUUCACGUUAAUAUUUUUCUUCAUUUGAUUGCAAUGUAAUUGUUUGAAAGAUUUAUCCAAUUGGCUAUAAUGGAGUUAUUUCUUCUCCAUGACUUUAUUUCCUCUCAAUCUUUUUGUUCUAUUUGUGAUUAAGAAGAGAAUAAUGGUGGUUGAAAAUUUCUUAGUUUUUUUUAAAUAAAAAAGUGAAUUCAAAAAUAGUUUUUGAGGUUUUUUGUUGAUCCAACAUUUUCUGAAUUUUACUAACAUGCAUGUUGUGGUCAAGUGAUGAUAUUCCAUUCAAAUUGCUUGGCAAUCAAUCAAUUAUCCUUAAUUAGUCAAAUUUAUGAACUUAUGAGAAUGAAAUGUGUUUACAUGAAACGUUAAGAAUGAAAUUGGUCAAAAUUAUAAAAUUGUAAUGAUAAAAUGUGUUUUGACUGAAAUUUUGGGGACGAAAUUGCCUAACACCUCAAACAAUGAGGACGAAAAGUGCAUUUUUCCCUAAAAAUAAAAUGAACCUUCAUCCUUCCCCUUAUGUUUUUGGGCUACAGUCCUUUUUUGUUAUUACUGUGUUGAUAUUCAAGAUAACCGAACGUAUAUAGCUAGACAUGUUCCUUUUGAGGAAUCUAAGUUUUCCCCAUUCCUUGGUCCUUCUAUACUUGGUCCACCACCACGUAAAAAACAAACCAAUUCAAUCCACCUUGACUUGUUCUACCAAUUCAUGUUUUCAAAUUCAAUGGAUCCUACAUACAUUUUUAUCACAAACCGACUACUACUCUAACCCUUCUUGUCAAAGUCAAAUGAACUGACCCUAUGGUACUUCGUCACGUAACCAUCCAGAACAAAAACAAUACUACUUUAGCAAAACUUAUCUCUAAACCUUCUGUGGAGUCAUCUGAACUUAUCUCUAAAUUGAAAUAUGAAGUUAGCUGACAAUAAAUUACUUUCACUCAAUUAUUACUUAACAAAAUAAGUACAGUAUAUUGAAAAUCAAGAUGAGAAUGUGGGGUUGGGACAUCUACAUUUGCUUUCUGGUAUAGAGUCCAUUUCACCAUGUUCACAUCACCUUGGACAGUUGCCUGGAGAGUGGCUUUUACCAAAACACAGGUCUAAUUUUAAUUGAAAAAAAAAGUAAAUAUCAAAAUGGUGGAAUUAAAACAAGCAUGUAUAAGCUGGAAUCCAUCAACAAAAUUUAAAAAAAAAUGAAUAAAGAGAUUAAUUGGUUAAACUCACAUAGUAAUUUUCAAGGCCAUAAAACCAUGUUCAUCCUAGAUGGAGUCUGAUCAUUAAUCAUUUGGAGUACAAGACAGGCCAGUAUAAUUUCUUAUGUUUGGAUAGACUAGAUCUAUGUAGAUCACGUGAUUCAAAUUUUAUCAUACAAUCUCAGCAACUCAAGAAUUGAUGGUAUAGAAAAUUGUACCACAAGAUCAAGUCUAUCCAACUUUUUACCUCCUCGGUAAACUAUCAUUACUUAGUUUUAUGAGUAUCUUUUCCUUGCCAAGAAAACUAAUGAAAUGACUGAUUCUUUUUUUUUUUUUGGGUGUAAAGGCAACCACUUGAGUGAUUUCAGGAGAGACAAUGAUGACUUUAAGCUAUCAAAGUUUACUUUGCAGUAAAAAUGUAUGGCUCCAAAAAUUUUCUCACAGUCUUGUUAAAAGCUAUCAUAUAUAUGUCUGCUUUUAAUCCUACAGAUUAAUUACUGAGUAAUAGCUUUCUUGGCCCAUGACAAUAGGAACCGUCCGUCUUAGUGUCACAUAAUGCAGAUUCGUAAAACUUUAGCCCGACACCUAAGGGAGAUUCGCACUGAUAUUUCUAAGCUUAGGUAGGACCAAUAGGAGCCAAAAGAUGCCUCAGGCGCAUCAAAACUCGGUUUGGACCCCACCAAUUUACGCUAGAGCCCGUUGUGCAUUACAUCCAUGGGAGUUCGCCUUCCCCACCACAAUUUACAAGGACAGGACAGGAGCACCAAAAUUGGUCUUGUGUUUCGGCCCCAUCUCUCUACAGUAGAGUAGAAAGUCUUGUACGUGUAUCCAUGGGCCUGGUCCCGGGCCUUCCCUUCCCCACCACUAAUUAUACGAGAUUGGACAGCGACCACCGUAUAAAAUUUUUGUCCAUUGCUGAUUUUGGAGUUUCUGAAUAAAAAUGUAUUAUUAUAGUGAUUGGAUGCAUGCAAAAAGAUGGUUAGAAAAUUUGUUUACGGAAAAAAUAUAAUCUUUUUUUUUGGAAAAAUUACUUUUCAAAUGAUGCCUAGAGUCGGGUACAAACUACCCUCAAGGCAUACAAACUACCAAUCACAACUAUUAGAUUUAAGCCAUGCUUUUAUCUAUUGUCUGAGAGUAGUAAUUCUUAGGCCCUGUUUGGAAUCAAGUUUUUUGGCCAAGUUUUUUAGCUACUAGUUUUUUAACAACUUUAGCUACAGGAACCCAAAAAAACUUAUCAAAUUUUUUAACCUACACACUUUAAAAUAUCUAAUACACAAAAAACUUUCCAUUUUCUUCUUCUUUCUCCCCCACCCCUAUCCACCACACCUCCGCUGCCGGCCACCACCACCUCCACCGCUGUUUCCGGCGCCGGCCUACCCCUUUUUUUUCCUUCUCCCUCUCCCUCUCCCGGCCUCUCCCCCUCCCCCUCUCUUUCCCUCCCCUCCCCUCCCUGGCCACCCUCCCGCUUCCUCUCUGGUCGCACGCUACCACGAAAGACCGAAUUGGGCAAAAGGCUUCCGCUUCCUCUCUGGUCGCACGCUAUGCGAUCUGGUCGAACGAUCGAAUUGGGCAAAAAGGGAGGGGGGAAGGGGAGGGGAGGAGAGGGGGAGAGGGAGAUGGAGGAGAGGGGGAGAGAAAAAGCAAAAAAAAAAAUUGUAUUCUGCCAUGGCUGCUGGUUCUCCGCUUCGGGAGGGAGAGGGGGAUGGUGAAGGGGAGUAGAGGGGGAUAGGGGAGUAGAGGGGGAUAGGGGAGCAGAGAAGGAGAAGAGGGGAAGAAAAAAUGAAAAAAAAAAAUUGGGGAGAGGGGCUGUUGGUCGUCUGGUACCGCGAGGGAAGAGGGAGGGGGAAGGAAGGAAGAAGAAGAAGAAGAGGAGAGGAGAGAAAAGAAAAAGGAAAGAAAGAAAGAAAAAGAAAAAGAGAGAGAAAAAGAAAGAAAAGAAAAAAAAUGGAAGGGCCAUGGCUGCUGGGACUGAGAAGGCAGAGGUAACGGGGGAGGGAAGGGGGAGGGAGAAGGAAGAAGAAGAAGAAGAGAAAAAAGAAAAGAAAAAGGAAAGAAAGAAAAAGAAAGAGAAAGAGAAAGAAAAAAAAAGGAAAAAAAGUUUUUCGCUUUAAAAAAAUUUCUACAAAAAAGUUUUUCACCUUACAAAAACUUCUACAAUUUUUUCAAAAACUUCUACAGUGCACUACAGUAAAGUUUUAGACAAACUCCUAAAAAACUUAGGUUCCAAACAGGCCCUUAAUUUCAGCAUUAGUAGCAAAUGUAAAAACGAUUCCGCAGGUUAUACUUUGUGUGUUUGAAACACUUCUCUCUAAAACUCUUUCUCUCUCCCUUUUCUCUCUAAAACUCUUCCAAUCAAGAUCUUCUUCAUCUCUUUCACGGGAAAGAGAUCAAAUCUGAUUUUUUACCUCUGGGAGGAAGUACUCUUUAUACUUUUUAGUUUCUCUUGUUUAAAUAAAGGGAGAAUUGUAAUUUCAUCCAAUUUUGUAACGGAAUCCUAAUUGCGUGCAAUCACUUGCCUAGAUGUAGGAGCAUUUUAAAAUUUUUUUAACUCACAAAAUGCCGAUGACUUCCCUUUGGGAUUUCACUCCAAUUAUCCGAAAAUAAAAAAUAACCUGGGUUACACAAAGUCACAAACUUUCGUCGAUAUCCAUCUAAAGACUUUCGCCUCCGUCCUCUGCAGUUUGCUCACAUCCUUUCCAGGAAUCCCCUCUCUCUUCUCUCUGUCCUUUCCUUUUUCUUUUGUUUUCCCUUUCUAAAAGGACUCAAACUUCCUUUGCUCCGGUAAAUCCAUACAUGCUUUACCUUUUUCCCAGUUUUCCUUUUAUAGUCUUGGAUCUGCUUAGCUUUUCUGUUCCUUUUGUUUUUGAUACAAAUAUUGAGGCAAAUAAUAAGAGAAGCAAAAGACAAAUGUUUAUUGCUUUGUAAAACUCACACAACUUAUAACAUGAAAUUACUCUAUUUAUAGAGUUUAAAUCAACUCCACUAACUAUACCACUAACUCCACUCACUCCACUAGCAACUCCACUAGGUACUCCACUAAUCCCACUAGUUAUUCCACUAACUCCACUAAUUAGGUAGCAUAAACAAAUAUAAUUAAUUAACAACGGCAAAUAUUUCUAACAAUUCCUCCCUUAAACUGAAAGUUUAUCAAACAUUCAGUUUAAUAUGAUUUAUUAACUGCACAGACUCCAAGCAGCUUCCUUAAUUUCUGAAACGUGGAUAACUUCAAUGGCUUGGUCAUUAUAUCAGCAAUCUGAUCUUCACUUUUGCAGUAGAGAAAAUCAAUUAUUCCAUCCCUUGUGAGCUCCCUUAGAAAAUGAAACCUCACAUCUAUGUGUUUGGUUCUUUCAUGUAGAACUGGAUUUUUAGAGAGUUUGAUGGCAGAACUGUUGUCACAAUAAAUUGUAGUAGCUCCUUCUUGCUGAAAAUGCAACUCUUCAAGAAUAUUCCUUAACCAAAUUGCUUGACAGGCACAGGCGGUUGCAGCUACAUACUCAGCUUCAGUUGUUGAUAACGUAAUAAUUGGUUGCUUUUUUGAACACCAUGAAAUAGCUGCUGAACCCAUCAUGAACACAUAUCCAGACGUACUCUUUCUAUCAUCAGAAUCGCCUGCAUAGUCACUGUCAGUGAAACCAAACAAAUCUAAUUUUCCACCAUUCUUGUAAAAUAAUCCAUACUCAAUAGUUCCCUGCAAGUAUCGAAGAAUCCUCUUAGUAGCUAGAAGAUGUGUCUCCCUUGGAUUUUCCAUGUAUCUACUAAUAAGACUUACAGCAUGUAUAAUAUCAGGCCUAGUUGCUGUCAAAUACAUCAAACUUUCCACAAUUUGCUUGUAAAGGGUGCUAUCAACCCUCUUUCUCCUGGUUCUUUGAUGAGUUUUAAACCCACUUCAACUGGCGUACUAACAGAAUUACAAUUCGACAUUUGAAAUCUAUUCAGAAUUUUUUGCACAUAUUUUCUUUGAGAGACAAAAAUUCCAUCAGCAGAUUGCACCACUUCAAUACCCAAAAAAUAAUGCAUCUUUCCAAGAUCAGACAUAUCAAAUUCGGCCAUCAUAGAUUUCUUGAAUUUCUCAAACAUGGCACUAUCAUUCCCAGUAAAAAUAAGAUCAUCAACAUAUAAGCAAACAAUCAGCAAUUCCUCGCUUUGACAGUCACUGUGAUCAUUGGAGCAUGCUAAUGGAGAACUUCUUGAGAUCCAAAGAGUAUUGACAGAUUGUUGAAUCUGGAGUAGCAGAGCCAACAGCUGGAGAAAUAUUGUUAGAGGUGCAGAAAAUGGAGUUGGAAGCAUUGAAACUGAAAGAUUUUAAAGCCAAAAAUUAUCUUUUUCAAGCUAUUGAUCAGGCCAUUUUGGAGACAAUUCUUAGCUGGCUGCACAAAAUUGUCAGUGGCCAUCAUAAUUUACCAACACAAUUCUCACAACUCACUUUUGUUUUCACUCACAAGCCUAGCUCUAGUACCACUGAUACAAAUAUUGAGGCAAAUAAUAAGAGAAGCAAAGGACAAAUGUUUAUUGCUUUGUAAAACUCACACAACUUAUAACAUGAAAUUACUCUAUUUAUAGAGUUUAAAUCAAUUCCAGUAACUCCACUAACUAUGCCAAUAACUCCACUCACUCUACUAGCAACUCCACUAACUCCUCCACUAAUCCCACUAGUUGUUCCACUAACUCUACUAAUUAGGUAGCAUAAACAAAUAUAAUUAAUUAACAACGGUAAAUAUUUCUAACAGUUUUGGGUUUGAAGCGGAUGUAGCUUGAAUAUUAUACAGGAGGGGAAGGGAUCUGAGGUAUUUUUCCAUUUUUUGAGCCCGGAAUUAGGCCUCCAUGCGUGAUAUACUGUUUAUUUAUGGCUGCAGAGAUUUGUUUGUGAGUGAAACUGAUAUUUUUGUUCAUCCUUGAAAGUUUCUGAAUCUAAUGAUGUUUCCCAAAGGCAAAGUUAUACUUGGAUUUUGAUUUUGAUUUUAAAAUUUUGUGGUAGCUUGUCUAUUUAAGGUUAUGAAAAAAGAAUGCUAAACUCAUAGUUAGCUUCAGUUUCUAGAGCAUCAGCUUCACCUGAUUGGUGUUAGCUUUUCAUCUUAACGGAAGCAGGAGUUAUGACUAUGUUUCUUGCUGUUUUCUUUUGUUACUUUUUGUGAGAGAACGCAUCUUGGAAGAUGUAUGUUUAUGUUUAGCUUUUCAUAGAACCACAAUGUGUUUGAGAAAACCAUAUCUGAUUUUGUAGCAAAUUACCAAAACUAAAAAUCCUGAAAUUUCCUUCUGGUUUGAAUCGUCAAAGUAGAUUUCUUUACUCGGGGUCAAUGAUGAAAAUUCACUCAAUUAUCACUAAUAUAUGAUUAUGACCUUUCUUGGAUAUUAUUUACUUUUCAUGUUGGUUUUGUUUGUGCAGGAGGAUUUCCUAACUGACCAUGUUCAGAAACCUGAAAUUACUGAUUAUGCUAUCAUAAUUUAAGUCAUCUUCGGGUGCAAUGGAGAGUGAUUGCCUUACGGGUUCUUUUCGGCCCUGCAUAGACAAUGAAAUCAUGCAUAAAGCUUGGAGAUUAAUUCGAUGACGCAUCCCUGUUGCUUAUCCAACUCAAUUGAGUCAAGCUGAUCUUUUACACCGAGUUCUACCCGGAUAACAUACAUGUGUAAAAUGCAUAGCAACAGUAUGUCAAAAAUUGCUUCCCGAUUUAGAGUGAGUAAAGUUAUUGGGGGCUUACAAGCUGUAAUCUUUGAUGUUUGAAUGCGCCUUUGAGUUUGACGUAUCAAACUUGGAUAUUGCGGAGUAAUGAAUUAUGUUCCCUAUUUUUAUUUUCUUUUUCCUUCGAAAGGUCAUUGAUCUUCUUGCUUCUUUUUUCUGGAUAAUCAACCAUCUGAGAGUUCUUACCUUCUAAUAAUCUCCUUAGAAAAUUUUAUUUAGUCACUUCAAUGCAAAAGACAUAUGGCCUGAUAUGCACUCGACUUAACAAUAAUGAUAUCACAGAACAAUCCAUAAGGAAAUAAUAUUGCUCAAGAAGAAACCCCGCAUGCUCUCUUUGACAAUUUUUCCUUUUUCUAAAAUUUAUUUGCAUUUCCAUCAUAUGGUGAAGGGUGUAUUUCUAAUUUUUGUUUUCGUACAUCCCAAAGCAGGAAAAGAAAUUAAAGGACUUUGCUAUAGAUAAGUUUAUUAGGAUAGAAAAGAACAGAGAUGUGAAAAAAUGAAAAGAAGAGAAAAUGAGAGGAUAGAUUUUGACUUUUUAAAUAGUUUAUGAGUGCACGCGGCACAUUCCGUUACUCAAUUGGAAGGAAUAUGUCAAUUGUCCACUUUUAUGCAAAAUUGGAUAGAUGAGGGAUCAAAUUUACUGUUUGAAAUAGAUUGAGAUCCAGUUCCGUGCAUGGGUCCGUGCAUGGGUAAUACAUUGAGGAUUACAAUUACAAUUCUCCCUUAAAUAAAUUCUCUCCUAAAAUUUUCUAAUAAGAAAUUCUUCUCUUCUAGGAUCUCCUGGUGAGAGUUUCUUUUCUCCUAAAUUAUUCUAAUAAGAGUUUUAUUCUCUUCUGAAUUUUUUCUUGUGAGAGUUUUUUAGGUUUUUAUCUUUGCUAAAUUUGAGAUUUUAUAGAUCUAAAAUCUAGUUUUCCAUAUCCGCAAUUUCUCCAUUAUUGUCAGAUCUAAAUUUCUCUUUGGAUUUGAAUCAGUUUUAAUCCAUUAUUGUUAGAUAUAAAUUUUUCUUUGGACUUGAAUCAGUUUUAAUCAGAUAUGAUUGUCAAUAGACAUGCGCUUAUAUAUUGGAAUACAGUGAUUCAUCCGGAUGGAAGAUAUAUAGAAGCAUUAAUGUUAUUUUUAUUUGUAUUAUUUUCUUAAAUCUGUUAUAUCUAUUGAUUUUAGAUCUACAUGUAUCUGUGUCAUAUUUGUUUGAUGUAUUUUCUACCAUUAGUACAGAUUUAUUUGAAUGAAAUGAUCUUUUUUAUAUAAAAAAAAUUUCAGCAUUACUAAGGUAAUUGUAUUGUGUUUAAUCAACCUGUUUAUUUGCUUUUUCGUCUUUCACAUCUACUAACAUUUAUCAUUGCAAUCAUAUUUUACUUGUAAUAACGUGUAAAACAAAACCAUCGUAGUUAGCAAUUACUCCACUUCAUAUUUUAGUCCUUUUCAUGGUUUUACCCAAUUACUCAUAGUCAACACUGGUAGAGUUAGGCAUUAAUUUUAAAAAAUGUAUCAAGUUGUAUUCCGUUUUCUCUAUUGUCCAAUAAAAUGUCCUCACUAAUUAGUUUUCUUUUUCCAAUUCACUAUUAUCUGCGUAAAUGAAAAUAAUAUUAUUCGUCGUGGAAUCACAUUUUUUUAAGUGUAUUUAUGUUCUAUCAAUAUUCAGUGACAAAUACAAAUUUACAUCCAUUUGUCUCUUCUUUCAUUGUUAAUAUUCAAUAUGCGUCGUUCAAUCUCCAAUGCGCAAAUUUGAUAAAAUUAUAUAUUAUUUUAUUUCUUAUAUUCACUGAAUUAUAAACUGCCAAAUUUCUAAUAUAUUCUCUAUGUCUUCCAAUUCAAGAAAACCAUACCAUUUCUCCGAAAUACAAAGUUAUAUAUCAAUUAACAAUGUUUAACAGACACCCCAUUUAUGCAUUUUCCCUUAAAGGCUCUUCACUUAUUACACCUUUUUUAAUCUUACACUUUACUGCAAUGGCAUGACACGUUAUGAUGUUUCAUACAAUGACCCAAUUCAUUUUUAUCAACAAGAUGUGGGCAACAACUAUGCACUCGUAACUUUUGCCUAGCAAAAUGAACAUUGUAUAAUGUAAAGGGCUAUAUUACCAUUAUAUAUAUAUAUAUAUAUAUAUAUAUAUAUAUGUGUGUGUGUGUGUGUGUGUGUGUGUGUGUGUGUGUGUAGAACUCAAAUUUUGAAUGAUUUCUAAUAGUGCCAACACCUGCAAUUAAAAUCUUAUAAAUUCUCUUAAACUCUCUUGACUCUUAUAGAUACUCUUAACAAGAUUUAUCAACUAAUGUUUUAUUUAUAACCUCCUACACUUAUCGUGUAAGAAAUCACUUACACAAAAAAUUACCAAAUAAAGUAUAAAUUCCUAAAUUACGAUAACUACUAAAAACCUGAUUCUAAAUAAAACUACUAAAUAAUUAGAUAAAAACUUGUAGUCUUGAUUCAUUUGCCAGCAAAUCAAUCAUAUAGUAUUUGUUAGCUACUAAUUUUUUCAACCCAUAUCAAGUCUUUUACGUGCCACCAAUAAUAGCUCUUUUAUCGGCAUUGACCUAUUACCCAAUUUGAACUUCAUCCCUGCAAGAAGAACGACGAUCUAAUUUGGACAACAAAGAGCUCGGGGUGCUUGGGGGGAACCAGAAGAGAUGGGACCUUAUGGCCCUGCUCGCCAACUCAGUUGUCUUAGAGUUAAUUGCAAGAAAAUCUCGUCCAAAACGUGCACAUCGUGUUUUGCUUUGCCAUGUAAUCUUCUUCUUCUUCUUCUUCUUCUUCUUCUUCUUUUUUUUUUUUUUUUGUUUUUGCUUUGCUAUCUAACCUGAUUGUUCUGACACCAGAAAUAUUUGUAAAUUUAUUUCUUGCCCAUUUGAACAAACUUGAAAAUAUAAAAAAUGACCUCUUUUAGGGUCCGUUUGGCUGGGAGUAAAAUGUUUUCCUUGGGAAAAUAUUUUCCAUGGAAGUAAUUUUUCAGGAAAAUCAUUUCCCUUUCAUCAUUUUCAGGUGUUUGGUUAGCCUAUUGAAAAUAUUUUUUUACUUCAUUUUCUGGUGUUUGUUUAACUUUUGAAAUAUUUUCCAACUUUGAAAUAUUUUCACUUUUACCUCUGUCUUUACUUUCUACACAUUAUAACCACAUACUUCUUCCCAUGCAAAAUAAAAAAAUAUUUAUCUCAUUUUUUAACUUUAAAAAAACUUAAAGAAAUGUAUAUAUGGAUAAAAAAUUUCUCCUUAAGCAAUAAACAAAUUGCUAACCAUUCAUUGUCAAAUAUCAAUCACACGAAUGCUUAUUGUGACAUAUAUCUUACAGUCUCACUGCUAAAAGUUUCUCUAGAAAAGAAUGCCCCUAUUAUACAUAAUUAAUUGCUAGAAUAAGGUGAGUAGGGUGAGGCCUUUUUUUUUAUUUUUUAUUUUGAGCAUACUAUGGGCCUGUUUGAAACCUUGAUUUUUUACCAAGUUUGUAUAAAACUAAUUUUUUAACAACUUUUGCUACAGGAAUCCCAAAAAACUUAUCAAAGUUUUUAACCUACACACUUCAAAAAUACAUAAAAAACUUUCCCUUCAACUUUUCUUCUUUUUCCUCCCCCACCCAACCCACCACGUCCUUCGUUGCCGGCCACCACCUCCACCACCGCUGCCGCCGGCUAGGGGUGGCAAUUUUCGACACGACCUGAAAACACGACACGAAUCUAACACGAAAUUAAUGGGUUUGGGUUGAGGUUUCGGGAAUUCAGGUCAGAAUCGGGUUGAACCCGAAAAGAAAACAGGUCGAUUUCGGGUCAACCCGUGGUGACCCGAUAUGACCCGUUUAUGAAUUAAAAAUAAUUUAAUAAACAUAAAAAUAAUUUUAUCUGACUAAGCUAAGUUAUUCUUUUUUUCAAACGCAUUAAUUACUUAAUCCUAAAUGAAUUUAUUUAAUUUGUGUGAAGUUGAAAUUAUUAUAUUUGAACAAAUAAUAUAUUAUAUUAUUUUUUACUUUUAUACUGUUUUAAUUUAUUUUAUAUUUUGUUUGGGAUAAAACACUUUUACGGUGUUUAAUUUAUUUUAGAUUUGGCUUGAAAUUAUUUAUUUAAAUUUUUAUUACUUGAUUAUGUAAUUAGUUUUGUGAGAAAUUAAUUUUAUUAGAAAUUACAGUGAUAAAUUAAUAAAUUAAAAUUAAAUUUCGGGUCGACCUGUCAACCUGAAAUUUUCGGGUUCGGGUCAAUAUACCUGACCCGUCACCGGUUGGCGGGUUGGGUUCGGGUCAAUAGAUUUUUUGACGGGUCGGGUCAAACCCAACCCGCCAACCUGAUUUGGACCCGAAUUGCCACCCCUACCGCCGGCGGUCACUAUUCCGACAGCUAGUUCUGGCCUUCCUCUUUUUUUUUUCUCUCUCCCUCACCCCCUCUGCUCCUCUCCCCUCCCCCUUUUGACCGAUCUAUUGGUGCUCUUUUUCUUUUUUUUUUUUUCUUUCUCUCUCCCCCCUCCCUUCUUCGCCUCUGCCUCCCCCACCACCCUCCCCUUCCCCCUUUGACCGAUCUGGUCGCUCGACCAGAUUGCAAAGGGGGAGAGGAAGGGGGUUGCGAUCUGGUCAGCUAGGGGAGGGGGAAGGUAGCGGGGGAGGGAAGGGGAGGGGUAGCGGGGGAAGGAAGGGGAAGGGGAGAGGGAGAGGGAAAAGAGGGAUGGCGGGGAAGGUAGAGAGAGGGGUGGUAGGGGAGGGAGAGGGGAAGAGAAAAAAAGCAAAAAAAAAAAAGAAAAAAGAAUCACUUGUUAGUUGCUGCCAUGGAAGUCUCGGGAGAGAGAGCAGGGGAGGGAAAGGGGAGAGAGAAGAAGUGGGGAGGGAGGAAGGAAAAGAAAAAAGAAAGAAAAAAAAAUUCAUCUUACAAACACCCAAAGUUUUUCUACGACUUCUACAGUGAUCUACAUUAAAGUUUUAUACAAACACCCAAAAAACUCACCUUUUAAAUAGUCCCGAUCUUUGAAAGUUUGACAGAUACCUUUGUAGACACCAAAAUUUUAAUAAUCCCUUCUUAUUAUUUAUUUCAUUUUUAUUUUUACCUUUUUAUUCUCAUUUUUAAGGAAAUUUUAUUUAUUUGUUUGGUUAUGCAGGAAAAGAAAGAGAAGGCAGAAAAGAAAAGAAAAAAUAAAAAAAAAGGGAGGAUGCCUCACGCGCGCGUGCGCAUCAUCUUCCUGGUUUCGUACAGAAGCCAGGAACAAGUCUCAGGAAUUGCAGCCGGCCAUUUGAUCCAUUUCCACUCGUUUCUAUUGCAUUUUUUUCCCUCCAAGCCCUUCGGUACAAUGCCAACUCAUCCUAGUUGGAAUCUAUCAAGAAAUAUCCAGAUCAAAAGCCACCCGAUGGCUUCAAAAAUGCCACAAAAAAAAACCCAUUUCAUCUGCACCAUUGAAGCAAGGGUUUGGGAGGUGUUUUGUGCCUAUAAAAGGCUCAUAAACGCAGCCCUAAAGAAAGAGAACAAGGGAUAGGUGGCUGAAGGAAGAAAAAAACAGAAAAGAUAGAGAAACCAGAGAGAAGAAAGGAAAGAAAAUUUUCUGGAAAAUUCGAUACCGGGUUGAUCGAGCAGCCAUCUUUGGAUGUCAUUUUCUCUUUCUUUUUAGUUAUUUUUUCAUAUUAAUACUCUAUGGAGGUAGAUAAAGAAUUUUCGUGUUGAAGGUCUCUGGAGAAAACAACUUUAAAGCCAUGAAAUCCGACGCCAAAGUUGGAAGAAAACCAGCCCUGGUUCCGUCGUAAUUUUGUUGAAAAUUUUUCAAUCCGCUUCCACUAGCAUUUUCCGGGUUCCAGUUUGUUUCUAGAGCUUCACAAGGUAUUUUUAUAACCUCUAUUAGUUUGAUUCGACACUAAACUAAGAUAUUUGCACGAGUUUAUGGGAUUUUGCAUUUUUGUUGAUUUUUGGUUGAGAUUCCUUAUGUCUUGGAAAGCUGUUCUUUUGAUGGUUUAAAAAUUAGCUAAAAAAUAGCGUAGAAGAUGACUUGAUGUUUGCUUUUGAUAGAGUGGCCGAAUAACUUGUAGUUUUUGGUGUUUCCAUGGUUGGUUCCGUCGAAGUCAGUUUCAUGGCUUCUUUCUUGCAUUAUUAUCAUAUUUGCGCCUAUUUGAUCUUCAAAAAGGCUUUGUAUCGGAGUUUUUGGUUGUGUUAAUGAGUGGUAUAUUCUGUUGGAUUUUAGUUCACAAAUCAAUGGUUUUGUUUGAGCUCAUGCAUGAUUUUCCACGUAUAAAGCUGAUACUUUGCGAAGAAAAGUUGCAGAAGAUGAAAUGAAGAAGAAAGCCUCGGUUCUGAUUUGCAUGAAACUUUUAAAAACUACAUUUCGACCCCUAAAUUUUCACCUAAUUUCACUAUGACCUAAAAACUUCUACAAAUGAACCAUCUUGACCCCUUUUAAAUUUUAAUCAUCUUUUACAUAUUUUAAACAUGUUUGUGGGCGAAAUAAUUCUGGGUUUUAAGACAUUAUUAGGAUUAAAUAAUUUUUUUAGUUGAUUUAUUAUCCUAUUAGGUUUUGGUAAAAUAAGUGUGGUUUUGGGUUAAGGGUUAUUGUUUGGGUUUUGGUUAUGAAUUUUAGUUAUUUUGAUUGGGUUUUUUUUCGUUUGGGUUUCUUCGAGCAAAACUAUGGGUUGGCUUGUGUAUUCUGCCUCGGACUUUCGCUGGGCUUGGGGAGGUUUCAGCCCAACUAAAGCAAAAGAAAAUGAAAGAUAGCCCAAUGGCCCAAUUCCUUAAGAAACACUGAGAAUUGCAAUAUGGUCCCUGUACUCUUGUAUAAUUUUGUUUUGGCCCUAAAAACUUUAGUAUUCUUUUAAUUAGGUCUUUAAUUUAAUUGUGCUUUGGUACCUAAAUUUUUUUCUUUCAUUUUGACCUCUAUUUUUUGUAAUAAUUGAAUUUAACCCCAAAAAUUUCUUAAUUUUUGUAAUUAGGUCCCUAAUAGUUUUGAUUUCUUAAAUAUAAUUUACUUUUCUUCUUUAAUUAUAGAUUAUACUUCAUUUAAAUACUUUGAUUGGUAGAUUUCAUGAUAAUUUCCAUUUAUUUAUAAUUAAAUUAGUGUCUUAAUCAUUUUGUUCGUUUUGGAGUAUAAGUAGGGCAAAUUUCACCCUAUUUAAUCACCACUUCACGAGAGGUAACCUCUUUUAUUAUUUUAAACUCUUUCAUGUGCUCCAAUGUGUUUUUAUGUGUAAUUGCAGGUUUUGAAUGUUUUUUCUUUUAAUUAGUCAUUCUUAUUCAUUUUUAAGUUUUAUUUGUUUUAUUUAAUUUUGAUGAUUAUCUGAGAGGCAUUAAAAUGCCAAGUUGUAACAGAUAGGUGCUCAAGACAUGUAUUUUGCUAGUUUAUGCAAUAGAUAGGUUCUAAUUUUUGUUUAAAAUGUAUUUAGUUAGAUGAAUAUAAUAAUUAGGUUAUUUUUUUUUUGAAUUCCCCUUUAGAUUGUAGUUAGGGUCCGAAUGUAAUAGUUAGGCUUUUAUUUGCAUUUAUUUGUUUGGGUGCUUGCAUGCUUGUGUGUUUAUGUGUUUACUCAUUUUCAUUUGGGUUUUGUAUCUAGAAAUUAUGAUUAUGUGUUAUGUGCUCUAUGUGCAUUAUGUGUUUAUUUGUUUUAAUUAUGCUUUAUAUGAUUUAUUUAAUUAUAAUAAAUGCAUGACGUCACCACAUCAGUCCAACGCUAAUUGUGACCUUCCUUCGCGAUUUCUCACUAGUCCCACGCUAGUGAGAACUUAUAGACAUGGGUUAGUUAUUUAGUCCAAUGCGAGACUCUUAGGGACCGUCCACGCACUAUAUCAUGUUUUUGUGACAAUCACUACAUUUCAUGCAUAUUUUCUACUUUUUAGAAUCCCUACCAUUUGGCAUGAUAUUUCCUCUAUAUGUAUAUUCCUUAUCCCUAUGUGCGAAAUAGAACAUUUAGACUUGCGUUUCAUUUAAGAAACUUAGAAAUAUGUGAGAUCAUUUGCUUGAUUAGAUUAGGAGAGCACCCCUUCAAAUAUGGGAAAUGAACAAGUAUAGCUACUUAGUCUUAGCACGCUCGUGUCUCCUCUAUAAGAAAAAAAAUUGAGUUACAAAUCUUAGUCCCCCGUACUCAUUAUCAUGCAUUCCUUUAGCUCAUGUAUAUUUGUAUAUUAUUAUUUUUCUUUCUUUUCUUCGAGUCUCAUCUUUUGCAUAUUCGUAACCUUUUCAAAGAGUCACUCUUGGGCGUCUCAAUUAAUGCGCUUUGCGCCAAUUAAAUUUUGAAGAGAUAUUUCGACCAUCCCGAUAUCCAUUAGGUCUAGAUUUGCAUAGAUAUAGUAACAUAUAAAUGUGAUAAGUUUUAUAGGUUAAAUUAAAAAAUUUUUAACUAAAUCACACAACUAACCUUGACUAGAUUGAAAGGGUGUCAUAGAUCAAAUCUUUGUCUUCUCUUUCUUCAAUCGUGACUCCUGAACUUUUUUCUUUUGUUUUCAAAGACGUGGAGUCGUUUAAAGAGGGUUUUACCUAUUUUUUUAUUAAAAAAAUAUUUUUGGGUGAUUUGGUACACCUUAACUCAAUAUCAAGUGACGACUCCUAUUUUUUUAAACUAUUAUUUUGGGCCAAAAUCGUCGCACUUUUAAAGUCCCAUGUUAGGCUCUUUUUCUGCAUUUAUUCUCUAAAAAUCAAAAACUCAUUUUUACUCAAAAUUAAUCAAAAAUUCAUUUUUUAUAACACGUAAUUUUAUUUUUCAAAAAAAUGGGGCACGACAACCUUUAUCAGGCGGGACACAUACGUUUAGAAAAACAACUUUAGUAAGUUUGGAAGCGAAGUUGUUUUUUAUAAGAUGAGUGAAAAUCUUUUACACAGUAAAAUAUUUUCAGUAAUUUUGUGCAACCAAACAUGGGAAAUUAGGAAAUUAUUUUUCUCGAAAAGAUUUUCAACCGAACACAAACAGACCCUUAAUGCAGUAUCAAUUACUUCUGGAAAGCAACUUUGCUAUAUAAUGCAACCACCGAUACCCCAAGCACUAUUUAUUUGACCAAAUAACAAUCUUUUUUCUACACAUGCUUCAUGUCAUGGAAAAGUCUGCAAUAACGAUCGUUAUGAUAACGAAACUGUUUUUACCUGAUAUAACAGGUAGAAACAAUUUUAGUGACCAUUUGAUUACCUAUUGGACUGGUCACCUAAAUAAGAUAGUACCUAAAAAUUUGAUUAGUAAGUUUUACAUAAAAAAUAGUAAGUUAACUCGAUAAAUUAGUAACUUUUAUGUCUCAACAAGUAAAUUGGAAUAAAUAUGGAACUUACUUUUUUUUUAAAAUAAAUUACUACUCGAUAUCCAAAACUUACUUUUUGGAGAGUAAGUUUAGUUCAAGUAAUACUAAGUUUUUAUAGAUUAAUAGUAAAUAUUGUUGAUAGAAUAGUAAAUUUAGUUAGUGGUCAAAACCUACUAGUUUGUGGUAUAAAUUUACUAUUUUACUUAAAAAACUUAUAUGAAACAAGUAUUAGGAAGUUCAUUUGAAGUAAUGCUAAAAUUUUUUAUUAAUGAUUAAAACUUAGUAUUAUAGUUAGUAAUUACUCAUAAUGUAAAUAUAUGAUACACAAUUGUACGUAACAUUUAUAAAUGUUAUAUUGUUUAAGCAUUUUAACUAUACUAUGAAAACUAUUUUUUUUUGCACAUGACCUUUAAAAUAUGUAAGAAUAAUUUGUCAUAUUAUAAAUUUUGAAUUAUUUUUGAAUUUGUGAAAGGUUAGAAAGUUUGGAUGACAAUAACAACAAAUCUUUCAAGUUAUAUAUAGAAUUGCACUUAUCUAUACAUCACAAUUUUCAUAUAUUAAUACCUAUGAAUAUAAUAAAAUGGUAAAGUUUUAAUAAAUUUAUUUACUGGGUCACAAGUAUAAAAGUUAAAGUUGUAUUAUAAUAACAACAAAUCUUUCGAGUUGCAUAUAAAAUAGCACUUACUUAUACAACACAAUUUUCAUAUAUUAAUGCCUAUGAAUUUAAUAAAAUGGUAAGAUUUUAAUAAAUUUAUUUUCUGGGUCACAAGUAUAAUAAUUAAUGUUGUGUUAACAUAGCAUAAUUUUUGAAAAUUAUAAUAAAAUUACCCAUAUGUUAAGUUUUGUGACUUUCAAACAUACUUUGUAUCAUUUACAUUAUGGAUUUGUAUCCAUAUUUUUCUAUCAAACUCUUUUUCAUUGGCAAAUGGUAUAUAAAUUAUUAUAAAAUGUCAUUUUAUAAUAAUCAUAAUUUUUUAUAGAUGAAUGUUAUGCAAACUGUUAAAAUUAUCAAUUCACAAAUGGCUAAAUCUUACUACUUAUGGCAUAUAUUAGUCUAAUUGACUAAAAAAAUACUGUAAUCAUGUAUACGUUGAUUGUUGAAUUGAAAUUUCGUUUAUUACUAGUACAAGUUCUUCUAAUCAAAGCAAAAUAAAAUCAAAUAUCUUUCCCUUUUGUAUGUAGUAGUUAUGUUUAGUAGAAAAUUAUUAAACCAUUUUUACAAUACAUAAUUUCUCCUAAAAUUAGUAAUAUUUUCCAUGACCUCUAACCUUAUCAAUAAUACUAACGACCGACAUGUAGAUAAUCUUAAAAGCAAAAGCCAUCAUUAUGACAAAAAAAGAAUAUUUUCAUGCUGAAUAAACAAAAUUGUAAUUCUAUAUAGAAUCGAAGAAAUUCAUCAUGAAUGAAAAUGAAUUGCAAAGUUAUUACAUUUCUAAUUUCAUAUGUAUCUAGAAUUUCACGCAGCAUUACUUUAGAGGAACUUUCCUUUUUCACACUAAGGAACCAAUCUCAAUCUCUUCGUCUCUUUUAUUUUUUCUUUAACCAUUAAAAUACUAAAUAAAUUUAAUUCCAUUUCAAGCUCUAGUUAAUUGUAUACUAAUAUUUUACACAACAAUCAAUUGAGCACCAAUUUCCUUUUUUUAAGUAGCUAUUAUUUAUUUUAUUACUUUGGUUAAAUAUUUACAUAUAAAAUAAUAACAAUAGAAUGCCAAUCCUCGGAUCAAUGAAACUUCAAUUAUUGUUAAUAAAAAUAAUUUUACAUUGAUAAAAAUUAGUCUACAGAAUGAAAAGUCAAUGGCAACAAUUGCUAAAAUAUAGCAAUUUUUAAUUGUGGGAAAAUAAACAACUAAGUUCCCAAAAUAUUUCACUUUUAUUGUUUAAAAAAUCUCAACUUGUUAACUAAAUUCAAAAUAAUUCUAUUGUCAAAAAUAUUUCUCCUCAAAUUAACUUUAAUGAUUAGAGAUGAGAUACAAAUAUGGCAAAAUAUCGCUCAUACGUGUGUCAUGGAUAUUUGAGACUUUUAGUAAAAAACUUUUUGUUGUUAAAAUAACAUUGUAUCAUAGUGUACUAAUUAUUUUAGAACCAUUUUUAUACGUGAACUAAAUUUAAUUUAAAUUAUACAAUAUAUUAUAUAUGCAUGUGAUUUUCAUUUAUAAUUGUUGGAUCCUAUUUUUUAUGAACAAUCUCCCAAGGAAAAAAGUUCAGAUCAUACUGAUUUUCUUAUAUUAAUUGUUAUACUAAUUUUGUCAUUUUUAUUGUUAUAUUAUUUCUCAUUUUGUUUGGGCUUUAGCUCUUAUUAUUUCUUGUGUCCCAGGUCUAAAUUCAUUAAAACUUUAUCAUCUUAUUAUAUUCAUAAGUGUUAAAUUAUAAAAAUUGUGAUAUAUAAAUAAGUGAUAUUCUAUAUAUAACUAGGAAGAUUUGUUAUUAUUGUUAUUCAAACUUUUCAGAAAUUGAAAAUGAUUAAAAACUUAUAAUACGACAAAAUUUUAUUACAUAUUUUACGAGACUAUGUGAAAAGUCAAAUUAUUUUUCAUAGUAUUUUAAAAUAUAUAAAUUCAAAAUUUUUUUAAAUUAUACUUAUAAUCAUGUAUUAUACAGGUAUAUUACGAGUACUUACUAACUAAGGUAAUAUGUAUUAAUCAUUAAUAAAACAUCUUAUCGUUAUUUCAAAUAAAUUUCCUAAUACUAGUUUGAAAUAUGUUUUAAAGUAAAAUAGUACAUGUGUCCCAUAAUCAAUAAGUUUUGAUUAUUAAUCAAAUUUACCAUAUUAUCAGUAAGAAUUACUAUUUAUGUAUAAAAACUUACUAUUACUUGAAUUAAACUUACUCUCUAAAAAGUAAGUUUGGGAUAUAAAGUAGUAAUUUAUUUAUUUAAAAAGUAAGUUUAAUAUUUAUUCAAAUUUACUUUUUGAAGUAUAAAAGUUACUAAUUUAUUACUGUUAACUUACUAUUUUAGAUGAAAAACUUACUUUCUUAUUUUUAAGUGUUAUUCUAUUUAGAUGGAUAGAUCCAUCAAGUAAUCAAAUGGUCGCUAAAAGUGCAACAACCUGUUAUAUCAGGUAAAAAAUUAUUUCGUUACCAUAAUUAUCGUUACUAAAACAUUGUACUCGUGUCAUAAUCAUCGAGCUUUACAUGAAUUGUUCAUCAAAAUUGGUCUCCCAACUUUGAUCUUAUCAUCUCAUUCUACCAUUUAAUGCGACAGCGAAGAAAGUGAAACUAUACCAUAAAUCUGCCCGAAUACCAUCAAAUAAAUAGCCUACAUGAAUGUGUUAUGUACUAUAAUCUUUUUCCUACUGCAGCUUGAUGAAAAUGGGAAAUAGUUUUACCCUUCAACUCGUAUAGACACUGAACAUACACAAUUUUUUUUUUUUUACUGCAGUUUCUACAUUGAUCUCCUUUUUCUAAUAUUAAGUAACACGAUGAAUUAAUCUCUUAAACUUCCAAAUUGCGGUAAUUACAGACAGAUGUUUGCCAACUUACAACUACAGCUUUGCCAAAUUUCUCAAGACAAAGAAAAAUAUUUUUAAGUAGGCAUCUAUGUGCAAUGUAGGUAUGAAACCAGAGAAUUCUAGUAGGGUUAAUUAGAAAAAUCCAGAACUAUUCAGGCGAUUCAUAGAAUUAUACUUAUUAAAACAUGUCCUAAUAAUUAUAGUGGAAGCAAUUUAAAAAAAAUUAAUGUUGGGAACAAAUUAAGCUAAAUAAAAUAAUCAUUAUCUUUGUCAUACCUAACAAUUUCAUUCAAAAAUAAUUAUUGUCUUUUUCAUACUUAACAAUUUCAAGCUAAUUAAAUCACAGGUGUUUUUCUAAAGAAAAAAAGAUAGCAAGACAAAAUUGUAUAGUUUAGCUUAUUAAACAUCCGGUUUUAGAUAUUUAUCAAACAUUAUAGAUAGAUUUAUUAUUAAGAUUCAGAUAUUCAUAUAUUUCUUUUUAUUAGUUAAAAUUUAGCAAAUUAAUUGUUUCAAUAUUCAGUUUCAGAAUUCAGAUUCAAUUUUAUCAAAUAGGACCUUAGUGUGAACUCUUAAUUGUAAUUGAAUUUGAUAUUUUAAAAUUGACAUUUAAUACAAACUUUUAUGUUUAACUAAAUUUGAUUUUUUCAAAGCCACAAUUAAUACAAAAUCUCAAAUUUAACUAAAUUUGAUUUCUUGUCAAUCACAUUUAGUACAAGACAAAGACAAAGAAACGGUAAAAUGGGAUUUAUAUUACUUACUCGAAAUGAACUUUUUUUGUUUUAAGAAAAAUACAAAGAAAUUAAUGUUAAAAGAUUAACUCCUUUUCAUAAAUUUUUGUCAAAAAGUACAUAGGGAAAUGGAUGGAUUGGGUGAUUCGAAGAAGGACGUGUAAGUGAGAGAUUUUGGUUUUAAGCUUCCCACUUACGCUAUUAAAAUAUAUAAAUUCAAAGUGUAUGUAAUUAGACUAAUUUUUGGGGAUUAUUUAUUCUAACAUGGUCGACAUUAUUGAUGAAAUAUGGCAUCAGCAGAACCUAACACUUUGGAAUUCAUCUGUCCCAGAAUUUCAAAUGGUAACAUUUUUCCUUAAAAUUGGAAUAUUUAUUUUAGGGAGGUAAGAGCAUCCGGUGGAAUUGAAAUAUGAAUUUAGCUAACGGGUGUGCAAUUGGCCCACGUUGAAAUAUCAGCUUGGCUAACCGGUGUUCUAAUGGCCUUCACUAAGUGGGGCGUUAGGCAUUAAUUUUUGAAAAAAUGUAAUUAAUUUGAAAAAUUAUAUAAAUUCAGGGGAUAUAAUAAUUGUGAUUGUGUGAAUUUAUAUGGUAAGUUAGAUGUAAUUUAGGUACAUUAACAAAUAUCCACCUAGAUGGGAACCUUCACAAAAAUCCCAAGGCAUUGUUGUUUUGAGAGAAGGGCAGGGAAAGGAAAGCAAACGGAAAUGGAGGGAUAAAGUUUUUAAAUUUUGGAUUAGUUUUUGAGGAGAGAAAGAAAAGGAUUUGGAGGGAAAGGGAGGGAUAAAAUUAGUUAUUUUUUAUCAACCUGUUUCAUGUCCAAAUGUGGGCAAAACAAAGGGAAACGACACCAAAUUAAUGAAAAUUUCAAAAUGUUCUAAAAACCUAUCAUGUAUUUAUAAAUUAAAUUUUAAAUUAUGGAAAAAAAUAUAAUUGAUGCAUGAUAGUUUUCUUUCCUUUCCUCUCGUAAUCCAAACAAAAUAGACAGACUUAGAUUUCUUCUACUCCCCUUUCUUUUCUUUUCCACUAGAGUCUUCUCCUUUCCUUUCCUUUCUUUCAAUCCAAACGGUGCCUAAAAGAAAAUACAAGAUGGUGCGACUAAAAGUUCAUACCAUUCCUAUGGACUGUCAAUUGCAUCAAAACACGAACUUUGUCUAUAUAAUGUGCACACUUUGUGACUGAUUUCUGUCGAGUGCUUAGCCCAUGAUUGUUAGUGUUGCUUGUUGGAUAGUUUACUCUCAGUAAAAUACUUUGAGAUUUUAGGCCAUAGUAUAUACUUAUGGCUUAUAAGGUGCAUUACUAAGACAAAAAAUACCAAUCAGCAACAACGGUAAUAUUGGGUUUAAAUGAUACAAUACACUAGGAUAAUGUGCAUUUUACCGACUUCAUGAAUGUGAAGAACUAAAUAUUAUGUAUUAAUUAUUUGUUUUUUUUUCCGGAUAUAUUUGGCUUCAAUUAGCGCUCAAACUCGAGAUCUCACAAGUAGACAAAGAAACCAUAUUUUUUAGGUAUGGUUUCUCUUUAUUGCUAGAGUUGGUAUCAAAUGUACUUAGGAGACUGAGAUACCUUAAACAACCUUAAGCCAGGGCUAUGAGCUAUAAAACAAGAAGAGGAUGAACUACUAGAAGAAGAAUAUGGGCAUAGUAGGGCUGUCAAAUAAAUUGAGUUGCUCGCAAAUAGUUUGAGUCAAAACUCGAUUCAAGUUAGGUCAACAUCGAACUCGAAUCGAGUUCGAGUUAACUGAGUUGAACUUGAGAUCAAAGAUACUUAACUCGUUAGUUCGCAAAUCGACUCGAUUUUAUAUAUUUAUAUUUAUAUUUUUUAUUUUAAUAGUAAAAUUACAUAUAUCCUUAAUAUUUUAUUAUUUGUUAAGAAACAUUACUAUUUUAUUCAUUUUUAAAAAUAUAAAAUAAUUAUUUUUUAUUUUUUUAAACUCAAGCUUGAGCCCUACAAUAAGAACUCGUUGAUUUUGAGUAGGGGUGGCAAUUCGGGUCCAAAUCAGGUUGGCGGGUCGGGUUCGGGUCAACCCGCCAGAAAAUCUGUUGACCCGAACCCGACCCGCCAAACCGUAACGGGUCAGGUAUGCUGACCCGAACCCGAAAAUUUCAGGUUGACGGGUUGACCCGAAAUGACCCGAAACUUAAUUUUAAUUUAUUAAUUUAUCACUGUAAUUUCUAAUAAAAUCAAUUUCUCACAAAACUAAUUACAUAAUCAAGUAAUAAAAAUUUAAAUAAGUAAUUUCAAACCAAAUCUAAAAUAAAUUAAACACCGUAAAAGUGUUUUAUCCCAAACAAAAUAUAAAAUAAAUUAAAACAGUAUAAAAGUAAAAAAUAAUAUAAUAUAUUAUUUGUCCAAAUAUAAUAAUUUCAACUUCACACAAAUUAAAUAAAGUCAUUUAUGAUUAAGUAAUUAAUGCCUUUGAAAAAAAGAAUAACUUAGGUUAGUUAGAUAAAAUUAUAUUUAUAUUUAUUAAAUUAUUUUUAAUUUGUAAACGGGUCAUAUCGGGUCAUAUCGGGUCACCACGGGUUGACCCGAAAUCGACCUGUUUUCUUUUCGGAUUCAUCGGGUCCAACCCGAUUCUGACCCGAAUUCCCAAAACCUCAACCCAAACCCAUUAAUUUCGUGUUAGGUUCGUGUCGUGUUUUCAGGUCGUGUCGAAAAUUGCCACCCCUAAUUUUGAGUUUGAUAAAAUUAAAUCAAAACUCAACUCAAUUAAACAAAAAUUUGACUUGACUCAACUCGUUUACAAACCUAGAUAUAGAGUUACAAUAGUGACAGGUUGUCGAUGCCUGUGCAAUAAUAAAACCUGCUCAAACUAAAAGUAAUUUCUGUAGAUAACGGUAAGCAGGGUCGAAUCCACAGGGACUGGGAGUAAUUGUUCCUUUUCAAAUUCACAGUGACAAAGGGGAGUGUUUUUAUAUCAGGGGUGACAACUCAACUAAAAGUAAAAUAAUAAAAAUAAAAUAGCCAACUAGAAAUUAAAAAAACACAAUUUACUAAAAUCAAAGGAUCUAGCCAAGGAAUAACUUCAGCAAUGGUUCACCUAAUUGAUCAUUGAUAAGCAAAGGCAAUUCCAAUUAUUUACUAAUAAAUAGGUUAUAACUGCCAAACAAGCGAUGGCAGUCAGCCCCUCCUUACUGUGUCGGUGAUCAAGGUACGCUCGUUAAUCACUUCUUUAAUUGGAAGAACAAUCCUAGGUACGCCCAUAAGAUUUAAUUUCCCAAUUGCCUUACGUAUUAGAGGAGCCCUAUUCUAAUCAAAUAACGCACUACCAGGGUUAUUUCAGAUUAGCCCGCGUAUCCCCCUGACACGAAUCUAAUCGUGCCAGUUGUCACUAUUUCAAGACAAUUAAACAAUUACGAAUUUAAUGUCCUAAUUGACAGUAGAUUAUCCAAUCAAUUAACCAUCCGGAUCCAAGACAAUCAACUAAUUAAAUGACCAUAAGCAUAGCAAUCAAGGAAUAUGCGAAUACUAAUAAAUAAAAGAAAAAAAUUAAAUUAAAUCGAUCUUACAAUUUGUAGGCGAGCCAGAGCCUUCGUUAUUUCUUGACUAGAAUGAGGAAAUUAGUUCAUAUUUGAUGAACUGAGUCCACACAACAUUGAAGAGAAGCCAGCGGCCAUGGUCCGUUGAAAUUUAGCAGAAUCCAACUCGUCUCAAUAUAUUGAAUGAAUAGAAAAGCUACAAAAGUUCAUAGUUUUCACUCCGUCUGGCGCACAACAAUGAAGAAAAGACUACUAAAAGCAACUAAGGAAGAAAAGUCCAAGCCAUGAAUGGCUAAACUCCUGACAUUCGUAAGUCCCAAGAGCUACUAAGAAGCCAAAGAAAAGUCAAAGGCAGCAAGUCUUCAUUGUUCCUGCCAUGCGUUUCCGUUCUUUGGUCAAAAGUCUAAAAAGGAAGAAGAAAUCUAAUUCUAAGCUAGAAGCUGCUGCCCCUUCUUCUGCACCAUUUUCUCUUAUAUCCUCCUGUUCCGUGCGGCGGCUCCAGGGAGAAGAACACUUUUGGCACAAUGACCGAAAAGGGCUCAUGUCCCUACUUCCCAAAAAUGCCCUUUCGAGCCUUCUAUUUAAUUAAUUUCCCGAUGAUUGUCAAAUUGGCCUUAAUUGUAGUAUUUUCAUUCUACUCCCUGAAAUAAAUGUAAAUUACGAAAAGUGAGUAGAAUCCAAUAAUUAAUUCACAUCGGGUCAGGUAAUAGAAAAAAUUAAUAAUAAAAUAAAUGAUAAAAUUGCACCCUAUCAAAUAGCUCUAUGAAUUACCGUAAGACAUAGAGAAUAGAGAGAUUGGUACAUAUCCUCUUAAUAGUUAAUUCCCCUCGAGGCAACUCUGGUAUGAUUGAGCUAAAGCUCAUUGUGCCUAGCAAAGGGGGUGUAAGUACAAUGUUUUACUCUUUUUUCCCCUUUUUUUUUUUCUUUUCUUCAAAAGAGGAUUAAUACUGGUUCAAUUUACAUGGGUUCAAAUACAAUGUUUUACUUGUUCAAAUGGUUCUGCAAAAUUUAUUUUUCAAAACCAAUUAUGGCAAUCCAAGCUUUACUAGUUUUGGGCCCUAGAUUCAUUUUUCUCAGUUACGUAGACCACUGAACAGAACUCUUUUUUUUUCCCUAUUAUUUCAUUUUUCUUUUGUGUGAAAUUUUGACCACGAAAUAUAACUAGAAGCAUCUGGACCUGUCCAUAUUAAACACAUCUAUAGGAUGGAUUACUGAAUAAAAACGAGCUUACGUAUUUUGCUAAUGUGCCUUCUCUACAAAGUGGCACAAUUCAAAGGAAUUCUUACGCAGGUAGACAAACUAAAUUAAAAAAGAAAAAUUGAAAAGGGAGAUAUACCACCUUUUUAUUAAUUUUUUUAAUUUGGUAAGUCUUUUCUUUUUGAAAGGUUAGUUUGGUAAAUCAACUCAAGUAAUGAAGUAACAAAAGUAUAAGCUUUAGGGGUUAUAUAUUGAAAUCAGCAAAUUUACUGAAGAAAAAUAGGUCCUUGUGAGUACGAAGCAACCACUUGCUUCAGAAUCACAAUAAAAUCACAAAUAUUCAUUACUCACAAAUAAUAUUUAUUUCUGUUGUUCAACCUUUACAAACAUUGCUUGUGAAACUAACAAGCAUUAGCUUUAUAAUGACAUAGCACUUAAUAGCACACAUUUAUUCGUGCAUCCAUUUUAGAAGACACCAUAGCAACUUCAAACACGCUAAAUACUUAGAAGAUAUGUCUCUCUCUCUCUCUCUCUCUCUCUCUCUCUCUCUCUCUCUAUAUAUAUAUAUAUAUAGAUGGUUCAAGCAUUUUUGAUGUGAUGAGAUUCAAUGUCUUCAACCAUGUGAAGGAAAAAGUUGAGCAAGGUUCCUGGAUGUGGGGUAUCUUCCUUCAGCUUCUCAUAGUCGAGAGUCCAUGUAAUCAAACUUUCUUUGUCACCAAGAACAUCAACAUGGUAUAUGAUAGUGAAGGUCUUGUACAGCUCCAUGAGAUCUCCUUCAAUCAUCUUAAAUACGAUUGAUUUCUUUUCUUCAUUUAUGUCUUGAAUAAUCUGCUUUGCCACCCUAUCUUUCCCGUCUGUAAAAAUGAAAAGUAAAUCAAUUACAGACUCUCCAAUUCCUAGUCAACAUGCUGGUAAUCCAAAAACAAGGUUUGCGGAAUUCUUUCUUUUCGGUUUUUAGGGAUAGACAAUACUAUUCACACAACCAGGGAAGAAUUCUCGUUGUGAAACAUCUGGUAUAUCGCAUAAAAAACUUGAGAAAAGCAAAAGAAAAAAAAUUCUGUAGUAUUAAUUAAUUGAAUUCUUUACGAAGAUGGACUUCCUUAAUUAACCUCUGUAGUUUCCACAAUCAGAUUAUUGUCUUCGUAUAAAUACUAAUAAUAAUAUUAAUAAUACGGUUAAUAGUAAUAGAUCUAGUCCGUUUUUCAUUAAAACUUUUCCCGAGGCAGAUAUUAAGCUUUUAUCCUUUCUUUUUCCUGGCAAAUAAGUUAGAUAACUAAUUGUGUGCCAGUUCAAAGCAGGGAAAAACGGAUGGAGAGAGUUUAAAUCAACUUAGUCCAGAAGCUGACCAACACGCAACAAAAGCUAAAUGAAUAAAGGAAAAACAAGAAAAACUGCGGGGAAGAAAGAGCUUUGAAUAUUGAUUCCAUACCAUGGGUAUAAUGCCAGCAGAUUUUGGAUCCAACAGUUCCAAGAUCACCACCAAGCAAAGUAAACCCUUGAACUUUCUCAGGAGUCAUGGUGGCAAGAUGGUGUGGUCUUUUGCUGAAGACAUCAUGGAACACAUCUCCAGCAGGGCCAUGGAUGUUAGUUUGACCAAUCAUUUUACCUUUGAGCCCCAUUUUUUUUUCUGAGAAACUGAGAAGGAAAUGACCAAAUACUGCUGCAGCAAAAAAAUGCAAAGAAAUAUUGAAGGAAGUCUCAGUUGUGGUCUGCUAGACUAUCCCUCUGCUCCUUAUAUAGUAUAGAACUGAUGGGUGACUUCACCCCCCACCUCCACCCCCACCCUUUCUUUUUUUUAAUUGGGGUCUAUAAACCACGUAAGAGGAACCAAUUAUCUUCGCCGAAACUAUCAUUUUUUUCCCUAGUUCUGACAUUGUUAGAAACUUCUUUUUUUUUUUUUUAAUUCAUGAGAUGUUGUAUUGGUACAUCAGCCCUAAUAAAUGAUACUCAGCAUCCAUUAAAAUGUGAUUAUCCUCAUUUUCUAUUAAUCUAUAAUCAUAUUACAUCUAUAGUUUUGCACUUAGGGUCAACAGACUCGACAUCAUUCAUUUUUUUAAUGCCUACAACUAAGGUUUUCUUGUGGGCAACUUAAAUUUUAUUUUAAUCGAUAUCUCUUAGUCUCAUUUUUGCUUUACGACAAGAAUACUUCACCAACAUUGGAUAGAAUGAAGGCCAUCCUUGACAAAUUAUUUUGGAGAGAUCUACUUCUCUUGUCCAUGGCAAAAACGACUCUCCAGUAAUGACUCUUAGAAGUUGGUUAACACAAUAAAUGAUAUGAAUUCAUGAGUUUGGGAUAGUUGGCAAGUAGGUUGCUAAUGUCAAUAGGAGAUCGCAAGUUCGACUCCUGCACGUGGCGUCUUGAAAAACUCUAGUAAGAUGCUCAUCUCCGAAUAAAAGUUAGACUUUACGGAUGCUCCUUGGAUCGAAUCCGGAUUAGUCUCACGAAGAGUGGGAAUAUUGGGUGCUUAAAGCAAAAUAAAUAAAUAAAUAAAUGAUAUCCUCUUCUUACAUGGUUUGUGGUAGGUGAUAACUGAGGCAUACUAUUACCAAAUGGGAAAUAAACUGAUGCCAUACCACUUCACAUGAUUCACACAACACAUAAAAUUUCUUAAUUGUUUCCGGCACUUGGGCCAUAUUUCAUGGGUUGGUCAACUUGGGAUCCUUAUCAAAGAUUAAUUGGCAGACAAGUUAAGGUCUUAUUUGGAUUACAGUUAUCUUAAGAAUUUUUUUUACAUUUUGUGUGAACACAUUUAUGAAUCAUAUUUUUAUUUCAUAUAUAUCAAAUUAUUGCAACAUAUUUUUUUUUUUACAAAAACUUUUAAAAAUAGUAGUCCGAUUGGGUUCUUACCUAUUUAAGACUUCGAUGUUUCGCUACCAAAAAAAAAAAUACAAUUAAAAACUCGUCUUAUGUGGAUGCGGGGCACUGGUGAGUGAAGCAAGACCAACGCCGUGGUGUAAUAUGGGACAUUGACUUCAAAAUUUGGAAUUCAACUAUCGAACAUCAAAUUAAGCUCAUCCGGUCCAAUCAUUGUAAAUUGGAUGAUUGUUUUGGUUCAACCGCACCAACACUUAACCCAUUUUAUGUGCGCUGAGGAUGGCCCUCCCGACUCGGCCAUAUCGAGCUCAACCCUUUGUUAUUUGGGAUGGGUCGCCACAAGUCUUGGUUAUCUCGGCUAGACAUCGCAUACGGAUAAUUGAGGUGACUCCCACAUUCAUUGGUACCUCGGAUUGGUGCUGUGCUUGACACGACAUCCAAAGUCUUAUCAGAGAACUUGAUACUUGCAUGGCGGACAAGACAUCUGAUGGGACCUGUCUACUGCUCCAUCUUGUCAAAUCAGACUGGACAUGCUUAGUCCCUGCCAGGUCCUAGGAAGUUGAAACCCACUAUUCCUUCCUCCCACUUAUCCCUUAUAAAUACUACUCCUUCUACUUCAGGGGGAGGAGAAAAAAAAGAGUAAGGACUCUUCUAUUUCCAUUCCAUUAUUAACUUUCCAAGAAAACUAACUUAAUCAUCGAAGGUAUCCCGGGGGAAAAAGCCCCGCCUAGUGUGUGUAUCAGGAAAAGAACACCACCAAAUCACCUCAAUCAGGAAGAGGAGGCAUCUGGUCAGCUCGGCUUGAUCAUCCAGGAACAGUGUCUUCAUGUAUAUAUCAACUUUCUUUUCAUAGGAUGAAGACAAGUUUGCAGUAAAUACCAAAUACCCACCAGCUACACCUCACAUCACCCGUUUUAUGUAAAUGAACUUUCUUUUUUUUUAAUGGAAUGAAAAUAAUUCGGGAAUAAGUUUGCAGUAAAUACCAAAUACCCACCAACUGCACCUCGCAUCACCCCGUUUUAUGUAUAUCAACUUUUUUUUUUAAUGGAAUGGAAAUAAUUCAGGAAUAUGUAUUAGUUUUCUUACGAGUUUCAAUUGGAUACUCCUUAAGACAUCUAAAGUACACUAAAAUUAUCAUGUGAAAAUACAUAUUAACAUUUAUUAUACCUCCUAAAUUGCAACAUUUUUUUUUUUGAAUUAGUUAUACUUUUUAAAAAAAAAAACUAAUAUCUAGUACUUUUUUAACAAGUGGCCAAUAGACACUCGUCAAUCAAACCGUAGAAUUAGAUACCCAAAUCUUUUAACCCAAAAAAAGGUCCAAUUCAGUCGGGGGGCCAAACUAGGGAUGUAAGCGAGGCUACUCGUGAGUAGCUUGGUCAAUGGCUUGGUUUAAACUCGAUUAAACCGAGUUCGACCAGAGUCUCAAGCUACUCGAGUACACAUUCAAGUCGAGUUUGAGUCAGAAUUUUGCAACUCGUGGCUCGACGACUCGUCGAGCCAUAUAAUUUAAAUAAUAUAUAUAAUUUAAAUAAUAUAUGUAUUAUAAUUAUAAAAUGACAGUUAUGGGUAUAAUUUAUAUCGAAUUUACAAGUAAGGUAUCAAGUCAAAAAGCUUGAUUACUCGACUCGAUAAGGCUUGACUAAAGGUCGAGCCUUAUCGAGUCGAGUCUCGAGCUUUUAAAGAUUUUCUCGAGUCAAGCUCAAGUUUGAGAUUUUUCGACACAAUCGACUUCGAGUCGAGCUCGAGCCAAGUUAUUUAUAGGUCGAGUCGAGCUCGAGUAUAGCAAUACUCGAGCUCGACUCGGCUCGAUUACAUACCUAGGCCAAACAAGCUAUAUGUCACUCAUGUCUGGGGGGUUAUAUUCUCAGAAGUGAUUUUCAAGAUAUAGGCAGAGUAGUGGACUGUAUUAAAUUGGGACAUCGUAAUUCGUAAUUUUUAUCACAGCAAUCUUACUUGAAAUACAGGAAUUAAUGAAAGUUAGGUGCAGUGGACAUUAUUUAAUGUAUUUAAUAAACUAAUAGAGGCCCCUUUGAUUCUUGACUCAAUUCUUGACUAAUGGAUGCAAAGAAACAAGUCCCCAUAAGAGUUAGGAUAAAGUUCGGUACUAAAAAAAACUUUGUAGGAAAUUAAACCAAGCUAUUUUAGUAUUAGUCUCGUAAUUCUUUUUGUUGUCUUAUUUGUCUAGUUUUCAUAUUAAAUUAGGAAAUCUCAAUCAGUUUCCAAGUAAGUUUUGAUUUACAACUGUAUUUGUUUUAGGAAAUUUUGGAGUUUAUAAAUACUAACAGCUUAGUAAGUAAUUAUUUGAAGUGUUGAGUUGAGUUUUAAGAGUAGGUUUGAGAGAAAAUCUCAUAGUUGAGAUUUGUGAGUUGUUAUGAGCGAAAAGCUACGACUUGAUAUUUAUUAUUGUUGGGUUUUGAAUUAAAUAAAUUAUUGACUAUUUGUUUUCUUCCUCUUCCCACAUAUUUUUAUAUGUGUCAAAAUUGCUUCCGCUGUGCGCGAGGAUUUUUGGUGUGCUAACAAGUGGUACCAGAGCUUUAGACUUUGAUCCUAGGGCUUGUCCGCAAAAUUGGGGCUUAGAGCUUGUUCAUGAAAUUAAAGUAUGGAUCCCCAUUAUUUACAACAUUGUCUAGCUUUUAUCUUUGAUGGUAAAAAUAAUUUUGAGACUUGGAGGUCGAUGAUGAAGGAUUUUUUCAAAGAUAUUGGAAUUUGGAAUAUUAUCCAAAAGGGAUUCACGGAAUCUAUAACAGGUACAAAGUUAUCAAGUGAUGCAGUUAAACAAUUAGAGAGGAAUAAACAAUUAAAUUACAAGACAUUUUACUAUCUCAGUACCCAAAUCCAGUUACAAGUAGUGAAAAAUUCAUACAUGUAAAGACAGCUAAGGAGGCUUGGAAAUUUUUAAUAAAAUUUUAUGGCCAUAGUGGAGAAGAAAUUUGUGAUGAAGAAGAAAAAGAAUAUUUUGAUGAGACAAAGAAAGAAAAAAUUGUAGAAAUUGUGAGUGCACAUGAAGAUGAAAAAUUUGUGAUUCAAGAAGAAAUCUCAUGUGUGGUUGAGAAAAAAGGUGAAGUCAGUGAUGAAGUUAAAGAUGUGCCUCAAGAUCAUAGCAACGUAGAAACUGUAAAUUUUGUCGAGAUUGAUGAAAUUUUUGAAGAGAAAAAUCAAGUGAUGGACUUGGUUGAGAUCAAUUGUGAGGUGCACAAAUUAAUUGAAAAUUGUGAUACUACUAAAGUUGAUGCAAUUAUUAGUGUGAAACAAAAUAAAGGAAAAACAUGGUGAUGUUAAAAACAUUGAUAGCAACAACUAUGAUUUUCUGAUUUUGGGAGAUUUUCUUGGUGACAUGAAUGAAUUAAAUUAUGGAGUAUCUAAUGGAGUAUGGGUGAGUAUGAUUGAAUUUUUUUGAUAAGAGUGAUCAAACGAAGAAACUGUUUGAGAAGUACAAGUUUCAUCCACUAUUGCACGUGAAAAUGAAGUUGGACAUCAAUUGCAAAUUGGUGUUCCACAUCAUCUAUUCAGCGACGGAGUUUUUCAUGGAGAUUCAAGCUUAUGAUGGCAUUGGAAAUGACAACAUUAAGAGCUUGGUUUAAGGGAGGCAAUGUAGGAAAUUAAACCAAGCUAUUUUAGCAUUAUUCUCCUAAUUCUUUUUGGUGUCUUGUUUGUCUAGUUUCCAUAUUAGAUUAGGAAAUUUCAAUCAGUUUCCAAGCAAGUUUUGGUUUACAACUGUAUUUGUUUUAGGAAAUUUUGGAGUCUAUAAAUACUAACAGUUUAGUAGGUUAUUAUUUGAAGAGUUAAGUUGAGUUUUAAGAGUAGGUUUGAGAGAAAAUCUCAUAGUUGAGAUUUGUGAGCAAAAAGCUACGACUUGAUAUUUAUUAUUGUUGAAUUUUGAAUUAAAUAAAUUAUUGAGUAUUUGUUCUCCUGCUUUUCCCACAUAUUUUUAUAUGUGUCAAAAUUGCUUCCGCAGUGCAUGCGUUUUUUUGUGUGCUAACAAACUUCGAUAAAGCAUUGACUGGCUUUAGAAUACAAUUGCGCUACAUCACAAAAUGGAACAUAAAUAUAGAUGAGGCAUUUAAAAUUUAUGUCAUGUUAAAUAUUGGAGUAUUUCCCACUUUUUCUGCUAAUAGACGUGUCCCUGUUUGGAGAUUUGUCUAGCAAUGAAGGUUGUCAAGAUUUUUUUAUAUAUUUUUUUGGGGGUGGUCCUAGUUGGGUCACCGUCUGAGAUUUUCUUGGCCUGAAGAAAUCAAAUAUUGAUACCAUUAAGCCCAGAAGAUAUUUUUUUUCAAUUAAAAAGAUGCAACUUUGGUUGGUUUUCAAUGCAUUUUUCAUAAAUCUGCAAGCUAACUGAGUGUCCUGGGCAAAAAUUAAUUGGUCACCAAGUUUUAGCAUUCUUAUGACUUUAAUGUUUUCUGUGAUUUUGGAACCAGGUAACCAUACCAUCUUUCUGAACUUUUCUUUACCAAAAAAAAAAAAAAAAAAUUAUAGCAGGACAAAAUUAAUAGGAGUUCGUGUUAUUUGAAAAAAUCUAGUUUUAUGUGGAUCCGAGGGACCGGUGGGUGAAAGAUCAAUAUCUUGAAAUCAAUAUUGACUUCAAUGUCUUGAAAUCAAACAUGUAACAUCAAAUUUCCGUCAAUGUAACAUCAAAUAGGAGUUCGUGUAAUAUUUAUUUCUUUAACAUCUAUUACUCUGACUAUAAAAUAAAUUUUUAUACUUACUGUUGCGUAAUAAUUUGUUAUUGAAUCAUGAGAAAAUGAGUUUAAAACGAUUACCUAUUACCUAACAUUUCACUUCUAUUUAAAGACGAAAGACAAUAACAGUAAUAAUCAAUAAAAAAUAUUACAUUAUUGGGAAUAAUAUUUAAAAAAACAAUGGAAAUGCAAAUGUUUAAAGAAUAAAUAGUACCGGAAUUUCUAAUUUGAUGUGAAUGACAUUUUAAUCGCUGUAGUUGGGAUUUUGUCCUUCGAAUUUGAUGUGAGAUUUCUCUUUCGUCAACGCAAAGUUGAUGAAACUUUUCGAAUUGCAGUGUGGAAUCGUUGCAGUGUACGUUUCGUUUUUCGCAAUCUUGCGAGUUUAAAAUUUAAUUGUCGUUGAAAUGCUUGUAGGCGGGCAUGCUCCAUAGUGAAAUUAGGUUAAGGGCUAAGAUGGAUACCAUAAAAAAGUUGAAGGAGAUAAUAAGUUUUUGGAAAAAACGCAAAAAAGUUUUCUUAAUUGGAGUGAGCACGCAAGAAAGUUGAAUGAGGAUACUAUAUUUUGGAAGAAUUUUAAUUAGAGUGGAAUUCUUAAAUUGGAGGACUCUUAAGUGGAGUGGGAAAGUAGGAGAAAUGUAGGGAAAAUGUGAGCAUGAUGAUAGAAUUUUUAGGAGAUGAUUAGUUAAGAGAUAAACAUUUCUUAAAUUAGAGGACUCUUAAUUGGAGUGAGAAAUGUGGGGGAAAUGUGAGCAUGAUAUAGGAUUUGUAUUAUACUGAAUAACUUGAUAGUAUACUCAAAUCACCGAUGAGGUAAAAUUUGCCUAAAUAAGUUUUACAGUGUCCUAAUUCCUUGAAAAAAAAAUUGCUAAAUAGUCCUAAUUGGCACUACAAGUUACGGCAACGUGCCAGUGGCAUCUAGUCCUAAUUUUUUUUGGGGUCAAAAUCUAGUCCUAAUUGGUUCUGUUGUUUCUUGAUCAUGUUGUAUGCUCCUAAAUUCUACUUAGCGUGUAAUAAUUGAUAAUGGCUUAUUCUAUUCUUUCAUGGUAUUGGACAGGUGAAAAUCACACUAGAAGUGUGGUAAAUUUACUAUAAACUCCUAAUAUUAUCUCCCCUAAUUUUUGUAUAUUUUUUUAAAAAUUUAAACUUUUGUCAACAAUAGGCUGGUCAUGCAAAUAAAAAAAGGGAAUAGUCACACAUCUCAUUCUUUGCCCUAAAGAACUCAAUUUAGCAAAUUUCUUAGAAUAAUGGUGAAAAAAAUCACAACAAUGGAGGAACCUGGGUUUGUUUCCUUCUUUUUUCUUUUGGAUUUGAAACAGCCCUAUUCAGUUAUAAAAAAUAAAUAAAUUAGCCAUCUUACGUUCAUUAAGAAAGGGAAAAUUUUUUGGUCGCUGCACAUGGAUGUCCGGCCAUCCUAAAGGGAAAAAAAAACAAUUGUUCCAUUCUUGCGAUUUUUUUUAGGGUCUUAACUUUACAUUUAGUUGCACAUUUGUGAUUUUUUUGAAACGUGAUUGUAAUUUGUAAAGGUCAUUUGUAAGAGUGGCUAUAGGAUUAGUUUAGUGAUAAAUAUUUCUUAAUUAUAAAAAUGUAAAAUUGUAUUAAAAUAGCAUACGAAUGAACAUUUGUCUUUAAUUAAGGAGAAAAAAAGAUUUAAAGUAUAAAUAACAAACUAUAAACGGUUUAUAAAGUAGAUAGCGGGAAAGUUUGAAAUUUUAAAUUUGACUGGUGAUAAGGUUAGUCAUAACCCACUAUUUUUUAUGUAUUAAAAUAAAUACAAAAAUCUAGAAAAAAGAAUAAGAAGUUGGAAGCUAUUGAGAGUCUCUCUCCUAAAAAUCCACUCUGCAAUACAUAUAGAUAUAGAUUUUCCUAUCAUUCUGCUAAUAAACUUGUCCCUAUCUAAACCUAGAGAAAUGUUCACCAAGUCCUACUUGGGUGACACAGAUUUUUCUUGGCUAGUAGAAAUAGACAUUGAUAAUUUGAGAGGUUAAAUGAAAAGUGUGAAUAUCAAUUUCCAAUAUAAGGGUAUUUUCCUAUCUUUCUACUAAUAGACUUGUCCUUAUCUAAACCUAGAGAUAUGUCCACCAAGUCUGUCUUAGGUCAGAGUCUGAGAUUUUCUCGGUUAGCAGAUAUCGAUGUUGAUAGUUUGAUAACAUUAAGUCCAAAAGAUUAGCUGGGCUUGGCUCUGAUCACUAUUUACGGCAUGUGGUGAUUCAUGAUCCGUGGUCGCAAUCAAAGUCAAACCCAUCUAAAUUGUUUAUUAUAAAAAAAUUAUUAAUUACAAAAGAUUUUUUUUUUUUUUAAUAAAGGAUGCAUUCUUUGGUUGGUUUUCAAUGGAUUUUACGUAAAUCUGCAGGCUAAUUGAGGUCCCUACCAAAUAAAUGGAAAGAAAAUAGUCCGUACCAUGUUAUGUUAAUUUCCAUGGCUUGGAGGGGUAGUUUUGACACCCACUCUACACAUGAUUCAUGGCUUAAUUAAUUUGAGUUUACAGAUAUCCACUCAAAUCAAUUUGAUAUGACAGGAGUAGGGCUGGCAACCCCGUUGUCAAAUAACUCCCCCCGUCCCCCGUCCCCCGCCCCAUCCCCUGUCCCUUGCCCCCAUCCCUCACCCCGUUUCCCCCGCGGUCCCCCGUGAGUAAAGAAAUCAAUUUACAAAAAGUAAAACUCUUCUCAUAUAUCCAAGCAUUUUUGAGAACUAACAGGAGAGAGGAAGAAUUCCCAAACACUAACCAAAAAUACCAAGAACAGUUAAAAUCCAGAAAUAACAAAAGGCAAAGAUCAAUGGAAAACAUAAAAAAAAAAAUCAGCAAAAUGAAGGGAAAAACAAACCCAUGGUUGUUGAAACUGCUUAUAAACGAUAUCAUAGGUCAUGGAAAGAAUUCUUGUUCCAUUAGACUCUCGUAUUUACAUUUUCAUUGAGGCUUUUAGACAAACAUCUUAUAUAUAUAUAUAUAUAUAUAUAUAUAUAUAUAUAUAUAUAUAUAUAUAUAUUUUAUGCGGGGGACGGGGCGGGUGUACGUUGCCCCCAUCCCACGCCCCGUUUUAAGGCGGGGGUAAAUAUUUCGCCCCCACCCCGCCCCCACCCCAUUUCUACCCCGCGGGGUGGGCACCCGCCCCCAUUGCCAUCCCUAGAUAGGAGACAAAUGAUGUAUCACUUGAUUUUUUUUUUGUGUAUAUAUCAUAUCUUGAUUUUUUUAUGUGUAUAUGUCAUAUCACGAUGCUAUUGCAAAUUUUUGUUUAAAAAUUACUUGCAUAUACAAAUUCAUCCGUGACGUGCAUUUGGAUUAGUCUAUGAGGAUAUGGAUCCAAUUAGACCGACAGUUUCCUUUUCUUUUUUUUUUGUCCAAUCAAUGUUGUAGCGUCUCAAUCCCUAGGGUUCUUAGUGAUAAAUCAAAUUGACAAAUUAUUAAUGUAACACAUCACUAAAGUUGUGCAAGUUGUAACCAAACCAUUUAAUAUUCUCAGACUGGCAACAUCAACUGGUUAAACUUUUAAUUCAUCUUCUUGCUAGGAGACAAAUUUUGCUUUUCUUCUACAAUUCUAAUAGAAAUUUAAUUUAAUUUAUCCACUAUAGAUAGUCAUACAAACUGAGCUAACAAUAAAAAAAGGAAAAUACUGCAGAAUGUACCAUCUAAAACCACAGAGAUAAAGAGAUUCCGCAGCUCAGUCACAACAUUGCACUUUUACCAUGUUAUUGUAUAAUUUUAAGAAUUAGUGUUUUAUACACCAUUAGCGUAAAGUUUUUUUUUUUUACAUUAAGAGGUACAGAUAUAUGAUACAUAGACAAAACGUGAAUUUAAAGUUUGAAUAGUGAUGAAGUGGCAUUCAUCUAAAAUAAACCUACUUGUGUAAAAGAAAAAAAAACUUUACACUAAUUGUGUAUAAAAAUUGGUAGCAGCAACUAUGAUUUUCUGAUUUUGGGGGAUUUUCUUGGUGACAUGAAUGAAUUAAAUUAUGGAGUAUCUAAUGUAGUAUGGGUGAGUAUGAUUGAAUUUUUUGAUAAGUGUGAUCAAAUGAAGAAACUGUUUGAGAAGUACAAGUUUCAUCCACUACUGCACCUGAAGAUGAAAUUGGACAUCAAUUGCAAGUUGGAGUUCCAUAUCAUCUAUACAGUGACGGAGUUUUUCAUGGAGAUUCAAGUUCAUGAUGGCAUUGGAGAUGACAACAUUAAGAGCUUGAUUUAAGGGAGGCAAUGUAGGAAAUUAAACCAAGCUAUUUUAGCAUAUUAUUCUCCUAAUUCUUUUUGGUGUCUUGUUUGUCUAGUUUCCAUAUUAUAUUAGGAAAUUUCAAUCAGUUUCCAAGCAAGUUUUGGUUUACAACUGUAUUUGUUUUAGGAAAUUUUGGAGUCUAUAAAUACUAACAGUUUAGUAGGUUAUUAUUUGAAGAGUUGAGUUAAGUUUUAAGAGUAGGUUUAAGAGAAAAUCUCAUAGUUGAGAUUUGUGAGCGAAAAGCUACGACAUGAUAUUUAUUAUUGUUGGAUUUUGAAUUAAAUAAAUUAUUGAGUAUUUGUUCUCCUGCUUUUCCCACAUAUUUUUAUAUGUGUCAAAAUUGCUUCCGCUGUGCAUGCGAUUUUUUGUGUGCUAACAAACUUCGAUAAAGCAUUGACUGGCUUUAGAAUACAAUUGCGCUACAUCACAAAAUGGAACAUAAAUAUAGAUGAGGCAUUUAAAAUUUAUGUCAUGUUAAAUAUUGGAGUAUUUCCCACUUUUUCUGCUAAUAGACGUGUCCCUGUUUGGAGAUUUGUCUAGCAAUGAAGGUUGUCAAGAUUUUUUUAUAUAUAUAUUUGGGGGUGGUCCUAGUUGGGUCACCGUCUGAGAUUUUCUUGGCCAGAAGAAAUCAAAUAUUGAUACCAUUAAGCCCAGAAGAUAUUCUUUUCAAUUAAAAAGAUGCAACUUUGGUUGGUUUUCAAUGCAUUUUUCAUAAAUCUGCAAGCUAACUGAGUGUCCUGGGCAAAAAUUAAUUGGUCGCCAAGUUUUAGCAUUCUUAAGACUUUAAUGUUUUCUGUGAUUCUGGAACCAGGUAACCAUACCAUCUUUCUGAACUUUUCUUUACCAAAAAAAAAAAAAAAAAUUUAUAGCAGGACAAAAUUAAUAGGAGUUCGGGUUAUUUGAAAAAAUCCUAGUUUUAUGUGGAUCUGAGGGACCGGUGGGUGAAAGAUCAAUAUCUUGAAAUCAAUAUUGACUUCAAUGUCUUGAAAUCAAACAUGUAACAUCAAAUUUCCUCCUAUGGAGAGGUUGUUUAGGGGGAGUUUCUUCUCUCCUAGAGAUUUUUAGUGAGAGUUUUUUCUCUCCUAAAAAUUUCUGGUGAGAGAUUUUGUGGUUAGUCUACCUCUUAUAUUAGAUAUAAGUUUUUUUUUUUAGAUUUGAUUGUCAGAUCUAAGAUUUCUUAGAUCUACCCUAUCAAAUCUCACUUUAACAUAUGAAUUUAAAUAAGUUCAUUAGCAGAUUUAAAAGGAAGCAAUUAGUAGUAUAGUUGGAAGCAUACACGGAUGAUCUUAAGAUCAUGAAUAUUUUAUCUUUUAAUUUUUUUUAGAAUUUCAACGUUAUAUGCUAUUGACUUUCUAGAUUUGUAUAAUUGAUAUAAUUUCUGUCAUUAACGCAGAUUUAAUGAAAUGAUGCUGUUUUUUUAUUUAUUAAAAAUAAAUGUAACAUCAAGUUGAGCUCAUGCAGUCCAAUCAUUGUAAAUAUCAUUGUAAAUUGGAUGAUGCUGUUGGUCACCGCUCAACACCUCAACCAUUUUUAUUUCUUUAAUUCUUAUAGAAUGAAGACAAUUUAGCAAUAAAUACCAAACACCAACCAACGCCCCUCACCGCACCCCGUUUUCCGCACAUCAACCUUCUUUCAUGGAAUGAAGAUAAGUUAGGAUUCAAUAACCAUAUCCUUUAACCGACGAAAAAAAAGAAAGAAAAAAAGAAUCCGAUUUAGUCCGGGGGGCCAAAGAAGCCAUCUGUAAUUCAUAACUUAUAUUCUCAGAAGUGAUUUUAAUUGUCAGAAGAUCAAAAGAUGGGCAGAGUGGUGGACUGCAUUUAAUUGAGAUGCUGUAAUUCGUAAACUUUAUAAGGGCACAAGGGUUAUGAUAAAAUUUGGUACCCAAAAAAAAAAGAAAAAAACUUCGAUAAAGCAUUCGUGGGCUGUAUUUUAGCAUUUUCCACUCGCGCUACGUCAGAAAAUGGAACAUGAGCAUAGAUGAGGCAUUAAAAACUUAUGUUACUUGAAAUAUUAGGAGAAGUGAUAUCUGCACUUUCAAAUUAGUCUCUAGUACUGUUUAGAGACUAUACUCUUAACGAGUAAAUUGAAGUGCAAAAAAGGUUAAAUGAGGAGUGCGAAUAUCAAUUUUCAAUACCAGAAUAUUUUCCUAUCAUUCUGCUAAUAAACUUGUCCCUAUCUAAACCUAGAGAUAUGUCCACCAAGUCCUACUUGGGUGACACAGAUUUUUCUUGGCCAGUAGAAAUAGACAUUGAUAAUUUGAGAGGUUAAAUGAAAUGUGCCAAUAUCAAUUUUCAAUAUAAGAGUAUUUUCCUAUCUUUCUAUUAAUAGACUUGUCCUCAUCUAAACCUAGAGAUAUGUCCACCAAGUCCUACUUGGGUCACGGUAUGAGAUUUUGUCGGUUCGGAGGAAUCGAUGUUGAUAGUUGGAUAACAUGGAAGUCCAAAAGAUUACGUGGGCUUGGCUUUGAUCACUAUUCACGGCAUGUGGUGAUUCCUGAUCCGUGGUUGUGGUUGCAAUCAAAGUCAAACUCAUCUAAAUUGUUUAUUAUAAAAAAAAUUAUUAAUUACAAAAGAUUUUUUUUUUUUUUUUAAAUAAAGGAUGCAUUCUUUGGUUGGUUUUCAAUGGAUUUUACGUAAAUCUGCAGGCUAAUUGAGGUCCCUACCAAAUAAAUGGAAAGAAAAUAGUCCGUACCAUGUUGUGUUAAUUUCCAUGGCUUGGAGGGGUAGUUUUGACACCCACUCUACACAUGAUUCAUGGCUUAAUCAAUUUGAGUUUACAGAUAUCCACUCAAAUCAAUUUGAUAUGACAGGAGACAAAUAAUGUAUCACUUGAUUUUUUUUUUUUUUUUGUGUAUAUAUCAUAUCUUGAUUUUUUUUUAUGUGUAUAUAUCAUAUCACGAUUGCUAUUGCAAAUUUUUGUUUAAAAAUUACUUGCAUAUACAAAUUCAUCCGUGACGUGCAUUUGGAUUAGUCUAUGAGGAUAUGGAUCCAAUUAGACCGACAGUUUCCUUUUCUUUUUUUUUUGUCCAAUCAAUGUUGUAGCGUCUCAAUCCCUAGGGUUCUUAGUGAUAAAUCAAAUUGACAAAUUAUUAAUGUAACACAUCACUAAAGUUGUGCAAGUUGUAACCAAACCAUUUAAUAUUCUCAGACUGGCAACAUCAACUGGUUAAACUUUUAAUUCAUCUUCUUGCUAGGAGACAAAUUUUGCUUUUCUUCUACAAUUCUAAUAGAAAUUUAAUUUAAUUUAUCCACUAUAGAUAGUCAUACAAACUGAGCUAACAAUAAAAAAAGGAAAAUACUGCAGAAUGUACCAUCUAAAACCACAGAGAUAAAGAGAUUCCGUAGCUCAGUCACAACAUUGCACUUUUACUAUGUUAUUGUAUAAUUUUAAGAAUUAGUGUUUUAUACACCAUUAGCGUAAAGUGUUUUUUUUUUUUUUUACAUUAAGAGGUACAGAUAUAUGAUACAUAGACAAAACGUGAAUUUAAAGUUUGAAUAGUGAUGACGUAGCAUUCAUCUAAACCUACUUGUGUAAAAAGGGAAAAAAAACUUUACACUAAUUGUGUAUAAAAAUUAAUCCCAAAUUUUAAUCAUAGUCCUUAUAACGUAAAUUAGAUUAGAAAAGCACUUGCAUAUUUCUCUAUCAUAUGCUUUACGCUGAACUAGUCUUUUGAGCAUAAUCAUUAUGCUAAAAAUUUCUUGACAACAUAAUAGGGAAACCUGUGGAGUUUGAUGAACCAACGGAGUUGAUGAAAAAGAAAUAUUGGUCUCUUUGUCAAGCUCUGCAGAAUUACAACGAAAUUAACAGCAGAGACAGUGUGUGAUCCUUUUACAUGGCUUUCUAGUAAAUAUAACUCCUCAAACACAGCAAUAAAAAUUUCCUUACAACUUCGUAAAAUGUAAUAAAACUACCAUUUGUGGGUCAAUUUCACGAGUGUGCCUAAAAUAAUACCAUAAAAUUAGUUAGUGCGAUAAUAGACAUGAUGUGCUAUUUAUCGUAUUAAUUGCCUUUUCUUUUUUUUUUUGGUACAGGAUAAAAGGACAAAUCGUUAAUGACUAUCUUGUAGCUCUCUACAUGUUCUGAAUGAAGGAUAAUAAUAUCUUCUUUUGUGUGAAAAGAAAAAAAUGAUAAAUCUUAAGGAUGCAUAUGCUAAGUUCUAUGAUUCCCCUAAUGCCAAAUAUUUGACAGAGACUAAGCCAACUAGUAAUUAAAAUAAGUUGAUCUUGAGGGUAAAAUGGAGGUAUCAAAAAUAUUAGUUUCCUAGAAGUUCUAUGAAAAUUUCCCUGUUUAAGGUAAAAAAAAAAAAAAGAACCAUGUUUAUUCAUCUACAUAGCCUCAUCAUAACUUCAAUAUAGAAAUCAUUUGUCAUGUGUCAACAAUUCAUGGUAGCAUGUGUUGUAUCAGUUACAGGACUUUAGGGCAAACUUUAGCUUCCUAUAAAACAUUUAUGAUUCAAUGACUUUGGUGCACUCCCAAAAAAGAUGUUCAAAGUAAUUUGAUUCAGCUUCGUCUUGAUUAGAUCGAGGAACUCAAGCCAAUAUGCGCCAACUCCCGAGUUGGACUUUCUGGUCACUUCAAUGUUGCCCUAAUCCAAAUCUUUACACUAGGAAAAUGAGUUCAACCAAAAAAAUAUUGCAGUAUUAAACUGGCCUCUGAGAGAGGAAUCGAGACAUAAAGUUUUCAAUACGUAGAAAUUCAUUAAACAGCUGAUAAUAAUUACAUCGAUCGAUUAUUGGACCACACCAUUAACAUAUGAUAUUAUCAUAACUCAUAGGAGCAAGCACACAAUCUAUUUCAGGUUUGCACAUGGUACAACCUUCGUCGAGCUUACAUUUAUUCAAUACACUAACUGGAGAUCUUGGAACUUCCAAACACACAUGUUCGUGCCAUCUAUGAUGACAAUUUAGCACCCCUUCAUUUGAGAUGGUGAGUCUCAAUAUCCUUAGUGACAUGAAGGCAAAAGUCCAUCAGAGUAUUUGGAUCUGGGAUAUUGGGAUUCUUUUUCUCAUACUCGAAGGUCCAUGUAACCAAGUUGCUUUUGCCAUGGGCAUCAACAUGAACUGUUAUGAUGAAGGUCUUGUAUAACUCCAGCACAUCUCCUUCAAUCACCUUGAAUGUGAUUGACCUCUUUGCCUCAUCUAUGGCCUGGAUAACCUCUUUGGCCACUUUCUUUUUUCCAUCUAAAAAAAUUGAAGAAUUGAACGAGAAGAGUGUGAAACUCUAAAGGUAAAAAAAACAAAAUUCAGUAAUUAUUAAGGCCAAGAAAAAUAAAUUUUCCUAGUGGCCUCGCAACCAUGCAAAGAUUGUUAACAUUUGACCUUUACUUGAACCUUUCAAUUUUAUCUUUCAAUUUUUUUAGCAGGUGAGGAUGAAAUUUAAGAAAUUACAAGAGGGACGAAGGUGUUGAACAACCAGGCACCAAGAUCAUUUGUGAGUUGAAAACUUUGCUCAAAUAGAUCUAAGCAUUAUACAUGCAUGCAGAAUCAUAAACAAGAAAAGAUGGAAAUAUUUGAAAGGAACAACGAAAAGAAGGAAAAUCAGGAGGAAAUUCAGAUACCGUGAGUAUAAUUCCAGAAGAUGACAGAUCCGACGGUUCCCCAAUUACCAUCAUGCAGAUCACAACCUUGAAUAUGAGUAGGGCUCAUCGCAGAUACAUGGUGUGGUCUGUGCCUAAAAAUUUCAUGAAACACAUCUCCAUCGGAUUUUAUCUCGAUUUGGUUAACGAGCUUACCAGUAAGACUCAUUUCUUCUAGCUUUUUUAAGCCAAGAAAAUAUGACUACUGAAGGAAGAGGGGUGAGGGAAAGCUAAAGACUGAAGGGCCUUUUAUAGUUGAGUUGUCUGCAUUACUUAAACGCCAAAACGUCAUAGUGUACUAAGGGCCAGCUGUGUUUGUCUCGUUUGAGUUAAAGCUUGAAUUGGUUUAAGGAGCCAUUUGGUUUGAAUUUCACAGUCACUGUCAUUAUCUGUAUCAUAGGGUGAUCAAUGAUAAUAGAUUUUGAUGAAAACCCAUAGUAUAUUUAUUAAUGUAAAAUGGAUUUUAUAAUUUAUAAUUUAUAUUAUUUCUUUUUUUUUUUUCCAUUUGUUGGAACCAGUAGAAACGAUGGCAUUUUUUUUCUUAUUUUUACAUUUAAAGAGAAAAAGAUAAAUAAUUAAAAUGGCAUUUUGUUUUCCAAUUUUUAUAUUUAAGGAGAAUAAGAUGGGUAAUUAAGAUGAUUUCCUAGUGAAGGUGAUUAAUCACAAAACCCAUAGAAGAGGCCUAUCAUUCCCAUUAGCCUCAAACAAACAUCAUAUAUGGGUGUAAUUGAAUUUGAAACUUGUGUUGAAACCCAUUUACUGAACAUCCCCUAAUUUUUUAAUGGAUUGGGUUGUGUGCCUUAUCUAAAGACCAAAAAGUCUCAACUAGGGUAUUCACGGUAAAGAUUUUGUUGCAAAAAUUUCAAUAACAAAAAAUGUAACUGACAAAAUGUGUUUUGCGCAUUACAUUUAUCUAUUUCUCAUAACAUAUUGCAUAGACAUCAUUAGGAAUGCAAACGAGUCGAACCGAAUCAAGUUUCGGCCUAAUCGAGCCAAGGCUCAACAUAAUUUUAUGAAACUUCAACUUGAGUUUGAGUUCGAGCUUAAAAAAUAAAAAAUAAUUUUAUUUUUUAAAAAUGAAUAAAAUAAUAAUUUUUAAUAAAUAAUAAAAUAUUAGAAAUAUUUAUAUAUAAUUUUAUUAUUAAAAUAAAAAUAAUAAAAAAAUAUACAUAUAAUCAAGCUCGAUCCUGCUCACGAAUUAAUGAGUUACCAUUCAAUGGGGGUAUUUUUGGAGUUAACCCCAUUAAUGAGUUAACUCCAAAAAUACUCAACAAAGAAUGGUAAUACUUGGGCAUUGAUUGGGAUCCCAUAAAGUGGAAAUAUAUUUUUUUUUGGUAACAUCAAAGUUAGAUCCGGACCGGAUUUGUCGGUUCGAUUGGUCCGACUGUGAAUUGAUUUUUUUUUUCAAAUUGGUUUGUAAUAUAAAACUGAUUUGAUAAAAACCUAUCGAAACCACAAAAAAUCGGUUAAACCAGUGACCUAAUUCGACUGGUUGAUCCGGUUCUUAAACUUUUCUUUUUUCUUUUCCCUAAACAUAAUUGAGUUACCUAAAUUGUAAUAUUUUCAUUUAUUAAUAGAAAUAAAAAAAGUCACCCAUUUAGUGUAAAUAUCAAAAUCACUCGCUUUCUUAAAUGAUUUUUAAAUCAAGAUGUAUUCAUUCCUAUGAUCUCAUUAAUUUAGCAUUGUGAUUCCAAUUUGCAUUAAUUUGUUUUAAUUUAGUUUUUCAAGUAGUUUUGGAGAAUGGACAUAUUUUAACCAAGAAUUUACAUUUUUAUAUAUAAUUAUUAGGUGUAUAUUUGAUUGCAUGUCUAAUAUUUUUGGAACAUUUUUCAUGAUUGACGAAAUAUAACCAAGAACUUAAUUUCAAUAUUUCUGAAACUUAUAAAAAUAUAAAAUAAUUAUAACAUCAUGCUGAUAUCAGCAAAUUUUUUAGAACGGUUCAAUUGAUCUAACCAGUUGACCACCUCUGAUCAAAUAGUUUAGCCGAGUCGCUAUCGGGUCCGAGUUUAACAACAUUGGAUAUCAUUUGGUGGUGCAUGAUUUACCAAUCCAUCAACCAAUUACGAGCACUACAACUAAAGUACUUUAUUUUCUUGGCAUGCAUUGCAAUUGCACUUUUAUUUUAUUUUGUUUUGUUUCUGGGAUAUAAAUUAUCCUCAAAAGUUGUACUUUAUUCUAGUUGGAGUAAAAUAUCAUCAGCGCUAAUAAAAUGAUUUUUGUUCUCUUUUUCUUUUUUUUCCCUCUUCCCCACGAAAGCAAGUAAAUUUAUAUUUUAGAGAGAGGCAACAAAAUCUCCCUGUAUUAUUCCAUUUCUUAUUUUUAUUCAACUUAGAUCUAGCACAAUGAAAUCAAAGAUAUGAAAAGAUACAUAUAAAAAAAAAGCAAAAAAAAAAUAGAGGGAAAGACAAAUCUUGCAUUAUGAAAAAAGUAAACAAAUAAUACUAAUAUAAGAACAAUAAGAAAAGGAAUAACAAAAUAGAAGGCUUAUUGGACUUUUCAUAGAUGUAUUGGGUUAAUAUUAAUAAUUUUUUUUUACAUAGAUAAUUUGACAUUUGAGCUACUAGUCUUACCCAGAUAAGUUCCAAAGUAUGUUAAUUUUGGACUUGAAUCAUUUUUACAAUCCCAUAUUCUAUACAAAGCCAGAAAGAGUGAAUUCUUUGAAUCAGUACCUAGUAAUUUUACUUAAUUAACUCCAUGUGUAUAAUUUGGAACCAAUGUAACUAUAACUGUCUGAAUAACAAAAUAAUUAGUUUAAUGUUUAUAGUACAGUGUAAUCUUAACACAUGAUCGGCAUUCUCCAUUAUUUUCACGGAGUCGUGCCAACAACACUAGGCACUCCAUCUUUUACUAUCCCUGCAUUUUCGUGAACUUUGUCCAUGAAUAAGAAGCUUGCAUGGUGUUGGAAAUUAAGAGUUAAAUGUCAAUGUCACUACAUUUCAUGAAAAAAAUACCAUCGAAGCUAAAACCUCCAGGAUGAGGAUUUUAUGUAAGUAAUGAAAUCGGUUUUAUGCAUGUAAAAAUACCAUAACAACACUUAGGCAUAAAUUAUAAAGCCCUCGUUUUAUUUAUGUUGCACAAAGAUUCUUAUAACAGAUGAUAGGCUGGUUACAGAAUUACUAACAUACCAAAACAGUACAACAAGAAAACACACAAUUACUUGAGUCUUUCACAUUGGACAUGCCACAAUCUUUUUCAUCAAGUUCACAUCCUUCACAACAUACGCUUACAAAUAUAGCAACUUGUAAUCAAAUUUAUGCUUCAUAUGAUCAUGAUUCGGAAAUCAUAGGCCCUUCAUUUGAGAUGGUGAGUCUCAAUAUCCUUAGUGAGUUUGGUGGCAAGGUCUGCUAUAGUUGUUGGAUCAGGGACGCUGUGAUUCAAUUUCUCGUACUGGAGGGUCCAUAUAACCAAGUUGUUUUGACCAUGAUUUUCAACCUGAACAGUAAUGAUGAAGCUCUUGUACAACUUCAACAGGUCUCCUUCAAUCACCUUAAAUGUGACCGACUUCUUUUCCUUGUCUAUAGACUCAAUUAUCUCCUUCGCCACCUUCUUUUGUCCAUCUGAAAAGACGUGAACAGUGGAAUUAAUUAACCAAUAGAUUAGGUACUGGAUUUUGAAGCCGAAAGGCAUAAUUUUAAACGGCCAAAGUCUCGCCAGCGCAACUUUAAGCAACGUAGACUUGUUGAGUAUUUAAGAAUGCUUGACCAACUUAUAAAGCAAUUUAAUGCUCUUCACGACUUGCAUGUAGCAGAUAUAACAAGAAAGAUUGACAGAUUUGAACUUUGGAAGGAAAACCCCCAAAAAAAAAAAAAGUAUUAAAAUGGUAAAAGUAAAUCGAUGGAAAAAAUGGAAAGAAUCAGAAACUUACCGUGAGUAUAUGUCCAGAAGAUGAUAGAUCCUACUGUUCCCCAAUCACCAUGAUGCAGCUCACAACCAUGAACGAUAUCAGGGCUUAUGGAGGACAUUUCAUGUGGUUUGUUUUUGAAGAGCUCAUGAAACAUAUCUCCAUUGGACUUAAUUUCGAUUUGGAAAACCAGUUUACCAGUUAGACUCAUUUCUUCAGAGAUCUAUUAACCAAGAAACGAAGACUGAUGAAAGCAAGGGGUUAAAAAUGGUUUAGGCAUGAAUAAUUGAACAUGAAUUUAUAUCAAUGAGAAAAAAUGCUGUUUUCUUUUCGUUUGUUUACAUGUCGCUUUCGCACUAUCUUACUUCAUAGAUCAUGCACUAGUGCAAUGUACUAUCAUUUAUUAGAUACUCUGACUAUUUUAGAAUAUAAAAUUUAUAUGGAUAUUGUUAUAGAAUUAGUCUGGGGGCUAUUUGAUUCUAUACAAGAAGUUUUGCAAUCCGUACUGUUAGUGAUGUAGAUUUUUCGCUUUAAUCCAAGUAAAACAUACAAAGGAUUCUUCUUCUUGCUUGGGAGAACAAAAAGUUCUAAAGAGAAAAAAAAAAAGAGCAAAAGCCCUUUUGCCAUCCCCAGUUCGGAAGUCUUAGAGCUGCCCAUGGAGUAUGGAAAAUACUUAGAUUAGCAGUGCAGCCAUCAAAGAUCCAUAUCACCAAUUGUGACUACUUACAUGGCAACAUGGUUUGUAAAUAAGCUCAUAAAUCGUGGAUCGUUCAAGAAUUUUCCAUAAAGUAUAGAGGCUUUGAAUAGGCGAGCAGUAAAUCCUAGCCUAUGAAAUUUGGACAGGAUAUACAGUUCAUAUGUUUAAUUGUAGCAAAUAUAUCUUUCAUAAGUACUUCAUUUAGGUUAUGUGUAUAUGGUAUGGGAACUAAAAUUGCCAUUUACACACUUUCAUGAAUUAUUUUCAACUUUGGUGACGCUCGAUUCAAUUUGUAAACGAUUUUUAUGAUCAAACAAGGUAACUUUUUGUUUCGAAGAAAUAGAUCUGCAAUCUUACUAAAAUUCUUUGGUCAUACUUAAACUGUUAAUCUAGUAUAGGGACUUUUUAAUGUAUAAUACAGGGUUCAAGAAAUUAUGAACAAAAAAAUACAAGUGAUCGAAACAAAUAAAGCACUUACAAAAAAAUAAAUUAGGGCAAAAUAUAUUUUACACCCUUAUGGUUUAGCGAUUUUUUACAUAACCCCAAUAUAGUUUCAAAAGUUAUACAUAAUCCCUUUAUACUUUAAAUUAAAGUAUCAAGAUGACGGAAUUUGCAUUCCAUAAUGGAACCAAUUAAAAUGUCAAAAGUAUUCCUAUGUAAAGUUAAAAAUUAUUUAUUAACUAUGAGGGGAUUAUAUAUAUAUUUUGAAAACCAUAAAAGGGUUAUAUGAUAAAAUAGUAAACCAUAAGGGAAUUAUAUGGUAAAAUAUAAAACCACAUAGGGUUAGAGUGUCAUGCAUAUUAUGUUUAUAUAUUUUGGUAACUUCAACCAUUUUUUUUAAUAAAGGUAAUUUUGGCAUUUUCAUGGGUUCCAUUACAAAUGAUUAUUUUUGUUAUUUUGAUACUUUAAUCAAAACUAUAAGGGGAUUAUAUAUAACUUUUGAAACUAUAGGGAGGUUAUGUGAAAAUUUGCUAAAUCAGAGGGAAAUAAAGUGUAUUUUGUCCAAUAAAUUAAGUAAAAGUUAAAUAAGUAAAAUAUUUAGAAGCCAAGGAGGCUUUUUGCCUAAUGAUUAAGAUUAAAACUCUAGAAAUUAGAAAUCUUAAAUUAAGAUCUCCCAUCUCUCCCUCACGUCUUAAUUCUCACCCCUCCCCAGAUAAAAAAAAAUUAAAAAAAUAUAAAAUGUCAUUCCAUGGAAGUAAUUUGUUUGGAGCUCAUUCUUCCCAUGAUAGAGUUGAGCUUGUGAAUCAGUGAUGCAUUACAUCUCUACACUCCCCAACACCUUAUUGUUUAUCUAUAACAGUCAUGAGUCUUUAUCUAGAGACAGCAGGAAGAAAGACAAGUUAGAAGAUUUGCCAAAAAUGAAUAUUAAACCUUGUAAUAUUCAGCAAGGGGUGCAAAAUAUUCAGAGAUGCAUGAUUGACAAUACAUAACUUGUAAAUGCAGAAUUCCAUUAAGCAAAUAUUAUCAGUAAACUCAUAAUUAAGCAAAUAAAGUAACAAUGUGUCCACCAUCCUCAGAUCUUUCUGGGCCACAAUAUAAUCGCCCCUCGAAUAUGAUAGAUUACGAGUUAUUAAUUAUUCUUAAACUGUUUAUGAGUAUAAUAUUCUCGUAGAAGUUACUGUGCAUUAGGAUAUAAUUAUCCACUCAAUUCACUGUCAAUUGAAUUUUCUGCUUUCCAAUUGAUUACAGAAUUUACAUAUACAAAUCACAAAUAAUUUUUAUAAGUUUGUAGCGAUAAACACUAAGGUGCCUCGAUGAUAUGGCCACUCUUUGGAAGGAUCAUCUCCAAGAUAGGAGAGUACAGUCUUAUUGCCAUUGACUAGUCAUGAUCACCAAGAUGAACAAUACAUGGGCUCUUAUUUAAUUGAUAAGAUCCAACAGCUUUAUAUGUCUGCCCUUCAAAUUAAUUAAUGUACCCAAACAAUUAAAUGGUAGUUGCUAGGCAUACAUUUGUGGCUAGUAUACAUGGCAAUGGGUUGGCUGAAAAUCUGUGAUAUAUAUAUAUAUAUAUAUAUAUUCCAAUUACAAUUUGUUGAUACAUGCCUGCACAAGUUUAAAAAAUGAAAAAAAAUAUAUAUAUAUUUUUUGUGUAGGAGACCAAAAUCAAGACACAUAAAUAAAUUAAAAAAAAUGACUUUCAAGGAACAAAACUCUUUUCCUAAUGCAUGACACCUGAUAGAAAAUGACUUAUGUAUUUGUGCUGAUUGUCCAAGGAAAAAAUAAAACUAGGUAAGAGAGGGGCAAGACAAGGAAAAAUUUCAUGAUAUACCAAUACUUCUGCUAAUCGGCACAGCAGGGCAAGGAUCUUAAGAAUGAAUAUAUGAAUUCAAAUUCAAUUAUUCAAAAAAAAUAAAUAAAUGCAAGACUAAAUCGAAAUGAGACCUCAUAGUGUAAUAAUAUCUGUCAGGCCCUGAUUCUCAAUAUCUGUCUCUUCAAUUUACUCUGCAAACUUAUUUAAUCACAUUCUUAUGAAUAAGUACUCCAAACAGUGGACUGACCUUUGAAUCAAAAGGUAACUGAUAAAGAAUGCUAUGAAUCGAUCAAAUAAAUCAACAUAUAACUAAUUUAUUGAAUUAGAGGAAACAAAGUUUUCCAAGCCAUCACAAUCGAUGUCCGCCAAUAAUUCAGCAGACAAUCUGCCAGCAGAAAUUUAUGAAUCGAUCAUACCAAAAUUAUCACUCAACUUAUUUCGUGCCCAUUUGACUAAACAUUGUAUAGACAAAAAAAAAAAUCCAUGGCCCGCAAUUUUAUUUGAUAUAUUCACAAUGUCAUUUUUCCCCUCUUUUACUGGCUUUGGGCUUCCUUUUUUAUAUAUUUUCUUGACAACAACUCUUAUCACACGUAUCAUGGCAUUUUUAUUGAGCUUGACGUCAAAUAAAUAUUCAUCAUAUCCUUUCAUUGGAUGCGACGGCAGAGAAAUUGACUCUAUAUUAUUACUUCGUGCUUGAAGACGGUAAAAUAAUAAGAUUUAGAUAAGCACAAAAAAAAAAAAAGGAGAAGUUGGUCUACUACUAAACUUUGAAAUUAUCAUUCAUCUCUUGAAUUGUAACACUUUCACAAUAAAAGUUUUUAUCCUUUUGGACAAAGAAUAAUGCCACACCAACUUCUUAUCUGUUGCACUUAAGGCGCUAAAUAGACGAACCCAAAAAAUAAAUGCUAAAUGAACGUAUUUUCUAGCUAUCUAUAUCUAUCUCCAUGUUAUUAUGAUAUCCAACAAUUUGCAAUUGUGAGGUUAGCUACAGCCUGUGGUGCGUAUUUUUUUGGCACAAUUGGUGGUUUCCUUUAUUGUCACUAGUCAUAAUAGAAAAAACAACUCACUCAUGUUUGGAUAUAUUAUUACUUGAAAAAAAAAAAUUAUACUUGUAUCAGAAGCACAUUUUUUCAUUUUAUUUUUAUCUUUCGAAUUUUUUCUUUAUUUCACAAACUUUACAUACAUUGUUAUUAAAUUCAGCCCAUAUAUCAACCCAAUUCAGUAACUAGUUCAAUGGGAUAUUGGUUCAACCCAGGAUUCACUGAUUGACUCGAUGGUUGUAUUAUAUAAUAAAAUAAUGUAUUUGGAUUAUUAAAAAUAAUAUAAUCAUUUAACAAGUUGUUGAACCGCCAAUUUUUUGAGAUUUUACGAAUUGAAUUGAUAAACCAUUGACUAGUUAAUGUGCUCCUCUCUUAAUUGAUCUAACUACUUACCUAGCCCGAUUAGGUAGCUAGUUCACCAAGUUGUCUAGUUGAACCUAGGGGUGUAAUCAAACCAACUCGCGAGCAGCUCGGUCAAAAAUUUGACUUGAACUCGGGUUGACCGAGUUCGAGUCUAAUUCGAGCGCCUCUAUAAAGCAAACGAGUCGAGUUCGAGUAUUCAGAAGCAACGCUCGAGAGCUAGUCGAGUCUUAUCGAGUUUUUUAAUUUUAAUUCUUUAAUAUAUUAUUAUUAUAAAAUUACUCUUAUAUCCAAAAUAGUUAUUGAAUUUACGAAAUGUUUCAAGUCGUAUAAAAAUUUUAAAAGAGCAAUAAUGUCUUUUCACUAAAAAAUUAUCAAGAAAAUGAAAUUUUGUAGCUCGAUAAGGCUCAAAUUGACUUGAACCCAUGCGAGUCGAGCUCGAGUUCUACGAGCAAGUUUCGAACUCGAGUUCGAGUUCCAAUAAUACUACUCGCUCGAGAGUCGAGAUCGAGUAUGGCACUCGAUUACAUCCCUAGUUGAACUGUCAAAUUGUGUCAUGAUUAUAUCAUAAAAUGUACUAUAACAAUUAUUUCAAAUAAUAUUUCGAAUAAUGCCUUCAUCAAAUCUCCAAACAGUGACUUUCGACUGACUUUCGAGCCCAUUGUUGUUGAAGCAUACAAUUCGUUGUAGGAACUAUCCCAAAAAACAAAAAGAAGGUUGGAACUAUUAAUUCAGGGAGGAUAAAUCAAACAAAAACAAAAGUAUAGAUUUGGUCCACGUAGGCAAGAUUAGAUAUGACUGGUAAUUGCUACAGCUACCGAAACAUCAAUAGAUAGCAACAUUUCAAGAUUUGAUAGUACAAUCCUAUCAAUUGAUUACGAGGACCGUCGAUUGAUAGUAAAUUUUUCCGUCAUUUUUGUAACAUGAUAAAAAUUUUCUACACAGUAUACAGUAAAAGAAAAACGCCAAUCUAUGAGUGAAGACUACUCGUGAAAUAUGUAGUACAAGAAUUUGAAGUUUUCUACUUUUAUCUGUCGGAUUUUUGCUUUUUACUUUGGUGCAUUUGAAUUGUAUGUUAAUGCAGGGUCAGUUAGCUAGCCAUGAAGAACAUAUAAUAGCACUAUAUGUAUAUAAGGUAUUUGGAUCCUACUUCUGAUGUAAGGGCCAAAUUGGUGAGUAAUAUCUAAGUACCGUGUAACUGAUUUAUAGUUUCAAGAGCAUAUUCUAACUUUCGAUAAUGAUCGGAGUCGAAACUAUCCAAACUUUAUUCUUACAAAAAACGAAACAUAAGAGGAAAAUAUUUUUCACGGAAAACCUGACUUCUUUUUGUAACGAGCUUUGUAACGAAGAACUCAUUGUUCUAUAUGGCGAAGUAUCCAUUACGGCACUGUAUUAUGCACCACAACCUAAUUUAUGAUGUGCUUCUGCUUCUCAUGCUCUUGGUCUAAUUCUAUUUUUUCUUCACGAGAUAAGAAAAACAAUUCCCAACGUAGACAUGAAAUAAAGUUAAAUUGAAAUGAGUUACUAAUAUGUUUGGUUACAAUCUUUUAAUAUUGAAUCGAUUUCACACAUCCGGGUAUCUAAGUUUAACUUAUUUUAUGUUGUUUUAACAUUGUCUGAUUUAGAUGCACGAUUGUAAUGGAGGAAUUGAGAGUUAAAAAAAAAAAAAAUGGUUUCACUUACUGAGGGGCUGCUUGGUUAAAGGGUUUGGGAAUCAAAUAAUGGAAUGAACCCCUUAUUUGUUGCUUGGGUUAAGUCUAUUGGAAUGCAAUUUCUGGAAUCAUUUCUAAAAAAUCGGACUUUCACCAUUCCUGAGUAAAUUGGGAGGUUUUGGACAAAACCCUCAACUCAUUCCCGAGCAAAAACAUUUAUGACGAACCUACCCUCUUUUUUUCUUCAUUACACGCCGCAUCUUCUGUUCUUCUUCUUCAUCAGAUUUUCUACCUCUUCUACUUCACCGGUUGGACAACCAUAAAGAUCAGUGGCUUUCGACUCUCCUUGGACAACGAAUUCUAGAGUUGAAGAGUCUUCUACUAGGGUGAAUUCCUUGAUCCCAGGUUAGUGGAUUACAAACUCCCUUGCCUCUGCAAUUUUCUUUUCGUAUGCAAGCUUUUCUCUUUCUUCUUCUCUGUUUUUUCAGGCUACUCACUGGGUAGCUGAAAAUAAAGAAGAAAAGAAGGGAAUCUGAUACAAUAAAACUAACUAGACCAAAAUUGGUUGUAAUACAUGUAUUUGAAUUCACUUACUUCAACAAAUACAUUAUUUUGUUCUUUUUUUUGGUGAGAUAAAUGUUAAUGUCACUAGAUUUGUCAUUUUUAUGGUUUUAAUGUGUUUUCUUGGAUUACGCAUUCAAUGGAGGUCAAUCAAUUCUUGAUCUUUUGGUUAUUUGAUCCGUGAAUACUGGUAUAGUUUGGGUGGGUUUCUACAUGCCCUGUACCUGUUUGUAAAAUUGUCUGCUUGAAUAGCUUUCAGUUUCAUAGUUAUUCGUACAUUAGGAUUUCAAGUUUCAACCAUCAAUUUCAUUUGUUUAUGCUUAUUUAUAUCUAUACAUCAUUGUGUUUUCGGAUGUUUGAUGCAUGUCUAGGCCCUUUUAAUAAGAUCAAUUGAUGUUUAAUGCAUUUGAAGAUUUUGAUGCCGUAAUCUAGUUUGGUGAAUACUUACGUUUGGUUGUCAUAUUGUUAUGUAGACAAAGAUGCCACGUUUGCCUAUUGAAAACAGAAGACGCAAAAAAUAUCGAGGGCAAAGCCAGAUUUUAUCAGGAAUGAUAAUGGUUGUUAUUGCACUGUUUAUGAUGUGGUACCAGUUAAUAUUCAUACAUCUCAAAAGUAGAAGACGCCAAAUAAAAUCAAAAGAAGAAAAAGUCACUGAGCGCAUGCAACACUUAUUCAAUUUGACUAGGGAGAGUGAUGCUUAUUGUAUUAGCGAACUUCGUAUGGAUAGACGAACAUUUGGGAUAUUAUGUGAAAUGAUUAGAGACACUGGAGGUUUGAAAGCUAUAAGAAACAUGUCAAUAGAAGAAAUUGUUGCCAUGUUUGUAUAUGUUUUGGCUCACCACAAGAAAAGUAGAACAAUUUGUGGUCUAUUUUGGAGAAGUAGAGAAACGGUGAGUCGUCAAUUUAAUCUUUGCCUCCUAGCAGUUUUGAAAUUGCAUACUAUAUUACUUAAGAAGCCUGAGCCUAUUACCGAAGAUUGCACAGAUGAGACAUGGAAAUGUUUUAAGGUAAUUCAAAUAUUAAAAUACAAUCAUUUAAUAAAAUGUAUGUUUUCAUCUAAACUAUCCAAUAUAGACAUUUUAACUCAUUUAUAUUUUUUAUUUUUGUUAAAAUAGAAUUGUUUAGGUGCCUUAGAUGGGACAUUAAUAGAUGUGACACCACCCACCGAACAAAAAUCAAGAUACCGAACGAGAAAAGGAAGUAUUGCAACGAAUGUAUUAGGGGUUUGUUCUCCUAAUAUGCAAUUUAUCUAUGUCUUGCCUGGUUGGGAAGGUUCGGCACAUGAUGGUCGUGUGCUUCGAAAUGCUAUCUCUAGACCAAAUGGUCUUAGAGUCCCACAAGGUAAACAUAUAUUGCAGUAUUCAAUACCAUUCAAUCAAUUUUUUUUCGAAAAUAAGGUAGUCUAGUAUUAAUUUGUACAUGAUUGAAUUUUGAAGGUUGUUAUUACUUGGUGGAUGCUGGAUAUUGUAAUGCUGAUGGAUUUCUUGCCCCUUAUCGAGGGCAAAGAUAUCACCUUAAUGAAUUCAAUGGUUAUCGACCACAAAGACCAGAGGAAUAUUUCAACAUGAAACAUUCUAAAGCUAGAAAUAUCAUAGAAAGAUGUUUUGGAUUACUAAAAGGAAGGUGGAAGAUUCUAGCAUCCCCUUCAUUUUUUCCAAUUCAAAGACAAGUGCGAAUAAUUAUGGCAUGUUGUCUGCUGCACAACUUGAUAAGGAAGUUCAUGACUUUUGAUCCACAAGAAUUACUACAAAGUGAAGAAAAUGAAAGUGAAGAUGAAGACAGUGAUGAAGAAGUAGAGUGUAUAUCCACUAUUUUGCCAAGUGAUCAAUGGGCAAAUUUUAGAAAUAAUUUAGCACAUGAAAUGUUUGACAAUUGGAGGGCUGGACUUAGUAUUUAGCUAUGAAUGGAUGUUUAGCUCUUAGACUUAUUAAAUUUGGAUUGACAUUUGAUGUACUCUUGUAGUGGAUUUGUGAAUUAGAUUGACACUUGAUGUAUGUUCUUUUAAAUUUGGAUUGACUUUUAAUUGUAUGUUCUUUUAUGUGUUUUGUUAUAUUAUAAAUUUCAGUUAUAUGCUAUUGUGUAUCAAAAUUAAUUGAUAUAUAUGGGUUGACUUCUAAAUGAUAGGAUGGAGAAUGAUGAAAUUGUACGUGGAAGAGGGAAAAAUAAAUGUUUUUGGACUGGUGAAGAGGUAAAAGUGCUCAUAGAAUCAUUGCAAGAGUUGGCUUGUGAUCCAAUGUGGAAAUCAGAUGGAGGAUUUAAAAAUAAUUAUAUGAGCGAAUUGCUUAAAAUUAUCUUGCGUAAGCAACCUACUUUUACCAAACAAGUCAGCCCACAUAUUGAAUCAAAAGUUAAGUGGCUGAAAAAUAGGUUCCAUGCAAUUGUUGAAAUGUGCAAAGAAAGUGGUUGUAGUUGGAAUGAUGCUGAGAAAAAGAUUUCUUGUGAAAAACAGUGGUAUGAUGAUUGGUGCAAGGUAAGAAAUUGAUUACUUUUUACAUUCUGAUAUGUUCUUUUUCAACCUUUUAUUAAGAUUAUCAUUUAUCUUUCUAUUCUAUCUCUAGACUCAUAAGGAUGCGAAGGGCCUUUGGGAUGUCAAAUUUCCAUAUUUAGGAGAUCUUGAAAUUGUAUAUGGAAGAGACAGAGCCACUGGAAAUGUUGCUGAAGAUUUUGCACAAGCUGUCCAAGAUAUGGAAGAUGUCCAAAAUUUGGAGGAAGGACAUGAAGGGCUUGAUGCUAUGUCAAACUCGGAUAAUGAUAAGGUAGAAGAAGAUGAAGUAAAUUCCAUAGAGCAAUCAACUCAACCAAGCUCAACAAGUACAAGAAAUUCCAAGAAACAAAAGAAACAAUCCCCUCCCAUUGCAAAUGUGUCAAAAAAAAUGAAAUCUGCAUCAACAACAAGGGGUGAUCUUGAUGCAUCAUUGCAACUUCUCACCAGCAAAUUUGGAGAUUUCGUGGAGGGAAUUCAAGCUAAUUUCACAACUAUGGCAGCAGCCAUGUCAAAUGAGGAUAAACGUGAGCAAUUGGUCUCCGAUAGAAGAGAUCAAGUUGUUGCUGAGUUAAUGAAACUUGCUUUACCGAGUGGAGAUGUAAUGAAUGCAGCCGACAUACUUUCGGAGCAGAUUUCCAAGCUUCAUGUGUUCUACAAUCUUCCUGCAGAAAUGAAACGACAAUAUGUAAUUAACCUCCUUUAUCCUCCAUCUACUCGCUGAAGUAAAAUUAUUGUUAGCUGGAAAGUGAUGAUUUGAUGGCAAUUUCUUUUUGUUAUGGUGAUUGUUAGAUGGUUAUAUGAUUAGUCUUUUGGAGAUUGUGGACAUUGAAUGGCACUCUCGACUGGAUUAGACAAUUGACUUGUAUUUGGUAUGGUUAGCUUUUGUGAUUUGAGUCUCCUUCUUUUGUUCAUAUAUGUAAGGAGAGAUCUAUUUCAUAUCAUUAUCUAAUAUAGGAACCACAAAUGACUUGUUAAUGGAGUAAAUUUCCAAAAAGAAAGAGUUUUUAAACUAACUUCCUAAAGGCUGGCAAUUUUUAAGUCUCUUCCCCAAGGGUGAAAAACACAUUCAAGAAAUGUGUUCUUCCAAAUAAAAAUGCAACUUUCAAAUACGUUAUUUUAAUUUUCGUAAAUUUGUUUAAAUAUAAAAAAUUGGUUAAAUAGCGUAUUAAAUACAAAACCUGCUAAUUUCCUAUAAAGAGCUGGUAUCUUAUAAGUAAUUUCUUUUUUUUUUUUUAACUUUCACAUAUUUAAUUUAUGUUAAAUACAAAACAUACUAGUUUUCCUUUGGGCGCUAUUUAAUCAAUUUUUUCCAUAAAGAAUUGGUAUGUUUUCCAUAAAGAGUUGGUACAAAACAUACUACAAAACCUGUCAGUUUCCUUUAAAGAGCUGGUAUCUUAUGGGCAAUUUUGUUUUUUUAACUUUCACAUAUUUAAUUUAUGUUAAAUACAAAACAUACUAGUUUUCCUUUGGGCACUAUUUAAUCAAUUUUUUCCAUAAACCUGGUACAAAACCUGCCAGUUUUCCAUAAAGAGCUGGUAUCUUAUGGGCUAUUUAACCAAUUUUUCAUAUUUAAAUAAAUUUCCAAAACAUAAAAUAGCGUAUUUGAAAGUUGCGUUUUUAUUUGGAAGAACACAUUCCUUGGAUGCAUUUUUCACCCUUUGGGAAGAGACUAAAAAAUCGUCACCUUUUGGGUGAUUGUUUAAAAACUCCUUUUUUUGGGAAUUUACUCCUUGUUAAUGCAGCCACUAUAUUUAUUUUCUGGUAUUAAUUUUUUUAUUAUUUAUGAUUUUCUUAUGUUUUAUCAAAAAGUUAAUAACUAUUGUAGUUACAAUUAUGAAAUGUUAAUUUGUCGUAUGUGUAAUUCUUUUGUUUUAGAAGAAUUGUUAUAUCAGGGGUAAAUUUGGAAUUUAAUUGCAUUUAAUUCCGAAACACUCAUCAAACCAAGCAUCAGGAAUUGGAAUAAUGCUAAUUCCAAUGUGUGAACCAAGCAAGAUAUCGGAAUGAAAAGUUUUAAUUCCAAAACCAGAGUCUAUGAUUCCAAUUACAAUUCCAAUUCCUAAACUUGAACCAAGCACCCCCUGAGUUUCUCUUCAGCUACUGGAUUAGUACCCCAAAAAAAAAAAAAAAUUCAUUAUGGGCUUUUGGUUUUAUAAUUCGCCAUUGCAGUAUGUACCUGAAAUUAUGCACCUUCCCAAAAAGUCCAAAUCCUUCACUCUCAUGGGCUUUACCUGGGAUUGUUCUAAAUUUUUUUAACUUCCUUAUGUGGAUGCUGAACAAGUAGUAAAGUACAAAUGAAGCAUCUUAAGACCAUAGAGGUAUGGCCGUUAACAAAAGAAAUUCGAAGGAACAUAUCAUUUUGGGUAUGAAAUAGGGGUUUACAUGAGUCUACUUAAACUAAACAUGUUAAUGUUCAAAUUUGAUUGAUUAGUUUAUUUGCCAUACCGAACUCAAAUAAGCUUUUAUCAUACUGAGAUUGAGUAUCUUGAAUUUUUACAUGUAAAUUUUAAGUUUUACACCAAUUGAGUUAGAUUCCAAUUGAAGUCGAAACUUUUCUGAGCAAAAAAUAUGAUUCAUAUUUGGCUUGAUUAGUUGGUUACUUAAAUUCAAAUGAGUUUUUACAGUGCCAAAUUUGAUUGGAAUACUAAGUAGGUAAUUGUGGAUGAUGCAAUGCUUGGAAUAAUACUUGACCCUAUUUGAAAACCUAGGCCCUAUUUGACAACUCAAAUCAGCACUUAAAAUUAAUAGAUUCAGAUUUUAAUAUAUUCAGAUGCAUUUAAUAACAAAAAAUAGAACUUUUGAAUUAAUUAAAUGACACUAAAUUUUUUGGGUAAAACUUGUUCUGAAAAAAUAAGUAAUAAGCUAUUGGGUUAUCAUUUAAUGUGAUAUAUACUUAAAUUUAUCAAAUUUAGUAUUUAGCAGUUCAGUAAUUUAAUAGAUUUAGAUUUCAAAGUUUAGAUUUUAGUUUUCAAAUUUUAGUUUUAUUAAACACGCCCUUAGGAAGCAUUUCUAUAAAUAUUAACUUUCCCUUUAUUAAAAGGGAAGGUAAUUGUGUAAUUCACAAGUUGGCAAACUUUAGCUUCAAACUUGUGAAACUUUGUGGAAGGCGUCCUUCCGUCCUUUGAUUAGUUGGAUUAGCCAAAGAUGAUAUAGGAGCUGUUGCUCCAAUUAUGUAACUACUUUUUCCAAUGGCAAUACAUUUCAGUUGUCAUUUGCAAAAAAAAAAAAAAAAAAAUCUUUCAGCUCUAAUUGAGAGAGAAAUAAAGUUUUAUAGGAUUUUACUCAUUAAAACAAUUAUCGAUAAAUGGAACGCUGAACUUUGAAGCUCGAUGUUUAUACAGAAUGAACAAUCAUGGUUAAACAAUUCACAAAUGUUUGAUAGGUAUCAACAUGAACAGUUGCGAUGGAGGUCUUAUAUAACUCCAGCACAUCUCCUUCAAU